AAAAAAAAAAAAAAAAAAACUUAAUUAGCUGGCAAAGUUUGUAAGCAGCGAUCAGAGCACAAUCUUGUCGAGCACAAUGUAAGUAAAAGUUUUGUUUUGUUUUUAAAUGUUAUAGUAUUAAGGAAAAAAAAUAUUGUUACACAGAUAUCAAAUGGAUUGUAGGAACAAAGUGUUUCAGUAGGGAAUUAGAAGCUUUAGGAGUUGAAGUAUUUUAUGUUGGACUUAAGUAAUAAAACCUAGUCUUUAUAAGAAUGUUGGUUGGGUUUACAAAUGUCGAGGACAAAAUUUCUUAAGGGGUAAGAACUAUGAAACCCCAAAAUUUCUUAAACCUUUGGCAUGUUUUAAGUUGGUCACGAAUAAGAAAAAAUGAGAUUUAGGGAAAAAGGAAGUUAUAAUAUUUGGAAAUGUUAAGGUUUAGGUUUAAGAGAAAGAGAAAAGUUUGAAAUUUAGGUUUAAGUAGAAGUUAAGGAAAUUUGGAAAAAUUGGCUAAGUAUCAAGGAAUGACACAUUGGGCGUUUAGAUGUUAGUGUGGCAGCCAAAGGGACUAUAUAACAUCUAAAAAGUGUUUUUUGGGCGACCAAGGGAAAGAAAAAACCUCUAAAGAAGUUAUUUGGUGUUUAAGGCAUGUGUUAGGCAUUUUGGAUGGCUUGUCAAGUUGAAAGAUGUUAGGUGAGAAGAAGGAUUUAGAGGUUAUCUUAGUGUUUGGUGUGUGGCCGAGAAGAUUAGGAAAAACCUCUAAGGUUUGGCAUUUUGGUUGAGGGCAAGGCGAGAAUAGUAGUUUGAGAGGUUAUUUGGCGGUUUUGUGUAGGCAAGAAAGCUUGUUUAAUGGUUAGUUGGCAUUUGGUCUCAACGUUUUGGACUUGUCAAGUGGCUUGGGCGUUUUGAAGAAAAGCUAUACGAGAUGGACUAAGAGGUUAGCUAUGCGUUUUGGAUAUGCAUGUGGCAAGCUUAAAGCAAGCGAUUUAUAGCUAAUCCAAGUGUCUUCAUUUUGUUAACAUGCAUUUUGAGGUGGAAAGGUAGUUUGAGGUUAUUUAAGGAGGUUUAAGGGUGGAUUAAGCAAGGGUGAGGUGUCAAGAUAAUUUCAUGCAAGGCUUUCUAUAAAUAGCUAACUUCAGCAAGAAGUUUCUCACAACUCACAAGGGCAUUUUCACACAAAUUGGUUUUGAAAGUUGAGAAAUUGUGUCUAGUUUGUAAGUGAGGGCUGCCGUAUAUUUUGAAUUCAAGGAGGUUUGCGUUUUGAUCAAGAGAAGGUGAGAAGAUAAUUUCUCAGGUGCAUCUAGGCAAGGUGCAUUCUAAGUGGGCUACAAGACUCGUCUUUUGAAACUGGAUUAUGAAAUAUUGUGUUAAGCGAUUUAAGUCAUUUUGGAGCAACUUUAUAGAAGCAAGUUUUGUCAAAAGAAUUAUGGAUUUUAGAACAAAGGGGCAACUGUGCAUGGUGAUUGGCGUUGGACGCAUGGCUUGUGUGCAACGUGUGCGUGGCUAAGGCAACAUGCGAGGAGGGUUGUGUGGGACGCCACAUACGUGACCAAGUGAGGUGCGUGCGUGACGUGCCUGUGUGUGAGGUUAGCACGCAGGCAGUCUAGCACGGGUCCAGGGCCCUGCCGCCCACCCAUGCGUGCCAGGCAGUGUCAUGACCUAACUUUGGAUCUUUUUGAACAACUUUGAAAAUUUUAAGUACACUUUCGAUGUUUUCAUGGUUAAGUAAAAUUAACUAGAUCAUAACUUUACCAUAUUUUUAAGACAAGAUGAGAUCGGACAAAUUUGUCGGUCAAUGAUUUAGCCUUGUAUUUGUGAGUGGAAAAUAAUUUAUUCAAAGUAUUUCAAAGCAUGUUUUAAAGCCACGAUUUAUGUUAAAUGUUAAAGCUAUUUAUGAAUUGUUUUCAAGCAUGUUAUUGUUUAACGUAUUACUGUUAUUGAGGAUAUGUUUAAGGACUAUUGAGAGUAAGUUAAUGGUUUCUUAUUUCAAAAGGAUUUAAGAUUUAUGGUUUAGUACUUUUGUGUAAAAUUGAAGUCCAUUGUCGAUUUUGAAUAAUAAAGGGUAGAUUGAAGUUUAUGAUAUAAUUGGGUCUUUAAAAGAAAAGAAAAAGACAAACAAACAAAAAACCCAAUCAAUGCAUGUAAGUAGUGUUUACCUAUUUAGUUCUUCUAAAACAAAAUUCUUAUGAAAUGGGAUUUUAAAUUUUUUGAGAAUAUUGAUUUGGUUUAAAACACAUUCAACUCUAAAGUAAUUUCAAUGACACCUACAACCUGAGAUAUUGAAAUAAUAAUGGAGGAUAAAUAUGGUAGGCAAGUAAAUACUAUUAAUUUCCAGGAGAACACUCAAAUACUUUUCAAAGACUAUUCUCUAUAUAUAUAUAUAUAUAUCCACACUGUUAGUCUGUUUGUUGUGAAAGUGAGGUAUAUUAAGGGCACCCUCUCUUCCCUCUCUUUUCUAUUAUACCAACUCUGGGUUAUGAGAUUAAACUUUUCACUUACAGAAUAGAACGUUAUCUCUCGACUACUAUCGAUGAGCUAAGUUUAGUUUUAUCUUUGAUUUUCUCUCUAUUAGUUUACCAGUGCAUCAAAAUUGUUCAAUAACUAUAAUUUAUCACAUUAACGACGAAUUUAUUUUAGAACACACAAAAGUAUUGUUUUUGGAGUUUUGCAAACUAAAGGGGUGGUGAAAAUGAAUCUCUCUGUUGCUUUUUUCCCCUUUUCCUUUAUUUGUUUAUUUCUAUCAAAAAAUAAUUUGAAAGGUCAUGGAGAGUGGAAAAAAGAGACAGCCCACCAAUUAUUUUUCACUAAUUCAUUGGCAUUUCUUUUGGGUUUUGUUUGCUACUUCAAUAUUUAAUUUGGAUAAGUGAAUCAAACCCAUCUCUCUUUUCUACUCUCAAUAAAGACAUUAAAGUUGUCUUCGAGACUGAAUUGGUUUAAACCAUCAAAUUUAUGAUUUGGUAGAGAACUUUUCAAAAAUAAUUUUUAUAUAUUUAAAAUAUUGAUUUUCAAUCAUUAUCUUUUUAGAUAUUUUUUUAUUUGAGAAUUAAUUAUUUAACUAAAUAAUUAUGGUAACGAAAUCACUUUUUCUAAUCAUUUUACUGUUAAAUUUUUAUAUGCAUGGUUGAUAUCUAUUCCUAAAAUAAAAAAAUUUCAUAAAUGGCUGAGCAGUAAAAUUAACUGAAUCGUUAGAUAUCUAUUUUGGGGGUGAUUGACCGGUAAUCACCUAACAAAAAUCAUCUAUCACGUAAUUCUUUUAAAAUCAAUUUGAAAUGAUUUUAUAUUUUUUCAAAAUCAAUUUUAGUUUAUGCCAAACAACAUCACUUGAAGGAAAAGUGAUUUUAUUUAAUCAUAUGAAAAUAACUCCAAACACACCCUAAAAAAGUAAUUAAAGACGAUGGUUUGAUGUCGACUUCAAUGUAACAUGUUUGUCUUAAAACAUAUAUUUAUCAAUUAAAAGUUAGAAGUUGGUAUACCCAUUUCAUUUUCAUAGAUUUGACCAUAAUUUGAGCUUGCAUUAAAGUAUAGAAUUUAAAUAAAAGAAAGGGACAUUUGAAAAAAAAAAAGAAUUAUAAUAAAUAAGUUCAUAAUACACACAUUAUUUGUAAAAUUGGUAAAAACAAAGUCCAUGUUACAUGUACAAAAUGUAUGCCACAAAUGCCCUCGUUAUUGAUAUACAUUUGAUACAUCUAAUACACCUAAUAUACCCCUUAAUACACCCGAUAUUCUUUCAUACAUUGGAUGCACCAAUAUACCUGGAUAUACUUAAUACUUCUUUUUACAUUUAAUUUUUCUUGAUACACUUGAUACCCUUGAAAUGUAACAUGUGUACUGUUACUUCAAAAUAAAUUAUUGAUUGAAUGUUGAGUGUUAUAAGUUGUUGUAAGAUAUUGGUGAUGCAUUUGAAAUAUUGAUUAUUGUUAUAUAUAAUUGUUGAUACUUUCAUAUAUUGUCAAUAUGUACUUGAAAUGCUACUUCAAGUAUUUAUUGAUAGAUGUCGAUAGACUCAAGUAUUUAAAAUGUUUAUAUGUUUAUUGUUUAAUAUAUGAUGCAUUUAAAAUAUACUCAAUAUAAUUUUUAGAACUUCUUCACAUUUACCAUAAUAUGUUUAAUAUAUUAGGCCUUAUUACAUAACUUUUGGUUUUGCAAAAAUGUUAAAAUCCAAAUCCAACCUAGAUUUAAAAAUGAAAAAUUACAAACUUUCAUUCACGUUGUAUUUUUCUUAUACACUUGAUUAGUUUAAUACACAUUUAAAUUCUUCACUACGAUGUACUGCUGAUAAACUUGUUAUGUUUCACUGAUACACUCAAUGAGUUUGAUACGCUUAAUACACGUACAUGGUAUGUUUGAUAUACUUGAUGUAUUGAAUAUACACUUAGUAUUAUUUACUGAUACACUUGAAGUCAUAGUGAAACAUUUGAUAAACUAUUGAUAUGCACUUGUAAACUUGAUUGAUAUACCUGAUAAUGAUUUAUUUUACUAAUAUGUUAAUAUAUUGUACUGAAUGUAUUGUUAAUAUACUUGAUAAUUAAUGAGACAUUGAGUUAUAUCAUUCAUACUCAAUAAUGCACUGGAUUAUAUACAAUUGAUACAAAAUUUAUUAUAUACUUAACCAUGACUACAAUGAAGUGCAAAAUUUUUGAAAAAACAAAAUCACGUAGUUUUAUCAACCAAUUAAUAAAUAUAACAUAACUAACAUCCUAACAUUGAUAUACAAAAUAAAAUCAAAAGAAAACCAAUGUAAAAAAUAAAAUAAAUGUACAAAAUAAAAUAAAUCCAUUGAAAUCAUAUUCAACUCAAGAAUUCACAUGGAAUUCUUAAAUCAACAAAUAUUAUAUAUCAUAUUGCAAUUAAUGUACUACUCAUAUCCCAAAAAUGAAGAUUGAUACAAUAAAAAAUAGAAGAAUUUGUUGAUGUUUACUGUUAAUGUAUCCACUUCAAAACCAAAAAAAAAAGAAAGUAAAAAAAAGGAAGAAGAAGCAAAAUCAUAAAUAAAACUUAAGAAAAGGCUCAAAUGUUGAAAAGUACACAAAAUUGAACUCCUAGAACCAUGAGGACAAAAUUGAAAUCAAUAAUAAUCACUACUACAAAUUUCGUCUUGUUUGACGCACACAAAUAUUAAUUUCUUGAUAGUCAUGACAAAGAACCAUCAAGAAAAAUAUUUUUCUUGAUACAAUGUUUAUCUUGGCGAUCAUUUACGUAAAAAAAAGUCCCCCUUAUUUUGUUGAAGAAAUACGAAAAAAAUGUAAAAAAAAAAGUGUACAUUCUUGAUUUUCUUGAUCGAGAAAGUUUCCUUAGUUUUGUUGAUGGUCUACAAACAUUAAGAAAAUUAUUUCUCGAUAGACAAUAAACAUCAAGGAUAAUAUAUUAGUUGACUGACAAUGUCUAUCAAGUUAGUUUGGUUUCUUGAUAGAUGAGGCCCAUGAAGGGAUAAAUUUUCUAGAUUUGCAAUGACCAUCAUCGAAAAAAAAUUAAUAUCUUUGUUUUGGAUUUCUUGAUGAGUCUAGAGUUUCUUGAUGGAUAAAGACCAGAAGAAGACAAUGGGCAAGCUAAGGUGGUUGUGAGGAAAAUACAAAGGAGAAUGAGAAGUAAUAUAGAAAAAAAAAAGAAUAGGUUUUUUAUCACAUGUUUUGACCAUCAAGAAAACCAGUUUUCUUGAGGGUUGGUCUUUCUUGAUGUCUUCCUACUUGAUGGGCAAAGACCAUCAAGAUAGACAUUUUUUGUGGUGUUUUGCACAUCAAAGAAUCAAGAUAGACAUUUUUUGUGGUGUUUUGCACAUCAAAGAAUCAAGAUAAACAUUUUUUGUGGUGUUUUGAACAUCAAAGAUGACCAAAUUUGUAAUAGUGAAUGAAAGACAAAAUCAAAAUCAGAAAUCCAUCUUCCUAUGAGUUUUGAGUGACUUGACAAAUGAAUUGAAGAAGCCCUUAUUGAUUUCAUAAACCAAUUAAAAUCUAUCUAGGAGAAAAAGCAAUGAAGAACGAAUUGCAUAAGAGAAAGAAUGGCUAUAGCUUAAAAAAAGUGGGAGAAGAAUACAUUGAAGGCUUGUUUGCAAAUAUUAACAAAUUUAAGAUGAAAAAGAUUUUCAAGAACGAGAACUUUUUCAUAUGUUUGCAAAAUUCUAGAACUGUACGUCACACUUGUUAUACACUAUUUUAAAAAAACUAACCAAUAUAAUUCUUCUUUAAAAAUUAGGAGAAAUCAAAUACACUAUCAUGCAUAGUUUGGAAACAAUAAAAAAUUUAAGAUGAAAAAUAAUCUAAAAAGUGUGAAUUUGCCGUCUUUACAAAAUUCUAAAACCAUAUGCUAUAUACUAUUUUCAAAAACUACCAACUACACUUUCCCUAUAUUGCAUAUAUUUGAACACUAAUUUAAAUCUCUAUAAGUUCCAAAUAUGCCAACAAUACUUUGCUACUAACUCCAACAUAAUAAUAUCUUGUUGACCACCACUAUGAAGUUUCUUUUGGAAAAGAAAAAACUAGAGAUAUAAAUGGUAAAAAGAGAAUAGCUAUGGAAGUUUUAACAAAGUCGAAUGAAAAGAUGAAAUUAAAAAAAAAGAAACUUAUAUAUACAAAGCUUGUAUACACUAAUUAACUCAAAAUCAUAAUGAUUUUACAAGUGAAUAAACUUAAACCAUGUUAAAAAUAUGUUUUAAAACUGCAUACCAACAUAAAUAUAAUUGAAUGAUAAGAAUUGAGAUGUACUUAUAUUUUUUACAAGUUAUACAAAAAUAUUAAUACUCACCAACAAAUAUCUAUUGGAAAGUAGAGUAAAAGAAAGGAAAAAAACCACACAUCUCUGUCUAUUUCUCUCUACUAAACUUUUUCUCAAGUGUUAGAUUUAUUGAGAUCUUGAGUCUACUUUUAUGUCCCAAACUCUUAUGGCAACCAUGUCCCAUCAUCUCAACAUACAUCACUUUUAAUUUAUUUAUAAUUUAUACACAUAUCCUUUCCCCACCCUAAAUAUCUCUCCUUUUCCCCUUUAUUAACCCAUUCUCCUUUUUAAUUCCAUAUUCCCAACUUUAGCUUCUUCCUUCUUCUUCCAAAACCAAGAUCCCACUACCUGCCCUAGGGUUCAUCCUCAACUCCCAAUCUUAUUUCAUAUCCCCUCAAAUUUUAGGGUUUUUACAAAUACCCAUCUUCCCAAAUUACUUCUUUUUCCCCUCUAAUUCAUUCAUUUAUACCUAAUAUCUACAUCAUUUUACUCAAUAAUCCUUUUCUCCCUCUUAUACUUAUCAUUUAAAUGGAAGAUUCCUUCUUUUUCUUCACUUCAUGCUGCCUCUUGAUCCAGGUUAAUUUUUCUUACUUCUUCCUUUUUUUUUUUUUUGUGUUUGUUUUCUUUUUCAAGGGAAUUACAUGAGCUUUCUUUGGAGAGAUCUGGCUUUUUAUUCAAAGUUUUGAUCUGUUAAUUUAAUGGUUUUUUCGUUCUUUAUCCUCAUUUGGAAAAAUCUGAGUCCUCUUUCUAGAGAGAUUGUGUUUUUUUUUUUUUUAAUAAUAAUAAUUAUUAUUAUUCAUCUUGAUUAUAGAGUUAUCUUUUUGCUUGUUUUGGAGGUUUUUGAGAAAUCCCAUGACAAGUAGGAAGAAAAAAAAUUGAUUAUUCCUAGUCUUACAUUUUCAAGGCCACCUGAAUGCUUGGCGUUCAAAAACAUUGUAACUUUUUUUUUUAAAAAAAAUGGUGUUCCCAACUAUGUUCUUUUCUCCCCACUUUUGUGAAAAUCUCUCUUUGUAGAUUCAUUAGUUAUAAUCACUUUUUAUUAAUUUAAAUCCUAAUUAAUUUCCCCCAUUAUUAUUUUUUCAAAUUAUAUUCAUUUUCAAAUCUUCCCUUCUAAUCUCAAAUUCUAAUUUAGUUUACUUUUCAUUCUUAUAAUUAAUUUUGGUUUUGUCAGGAUAUUAAAUUUUUUGGACUCCAACAGUUUUAACAUUUUAACACUUUAAGUAGUUGAUAAUUACCUAGUUUGGAUAACAAUUAAUCUAUAUGAUUCGAGAAUAUCACAACUGAGUUUGUCAUUCGAAAAUGAAAGAUUGCAUGGAGAAAUAGGGAGAGAGAGCUUCCUUCAGUCCACUCAUAGAGGGAUUCAAAGGAGUUGCUGAAGUAACUGCCGACUCAUUCACUCAAACACUCAGUAGAGCUCAAAAAGAAAUUAUCGGAGAGAAAGAAGAAAUAAAAUUGGUUCAAAGUAUAUUCUUUUCCUCUAUUGUGAUUGUGUGAAUGAAGCGGGAGAUAUUUUGCACUCUCUCUUUUUCUUUGCUUGGACUGAAGGGAGCUCCUCCUUUUUACUUUCCCCAUAAAACUAUCAAACCCCAAAUAUAUUCAAUAAUUCAAUUCCCCUUUGGUUUUUCUUUCUUUAAUGUGUUUAGAUCAUAUCAUUUCCAUAAUUCAUCCUAACGUGUUCAGGUCGAAUUUUGGAAGGGUAAAGUGUGAUCGGUUUGGUAGAAACACUCUCGGUUUGACCAUUUAAUUUAUUGCUUGAUAUGAUAAUCAAAAGUGAUUAGAAGGGGAGCGAGAAAGAACUACUUUAUUUUUAUAUAUUUCAAAACUUGAUUUACAAUAUUUUGAAAACAAUCCUAGAAUGUAAACAACAAAUUAAAAAAAAAAAAAAAAUCAAUAGUGUAUAUGUAAAGUAGUGUUUAUAUAAGUUUAAUAUUAAAAAAAAUCAAACGUCUAAAAACCAUUUGGUUAAAAAACUUGACCAUACAUUUUUGCAGUAUGAAUAAACUCAAGAUAUUUCUCAGCGUUGGAUGGUACCGAAAUUCUCUAGAGGUCUUUGGUCCCAUUUCUUGUUUAUUAAAUAGUACUAAUAUUAUUUUUUUUUGGAAUGAAAUGAUUUAAUUGAUAAUUAGAUUUAUCUCUUUAUUAAUAUAAUUUUGUGCUAUAUUUUGUUCUCGAGUUUAACAUGUGGAACAGAGAUUCAAACCUCUAAAUGUUAUAGUUGGGAGAGCAUGUAUGGUGAUCCAACUAAAGAUACAUAUAUGUUAUUGUCCACUAAGGUAUAGGUAAGAAGACAUACAACUACCCAAACUCAAUUAUUGCAUUUCAUCAUUUUAUGAAACAAAAUCAUUAUGUUAUUUAUCUUUACUUUUUGCAUCAUUGGUCUUUGCUUUGGUGAAUCAAAUCAAUUUCUACUUUAAUUUCAACUAUCUCUGAUUGUGUUCUUUCAGGCUAAGGCUUCCAUAGCUACCUGCAAAACCUGUCCCUAAAAAGGUAAAAUUUUUGGUACAUUAUCUUACCAUUCACUUUCACAGGUGAAAACAUAGGAAUCAACACAAACCAAACCAUACUCCUUUUCAUUGGUUUCAAUUUGGUUCCGUUUAAUUCCAUUAGAAAGUUAAUGGUAUAUAUUGGAGCAAACUACAUGUCUGAAAUACAUCGUAUAAACAAUGUAAACUUAGUGGAGAUUGUUCUGGUGCACUUACUAAUCAUUCAUCUUUUCAUAUCUUUUUGUUCAAGGUUUUGAAAAAUUAGUUCGUCCCUAAUAUGAUUAUAAUAAAAUAAAAUAAAAAAAGAAACAGUCCAAUUUAUAUGUAAAAGGUUGGUUUAGAAUUAAUUUGAUACUAUGCAACUCUUUUGAAGUAAAUUUUAACAAAUUCAAAAAAAAAAAAAAGAGUAGAAAAGAGAACAUUCUUUUCUCUUUAUAUUUUUAAAUUAAACGUUCAGUAACAACCCUUUUUUUCUUUAUUUAGAAGUGUUAUAUAUUUUUGUAAUAUAUUCUAAUAAGAUGAGAUACAAUAAAUAAAAAUAAAGAUAAAAAAAGAUUACAUAACUUUUCUCUUUAAGUAUUCAACCAAACAUCGUCCAAAGACUUCUUUUAUUUUUUAAAUAUAGAUGUAGAAUGUAUUACGAUUUUUUUAAAUAUUUUUUUUGUUGAUUUAUAACAAAUUUCUAUCUAAUAUUUGGUUAGUUUUUUUUUUUUAAAAAAAAAAACUCAGUUUUUUGUGCUAUGUAUAAUUAUAUAUUUACACAUUGACAAGAAAUAAAUAAUAAUAAUAAAUUUAUACUUCUAAACUAUGUACAGUCACUCAAAACCCUAAAUCAAUGAUUACAUGAAUAAGAACCUUAACCUUAAUGAAUUUAGAUUCUCUAUAUGGUUUCAACUUAACAUUUAAUUUUCUCAUGUGCAUAUAUAAGGUUUCUGUGUAAAGGUUGAAAUUUUAUCACGUAUUAGAAGGAAAUGUUAAUCGUCAAUUGAAUUAUCAAUAUUAUAAAUUAUCUAAGUUGAUCUACUUAUUGAAACAAUUAUUGUUUUGACCUUUAAUCAGUACAAUUCCAAGAGUUACCAAUCACACUCACUGCAGUACUUUUAAUUUUAGAAAGAUGAAUUAAAUACAAACUAAAAUUAGGAAAAAUGUCUUCAAAAUUCUAAAAAAAAAUAUCAUACACCUAGUUUUAGAUUGAUUUUUUUUAAAAAAAUACAACUCAACUUUCAAAAGUUUAAAGAAAACAUAAAAUAAAAAUACCCUCGAUACUCCUAAUACUUCCUUGGCAAUAAUAAUAUUCUAAAAAAAAUGAAAUGUUUCCUCUAUUAAUUAAUGUGGUAUGAUAAAUUAUUAUGAUGUUUUUUCUAAUUGUUGGAUCAAUUAUAGGUAAAAAACGAAGAUAAAUUUAAUAAACAUGAAAUCCUAUAAAAUCUAAAAAAAAUAAAAAUAAAAAUAUUGCUUUAAAACAUAAGAAAACGAUAAAGAAUCAAAAUUUCCCAGCUAGCAUAAGUAAUUAAUUUCAUGAAAAGUUUAGUAAAAUAAUAAAGGGGGAAGGAAAUGAAGGAAACAGAGCCAAAAGCCUCAACAUCUCUAAAAUUCAAAAGCAAAUAAUAUGUAUAAUAUGCUAAAGCUGACUUUGCGCCAAUAUUAUUCCCUUGAAAACGCUUCAGAUUUCUUUUCAAAAACAAAACAAAAAAAGAGAAAAAAAGCAAAAAAGAAAACGGGGAAAAAGGGUUCAUGUUUGAUGAUGGCAGAUAAAGUCAAGUUACAUCUGAAUUUCCACUUCACCAGCUUUCUUCUUUAUAUUUUUUCUCAAAACUAAACUCAUUGGGAGGGUAAGAAUAACCGAGUAAUAUGAGAAUCCGUUCUACCUAAUCCAUUUUAGGUUAGGUUAGUUUAAUUUUUUUUCGGAUUGAGUGAGAUCUUUGGUUGGAGGGUUGAAAAAUUCGGAUCAACCCAAUCCGAAUUAAUAUAAUAUAUAUAUAUAUAUAUUAUAUUUAACUACUACUUAUUUAAUCUUAGGAGUGUCGAGGGUUUUAUUUUUCUUUAUUUAAUGCGAAAUACAUUUGAUUUAUGCGUGAUGAUUUCCAUUUACAAACAUUAAAAUUUAGAAACGAAAAAAAUAAAUAAAAAUAAUACAACCCUAAACCCAACAAAACUCAAUAUUGUACGGAUUGGGUUGAAAACUUAAUUCGGGUUAUUCAAGUUGGAAACUCAACCAAACAGAAAAUAUGGGUUGGAUUUCUAACUCAACCUAACUCCCAUCUGUUUACACCCCUAAAACUUAUAAUGUAUUUGAAAUAAGUUUUUUUUUUUUAAUUUUUGUUUCUUUUAAAAAAUUAGUAUAGCUUAACACGCAUUAGUUGAACUAUAAUAUCAAGAUUUCAAUAACAAAAGAAGAAUAAAUAAUAACAUCGGGUAUACAUGAAAAUCAAGUUUUGGGAGAAAAAGCUAGGAUACGCGACUUUUGUAUAUAUCUAACUUCUUGUUAUCAAAAGAAUACAAUGAAUGGGAUGGGUCUUGACAAAAAGGGAAAUAAACAAGGGUAUAAAGAUUACACAAAUACCCUUAAUACAAUUAUUUUCAACACUUCCCAGAAUUUGAGGCGUCGAUGUCAAUUAGACCUAACUUGUUAUUGCAUGAGUUGGUACUAUGCUUGAGUAGCAUCAACAAUUUGUUGAUUUGAUGGAAUGUACAUAAUAGAAAGUAAAUAUUGUCAUUGUCAAGUAUAUCUUUAAUGAAGUGUUUGUCAAUCUCCACAUUUUAGCUCUAUCAUGUUAAACGAGAUUAUUAGUUAUGGUGAUAGCGGUCACUAUAAGAAUUUUGGUCUUUGUCGACAUUUUUUUUUUGUGUGGGCACGUUUCGUAAUCAAAAUCCCGUUGUUGACGUUAUAUUGGCAGAUGUGCCCACACAAAUUAAAAUCGUGGGCAGAAAAGACAUUUUUGCCCAUAAAAAAAAUGUCGAAAAAAAUGUCGUUUUAUCCAUGAUCAUCAUCACGCGGCAAAAAUAGACUUUCUUGCCACAAAAACAACGUCAACAAAAAUGUCUUUUUACCCACGAUCACCAUCACGUCGGCAAAAAUAGACUUUUUGACCACGUGCGUUUCGUGAGUAAAAACUAUCUCUGCCAACGAAAAGUUUUUUGUUGGCAAUAAGAAAACUUCUCCCCAUGCUAAAUUUGUUGACAGAAGAAAACAACAUAUUUUUAGCUACACAAAAAACAUGGCAAAAAUGAUUUUAAAUUUUUUCCACGUUUAUUAUUAAUAUUGUAUGCUUCUAGUUUAAUUUUUGAAUAAUAAAUUUCUUGGCUAUAUCAAAAUAUAUCGAAUAUUUAAACAAAAAACUUAAAAAUGAAAUUUCAACCAUUAUUAAUUUGUCAAAAUAUGACAAACCAUAAUUAGUGUGUCAAGAUAUGUGAGCUAUAUUAAAUUUCAUUUUGGCAUACUCAAUUGAAUAAAAAAAGUAUUAAAUACACAGAAAAUGGUUAACUUAGUCCGAAGGUCUUCAAGAAAUAGUCAUUUCUCGCUUCUUCAAAUCAUAUAAACCUGAAAAUGUACAUUAAAUUGGAUAAGAACAUGCAAAAUCUUAACUACUUGUUUCAAAAAAUCUUAACUACCUGUUUCAAAUGAAUUAAGUAUCAAAAUAAAUCAAGUAAAAUUAAAUACUUUUAAGACAAAUAACCCAUAAAGUGUAAAAGUAUAAAAAAAUUUAAUGACAUAUGUACCUUAAGACAAAAAAGAAUCCUCAUAUAUGUUCAUCCAAAAACCCAAAAGAAUGUCCUAAAAAUAUUAAAAGAAGAUACAAAUAACCUAAGUAUAACUUUCAAAACAAAAUCAACCCAACUAAGCAUGUGCUCAAAAGUGUCUUAACUCUUAAAGCCUUCCUACAAAACAAGUUUCAAAUACCUAGUGUGAUCACAAAACACAAACUCAACUACAAUAAAUCAAUCUAAAAACCUAAUUGUGAAAUGUCACUAUAUGCAUAAUUGGCUAUCGUAACUGCACGAUAGUCACAAAAUAUUUUAACUCAAGUUCAAAAGGUAAAUGUGAAAUGUAUGCAUGAGCGACUACCGUAACUGCAGAAUAGCCACAUAUAAUAUUGAAACAUACUUUAACAAUAUAAUUAUUUUUAAUUUUAGUUUAGGAAAAUACCCCUCUUCCUCUCCUAGAUCCAACCUUUUUUUUUAUGUCAGCCCACCUUUGUUCCCAUUCUUCUCUUUCUCACGUGUAGAUGACACAUUACCACCUAACGGUUCACCACUUUUUGAAUUGACAGUUUGCAUUGAGCAACUACCUAAUACAAUUUCAUAUGCCUUCGCACUACAGAUUAAGUUGACUAUACAAUGAUUGCAAGCAUCGUCGGAUUUAGUAUAAGCCCAGGGAGGCGAGUCCCCCCUCAACUUUAUUGUCUUUAUAUAAUAUGUAUAAACAAAAUCGAUUAAUGAUUAGUAUUUGUAGAUAGUUUAGUGGUAAUUAUACUAGUCACCCCCUUUUCCAACUAAAGUUCAAGUCUUUCUUAUCUAGCAUUUUGUCUAGAUUUUUAUUUUUCCUCUAAGUUACAAUUUAAAUUCUCUAAAAAUAUUUUGCAUAUUUAAUAAUAUAUGUAUAAAUGAAUUACUUUUACAUCUAAAACAGUAUAAGAAUGCAUAAAAGAAACAUAAUUGUACCUCCAACCGAUCAAAUCAAGAGCUCCCUUACGCCUGUAGAUACAACCUUCGAGUUCUCACAACUAAAUGGAAUAGUGUUUCGAACUGCAAUACCAAAGCUUAACUCAUUUUUAGGGGCAAAGGCAGUCACUGGUUUUCCUUCCUCUUCGUCAAUCUCUAUCUUGAUCUUUUUAUGUUUUUCUACAAAUUUGUCCAAUUCUAUGUUUCGAUCAUACCGUUUCACAUCCCUUCCUCGCUUUUUAGUUCGUUAUUGAGGUCCUAAAAGUAAAACAAUUUUUCUUCAGUGACGUAUAAGAAAUAAACUUACAUAUCAUAUUAAUACCUGAUGCCCUCUUGCCAUCUUGAUGAGUGGAAGGAUCAACUAGUGGACUGUUUGUUUGUUCAACUUCAGUCAAAUGGCAAUUGUGCUUGAUCUGGACGUACCAUUAAGCUGCAAAAUUAACUAUUAGUGGUUAUACUUUAAAAUAAGAUGUCAUAAGUAAAUUUUAUAAAUUUAUUCCACUACAAGAUGUAGGGUUUGUCCGAUGCAAACAUGCGUCAGCCAAAUCCACAAAACGAGUCGGGAAUGGCUAUCCCAACGUAGAAAUCCACGUUGGUCUGAGCAUCGACAGUACUGCGUCUUUAUAGGCAAAGUCGACACACAACACAAUGACAUCGGAAAAAUCGUUUGCCUGAGGAGGACUAUGUUGACUGACGCGCGACGUCAAGAAAUCAUUGUUCGAUGUGGUCAUCACAUCGACAAUGGGCAUCCAUGCUCGACGUGCUUUGUGCAUCGGGAAACCUUUUUAUAGUAUUUUAUAUAUAUUAUGAUUUAAUUAUUUUCGCUGUUGGGACUAUAUAUUUGAUUUAAAUUCAACCAAAUUCUAGACACAAAUAACAUAAAAUUAUUAAAAUAAAAAAUCAAAUUUAUAUUAAAAUUAACUCAAAUGUUAAAAAAGUACAAGUUUGUAGGUUCUGAAAUUACAUGAAUAAUAAAUAAAAAUUAAAACAUAAUUAUAAGUGCCGACGCCAGUUUUCCCAACUUCUACACAUUGCCUCAACAUGAUUAUAGCUAGUAUGACAAUAGAGACAUGAGCAGAUUUCAAGGAGGAAAAUUAAACAUUAUUACGAGCUGCGUUGAAGGAAAUUAUGAGUUUGUUUCAAAUAGAAACGACCCUUGCUUUGGUUGUUCUAGAAAAGUGAUUAGAAAGAGAGGAGCAGUAAAUGCCAAGAUCGAGAACCGAAUAUGUAAGCCAUAGAAAGUUCCCUACUUGCAUAUUAAGUAAAUAUGAUUUAUAGCCUUUUUGACAAUCAGUCAUAUUUACUUAAUAUGCAAGUGAAAAACUUUCUAUGGCUUACCUGCUCAGUUCUCGAUUAUGUCAUUUUUUGCUCCUCUCUUUCGAAUAAAUUUUCUAAACCACUAAAGCAAGGGUCGUUUCUGUUUGAAGCAGCCUCAUAUUUCCCUUCACGCAUCUUAUACGUAAUAAUGUUCAACUUUCUUCUUUGCACAUUUUUGUCAAUGUCCCUGUAACCAUUAUAGCUGCUACUAUUUGACUUUCUAAUGUAAUUCUGAUUUCUUGAUGUUGAGCUCCAUCAUUAUUACAUAUUCAAGUUUUAAAUUGUUACACCUAAGCUUCUCUAUAGUCUUCUCAUACUUUGCCCUUUCAAAGCAGAUUGUAAUUCUGAAAUAUACAAUAAAUUUAAUAUCAACAUACAUACAAUAUACAAUCUAUACAUACAAUUUAUGUAAUUCAAUGUUAAGAUAAAUUAAUAAAAUUCUAACUUUAUGACAAUAUAUGUAAAGAUCGUAAAAACUUUAAUAGAAACAAUAUAGAUUCAACUUCAACUUCAACUUCAAAUUCAACUUCAAUUUCAACUUCAAUCCUAAACCCUACCAACACUAAAUUCAAACGCAAUACUAAAAUCUACGACUUAAAUCAAAAUUUAAACACUAAAGCUAAUUUGAAACCUAAAACGUAAAACUAAUUUGAAAUCUAAAAACUAAAACUAUACACUUCUACGUUGGCCUUAGAUGGGGCAUCGUCGAUGUUUACCUGCAUGGCAUCGCGGAAGGCUUAUAUUGUCUCGACGUCUUAUGUCGGCAUAUAUGUUCAAUGCCGACACCAUUUUUCUGCGUCAAAAAAAGCUUUUUCUUGCAACGUUUUUUUAUUCCGACGCCUAAACCUGCUUCGAAAUAACUCCGAUUUUUUGUAAUGUUCAUUACCAUCCAAUGAUUAUAGUUGCUCAAGUUCAUCCUUUAUAAAAUCGUCAUCCAUUAGGAAUUGAUCUUGAUUAUCUAUCUCUUCGGACUCAACAUUACCUCUACACAGUAGGAUAUCGUGUUUUCAACAACAGUUUUAAGAUUCACAAACUAAAAUAGUCUUUUUAAAUUUAGAAACAAAAUAGAACAAAGAUUCACGAACAAUACUAAAAGUUGAACAUAUUUCAACUCAUGUAUUUAUUAUUAUUAUUAUUAUUAUAACCUUUCUAUAGUGGAGUGAAAGAGCUUUAUUUAUUUAUUUGGCUAAUCAAUUUUUAUUUUCACGAGAAAAAACAAGUACACUCUGAACUGAGUUUGAAUUUAUAUAAAAGCGUGUCAUUUUGGUCCACUUGGGUUUGUAAUAAUAGUAAUAAUGCAUUGUCUUUUAUGUUGUAAACAACUGUCAAUCUUUUAAAAUAUUACAUUUGUGUGGACAUUACAUAAUUUUGUCUCCCACAUAUGGCUAUUUCAUAUAAAUCCAUUAACGUUUUGUGAAAAAAAAAACAUUUAUAUCCAUUACUGUCUUUCAACUUUACUGCCAUUAAACUUUUUAACAGAAGGUAUAAUACAUAUCAUAGUUACAUCUUUUUCUUCUUUUUAAUCCUUCAUAACAAUGAAUUUUCACGCUGUUAUAAGGGCUUUUUACUCAAGUACGUACAUAUAACAUACUGAUUUUAAACGCAACAAGUACAUUUUAGACUAAUAAUUAUAAUAACAUUUUAAAAUAAUUAUGAAUAUAGUAAAAUAUAGUAGGGAUAUAGACUCUAUGGUUGAUAAACUUGUAUUAAUAAUAGGCCCUAUAGGGGAAGGAGAUGCGUAUUAGUGGUAUAGCUUAUUGGUAAUACAUUAUAAGAUUUGGAUCUAAAGUUCACUAUAUUUGGUAUAAAAAAAAUUUUAUACUGUAAUAUGUCUACUUAUAUACUUUAGAUCUAAUUGUUAUAUUUACGGUUGCUUUUAUGUUGAUAGGUAUGACUAUUAUAAGGUUACCUACUACGUUUUCUCUCUAGCCACAUUUCAUAACCCAAUCACCAAAGACAAAAUGACCAAAUGAAGCGUUAGCAAUGUUUAGUUUAAUGAAGAAGAGAACCAAAAUAUGCAAAUGCUAUGGAGGACGAUAUUAUGGAGAAUAACUAGAUGCACGAGUAAGAAGAUAAAGAUGUUAUGGAAGAGAAUAAACACAAGGUUUCAAGUGGAUGGACAAGGUGGAGAAACUACAUCCACUAAAGAGGAGCAACUCCAUUGAUAUUUCUUGGAAAAUUUACAAAUUAAAGAUACUUUUAUCCUUUUCCUAUCCUAUAAAAGAAAGACUUUCAUACAUGUGCUUUAGUUAUUUUUUAUUCUUUUAUCAGGAGUGACCUGACUAGCCUAGGACAACAAGAGAUAUAGUUAUUAAAAAGAAGUACGAGAUCAAUGUUGAUGACAACUAGCUAGUUUAACAAUCUCUGCCUUGAAAUUGACAUGUACCUAUCAUCUUACUCUCUUUUCACAUAUGAUUUCAUCCUUUUUCGGAUAUAUCAAAAUCUAUUAGCUUGAAACAGUUGAGAAACUUUAGAUAUGAAACAAGUUUGGUCAUCGUAUCAGCAACAUUAUUCAAGGUAUGUUACCUUUAUCACUUCAAUCUUUUCAAUAAAAUGAAAUUUAAUGUUUUUAUAUAUGUUUUUGUUUGACCGCAGAUAUAGAUGUAUAACACUUUAAAUAUCACAUUGUUUAGUUGUUUGAUGCUAAAAUUACUUCAAAGAACUUCUAGCUACUAACACAUAUAAUGUAGGUUUAGAAGCAAUUUUGUGCAAGUCAUAUAUAUUUAUAUAAAACUAACAUUGUAUGAAUAUUUUUAGUUGGUCCAGUGAUAAAUUAAUAUACUAGCCAACUUUAGACUUAGGUUUAAUCUCAUUCCUUGCAUUUUUUUUUAUUAACAAUUAUUUUUUGAUCUGUGACUGUUUGUAGCCCAUAAUCCUUCUUUAAUAUAGCUUCAGAAGAGCUAUACUACUUCUAUAGUAAAUAAGGUCCUUACAGAUAGUAGGGAAGACUUUGAAUUGGUUAUUUGUCACCCAGUAGAAACACAAAUAACCGAAUAAGGACUCUUUCAUCGAGAUCCCUUACACAAUCAAAGUCCACAUAUAGUUGAAUAAUUUAGAAGUAGAAAAUUUAUAUAUCUUUUUUAUAGAUUAGGUUUGCUAUCCCAUACAUGGCUUAAUUAAUAUAUCUAAUUAGUAUUAACUUAUUGGCUGUCUUAACAUCUUUUACCUAGAUUAUUCAUGAAUGUAAUAGCUAACCAAUCUUGGUUUGGUGAAUAUAUAUGAAUAGAUCUGGUCUUGUACAAAAUCAUCAAAAUACACCAAACUUCCUACUCCUUGGGAAUACGAGAUUUUUAAACAUCAAACUAAAUGUUGAGUGCCAUUUUUGUUUAGUGAUUUGUUGUAGACAACUUAAAGCAUUAAAAGCUAGAAGAGUUGAAAUCAAAUUAGAACCUCCCAUUUUGAAUUUUUUUGUACUAUAUAUCGUUUUACAUUAAUAACUCUAUUGGUUGAUAUGCAACAUAUAGUUACCUCUGUUUCUACAUAUUUCAUCUCUCUUACGAAAUUCACUCGGAUUCACUAAAAUCCUUCAUAUCAAAACUUCUUUUUUAGUAAUAUUUUUCCAUACUUCAUAUCAUCACUAAAACUUCCUACUAAGAGCAUGACAUCCUCAUAUAGAAGUAGAUCAAACACACAAUUCUUUUCAUUCUUUUUCUAAUCUAGCUAGGGCCGGGAUAUGUCCAUGUUUUGUAGAUCAUUCUGUGUUAGAUACGAAUGGAGAAAACUAGUAAAAGAGAGGAAGUGAUGCAAAACUGAAGUGCAUGAGUUUCAUUCUAAUUAUGCCUUAUGUAGGCUUAAAUUACACCAUAAAUAACAAACUAACCAAACCAAAACAAAUAGCACAAGACUAGGCACAAAGAAUAGCAACCCUAAAGACUGGCAACAAAAAAACUAAAUAUAAUCAAUUCUAUUUUUCACAUCCUCCCUUAAACUAAAAACUAUGCUAUUUAGUAUUUAGUUUAAAGUAGUAGAGGAAACCACCUCAAAUAAGCUUCCGGGGUUCACAAAUUUCCUAGUUUGAGAGUCUUGGUUAAAAUAUCUGCCUCUUGAUCUUCACUUUUAUAGUAGCUUAGAUUGAUAAUUCCGUCAUCUUUAAGAUCUUUCAAGUAAUGGUAUCUUACAUCAAUGUGCUUCCUUGAGAGCUUGAUUGUUGAUAUGUUAUCACAAUGAAUGAUAGAUGAUUCUUCUUACUUAUAAUGGAAACUCUAAGAAAUGUUCCUAAACCAAGCAUGAAAACAUAUACCCUGAAGAACUCUUUCUACAUCGUUUAAAUUUUCUGCAUAAUCACUAUCUCUAAAACCAACAAAGUUUAGUUUUUCUCUUUUUUGAUGAAGAAUGUCAAGAUCAGAAGUCCUUUUUAAGUAACGUAAGAUUCUAACUGGUAGCAAGGAGAUAAAGCUCAGUUGGAGAUUCCAUCAAUUUGCUGAUUAAACUUAUACAACAUACAUAAUAUCAGUCCUUAUAGCUGUUAAGUACAUCAAGCUUCCAAACCAUUUGCUUAUAGAGAGUUUAAUUCAAAAUAUCAGAAUAAAAGAAAUUCAAUUUAAAAAAGAGAAAGAAAUUUGUUCAAAUUUACCAAACACAUUUUAAGAAAGAAGAAAGCACAUAGUUGAUUUUCCUUAUUCCAAAAAAUUCAAGAAGGUUUAAUCCCAACAAAAUAUUUUGAAAAAAACCCAGAGGUUCUUAAGGGAGCAAAUGGAAAAAUAUUAAAUAUCAACUUCAAAUUUUCAAAAGUGCAUGUAUGUGACAAAGAACAUUGUUUCAAAACAUCCUUUCUUUUAGUUAAAGAUCUUCACAAAGAAUUAAUCCUUGGAAUGCCAUUUAUUAAUUACUCAUUUAUUUCCUUUGACAAUUACAAAAAAGGGAAUAAUAACAAUAAAUUUGAAGAGGAACUAAUUUUUUAAUAUAUUUCUUCAAUUUUACCUCCUAAGCUUUUAUAAAUCAAUGUCUUAAAAAGUGAAAAAACAAAAGCAAAUUCAUUUUCUAAAAUAAGAAAUUGAUUACAAAAGAAUUGAAGAAAAUUUGAAAAAUUCUUCAAUUCAAAAUAGAAUAAAAGAGACUCAAUUCAAAAUUGGAAAAGAAAUUUGUUCCAAUUCACCGAACGAAUUUUGGGAAAGGAAAAAGAACAUAGUUAAUCUUUCAUAUUCUAAAGAAUCCAACGAAUUGUAUAUCCCCACAAAGACUAGAUGGAUUCAAAUGAAUCAAGACUUGCUAACACAUUGCAGGAAGUACUGACUAGAUAAACGUCUAAUAAGGUCCUAAAAAAGUCUAUGGUCAUGUGUUGCUCUAUGUUAAUAUCGUUGUUGAAAAGGAGCGUAGAAGUCAAGCUUAGUGAUGGAUUACAAAACCUUUAAACAAAGUUUUUGGAAUGGAUUAAAUAUCCAAUUCCCAAUAAACUAAACAACAUUUACUUAAGAGAAUUGCAAAUGCAAAAAUAUUUUCAAAACUGCUUUUAAUCUUCUGUUGGAACAAUAAAAAAGAAAUUUAAUGCCAUUUGGGUCAAAGAAUGCCCGGUCGAAAGCUAAAAAAAUCAUGAAUGAUAUUUUCAAUGAUUUUCAAGAGUUCACAAUUUUUUAUAACGAUGAAGUUUUAGUCUUUUCUCCAAAUUUAGAAAAACAUUUUACCAUUUAGAGGUUAAGGGAUAUGCCCUUAUAUAAGUAGAUGGAUCUCCCACCGAGAUUUCAACUAUAGGUUUACAAAGUCGAAAGACAAAGAGAGUGACUCACAGGACAGGAUCCAUGGCUGGCAACUUAUCUCUUUGGAAUCUUUCUUUUUAAAAAAGAAAAUAUUACAAUAAAAUUUGAGUACGAUAUGACCCCACUUAUCCUUCUCUCUUCCUAAUGCAACAAAAUAUUAAAAUACAAAUCAAAAAGUAAAAAUACAAGCAAACAAAAAUAAAAGCAAAGCUGAAAAGAUAUGUCUACAAUUGUCCUCAAGCUUUUUUUUUUUUUUUUGUAAUUUAUUCAUAGAAAUGAUGGUGAUAUCACUCGACUUCGUCUGAAUGGCUAGGAAUGGUCAUAGCAUGCAAUAACUGUAGAUUCUGCGAGCUAGAAUACGUUCAAGGACUUAAUCUCGGCUUCCCCGCCAUUAACUGCCCAAGCAUCCUAAUCCCUUUCAAUCAGUUGGUCGUGGUAAGCUUUUCUAACCAAAAUCAAUCCUGGUUGGUUGCAAUGGCAUGUGGUUGGUCAUUCCACUUUAGUCACUUGUCAUCUUCAUCACCUCCCCCUUGAUAAAAAAUUACUUUAAUCGACGAUUACAAUUUGCAAGCUGGAUAUACAUGCAUGGUAUUUAUGUACUUUUUUUUUACAAAAACAAAAACCUAUGUUUCAUCCUUGUUGGAAAUUGAAAUAGGGGUCGAAAAUAUCAAAAUUGUAAUAGGGAUCGUUAUCAAAGUCGAUAUCAUUGACAGAUAAAUCUGAAGAUAUUUUGAUAUCUUUAGGGUCAUCUUCUUUGUUGUUGUCGAAAAUGGUAUGGAUGUCUGUUUCCAUGACUGCUUGGAGGUCAGCUUUAGAUUUAGCUCCAGCAAUAGAGGUAAUUAUUGAAUUUUUCCUCAUAAGGAACAUGUCUUCUUCUUUGCAAGAGAGAUGAGCGUUAGUUUUAAAGCACUUUGCUAUUUGAUCUUCAUUCAGAUGGGAGUAGUCGUACUUAUCCCAUCACUUAACCUGCAAGAUCUUUCCUAAGACCUUGAACUUCUAGUUGAAAGCUGGUGACUUCAACAAAACAUCUAGGGCACUUGGAAAUUUAGAGAGAAUCUAUACGUCGGUGAAAGGGUUAGCAAAUAGAUGCUGGUUGAGAAUUGGUGGUAGACACGUUGGACCACGAUUAGGAAAAUCUCUGGAGUUAGGCCGAAGUAGCUCCACAACGAGUGGUUUUGAGAUUCAUGCCAUAGAACUUUAUACCAAGCUUCCAUGUAGUCUGGUUAAGGGUACGUUUGAAGGCUAAAUGAUUUGAAAAUUUUCUUGGGAACAAACAUCCCUUGUGGCUUGUGAGAUGGUGUUAGAACCUUGAAAAUCUUGAGUUUAGAGUAGACAAUUUCUUUGGGAUUAUUCUAAUCCGGAAUAUGAGUAAUUUCGAUAGAGACACUGUCUACCAAAAUGAACUCAUAGAAUUGUCUCGUUUUCUCAAUGUCUUUCAGGAAGAAGUUGAACCCAUGGGGGUAGACGUGGGAGAAAAUUUCUUAGACGGAUAGUCCGUCGAAUUUUGGUUCGAUUACCACAUCUUCUAGAAUUGUUUUGGUUUGGUAACCUAUGAUCGGUGGUAGGGGCAUGAAUACCACUAGUUUAACUUUCAAGCAGAUGAUUUAGGCUUUGAUGGUGGCCUAAUUUAAGUUGCGGCGCUUGUUGGGUGCAACAACGAUGUUGAGAGAUCUACGGUUGAUCCAAUUGUGAGAUUCCUUUGGGAGGAAUCUUGAUGACGCCUUGAAACCGUUUGGAAACUCGAAUCCAUGGAAUAAUUAUUUGCACAUAUAAGUGCAGAUGCUUGAGAAAUAAGGUGUUUACCCUUGGAAGAGCUUGUCCUAGAGGAGCUAGCUAUUUGAGGAGUAGUCGAAUUAGGCUAAUUUCGUGGAACAGGAGGUGGAGGCCUUCCUAGUGGUUGAGGUCGGUCAGGAUUUGGAAACAUUUUUGGGAUUGCUCGGAAUACUAUGAGGGAGUUUGUUUUUUAGAGAUGCUCUCUUGAUAGGUAAUCUGCAAGGCAAUUUUUCGCUGCUUUUUAUAGGCUCAUUUGAGAAAUCAAAACAAGAUAUGAUUGCCUGCCAUCUUGCAACGAUUUGCUUUGAAACAAGAUUCUUUACAUUUUUUCAAACAUGAAUUUACUUGCUUUUGAAUUCGUUAUGACAAGAAAAUCCUAGUUGAUAAGAUCUUCGUGGAAUUUUUGGGUGAAAUAUACUAUUGCAACAACUUUCUUUUUUACCGUGGAAUAGUUUUGUUGAGCACUAUUCCACACACCAGAAUGGAAACAGAUAAGAGAUUCUUUUCUAUUUAUUUCCUGUUUGAGAAUAUUGUCGUAACCCUUCUCAGAAACAUCGAUUUUGACAAUCAUCUUGGCUUUUUCAUCCACAAGCGAUAAGCAUGGAAUGCCUUUGGCCAGGGAUUUAAUUGAUUAAUUGGACCACUUGAGUGUACUCAGUCGUCCAUGGUUUUUUAUUUUUCUUAUGUCUAUCAUAAAGUGGCAGACCAAUUGUUCGGAGGUCUUUAAUAAAGUCUCUGAUAUAAUUGACGCACCCAAGAAAUCGGUGUGGUUGGGUCUUAUCUUGAAUUUCAUCAGGAAACAUAUCCACAAAGUCUAAUGACCUCUGGAUAGGCUUGAUGAUUUCUUGAUCAUUAUCAUUAUUGUGAGACCUGUUUUAAUUGGAGUAUAGGAAGUAAAAUUUUGGCUAAAAGUUCUAUAGAAAUUGGUGUUUGAAUAUAUACGCAGAAAAGAUUAAGCGAUAAAAUCUUUUAUUGUUAGAAUAAGUUUUUCUAUUAAGAAGUUAAUUCGCAAGAAUUUUUUUAGAAAAGAAGGGUUUGUAGUAGAAUCUAUAAGUUUAAACGCUCUCAAAAGAAAGUUUGCAUAAGUUUUUGACUAAAACGACCAGGUGUUUUGGUAAUCUUCGCGAUAAGAACCAAGAGUUUCGUGAUGAAGAAGUAUACGAGGAAGUCUUGAAGUUUAAAUUCACAAUAAGUGUUCUAAGCGAGUAAAAGUUGGUUAGUUCACGAGGAAGGUUUCUUGUAAAAAUAUAAUUAUGCAAUAAAGUUAUUCGCAAAGUGUUGUGGUUAAAGUUAGUUGCGGUAUGAGGUUAGGCGAGAAGUAAGGUAUGACUAAGAAGAUGUCAAAUUUUAUUUGACAAGAGUUAAUGUAUAAGAUUAAGAAAAUUUCUCUUCCCUCUCCACGAGAAGAGAAGGAAGAGUAGAAUUUUUGUUAAGGUGUGGUGAGUGGUUUUCUUCUUACAUGUUUUGUGGUUCCACUUUACUAUUUUGAAAGAUGAUUUCAAAUGAGAAAGUGUUUCAAAAAGAAGUUACUAAAGUGUUUCAAAUGAAACCAAACGUAGAGAACGAUUCAGGAUCCUUGGUGAAAGGAAUGAAUGUUAACUAAUGUCUAUUUAUGUGAAAUUGUUAUGUUAUGAAUAUGAUAAGUAUAAAGAAAGGUUUGUGUGAGAUGAAAUUAUUUCAUGUUAUUUAUGCGAAAUGAUAUUUAUGAAAAUGUAUUGCAAAAAGGUCUUCAUAAAAUCUCAGUCUUUUAGACAUUCUUUCAAAAAUUCAUCUUUCAAGAUCAGAUGUUUAGGUCAAGUAGAGAAGAAGAUUGAAGAAUUUGCGGCGAGAUGACUCUAGACAUUUUUGAAAUAGUUAAGCAUUGGUUGUUUGGUCAAAGUGUUGAAAUUAUGUAUCAAACACUUGUUAUUAAUAAAUGUUUUGGUAGGUAUUUAUUAUACUUGGCGUUUAGGUUGUCCACUAUUGAGUUUUGAGUUUUAUUGAUAGUAUAAAAGCAGCUGAGAAUAAUAUUUUGCAAUAAGAAAAUUUCAAAGUUGUAACAAACUCACAUCAUAUUUCUACUACUUCGACAUUUUCGUCGUAGUACGGUUUGAGGUGUGACAAUAUCUAAGAAAUCAGAUUUUUGUUUGAAAAAUUUAACCUUUGGUAGAGACACAACAAUGUCAUUUGUUUUAAUGAUAUUGAAUAAACAUAUUUAAAUGUUUAAAAUGUUGAUCAAUAGUUUUCGUAAAUAUUAAAACAUCAUCAAUGUAAACAAUUGUGAAACCUUGAUGUUUAUUGAAUCAUUCAUGAUCUUUUGAAACUUUGAUGGAGCAUUCUUAAGACUGAACGACAUAAAAUUUCAUUGUAUAGUCUGAAGGGAACAUUGAAAGUGGUUUUAUAUCUAUCUUUUUGGUUAAUUUGAAUCUGCCAAAAUCCAGACUUCAUGUCAAAUUUUGAAAAGAUUGUUCAUUAGCAAUACGCUUAAGCAAGUGUUGAUGAUUAUUUAGGGGAUUUUAGUUAAUAACUAGGCGAUGAACAUCUCUUUCUUUUUUAGCCAGAUUGUUAACAUAAAAAGCCACACAAGACCAUGGACAUUUUUAUGGGCUUAUUAAUCCUUUCAUCUAGAGAUCAAAUAUCUCCUUGAAGUAGGUAGCAACUAAGUCAUUGCUCAUUUGAAUGGGUAUGACCUUUGUAGAAAUUUGGGGCUCCUCAAAGUUCUCAAUAUAAAGAAGGUUCACUAUGUGUUUCUUCCUAGCCCAAAAGGCGUUAGGCAAAUGGGAGCAAAUCUCAUAAUCAAUCCUUUUUAGGAUCCAGUUUUAAUUACUCUGUCUUUUUUAAAACUGUCAUAGAAAGACUUUCCACAACAGACGAUACUAAAAAUAUAGUUAACAUUUUUAUGUUGUCAAGUAUAAAAAUAUAAAAAUACAUUUUAUUUCCAUCAUUUCAUUAAAUAAAUUUAUUAAAAAUUACUUUAUUAAAAUAAUCUAAUUAAAAAUUACUUUAUUAAAAUAAACUAAUUAAAAAUUACUUUAUUAAAAAUUAUUUUAUUAAAAUAAACUUAUUAAAAAAUUUCCCUCAUUUACCAAAUUCACAAUUUUCCCUCCAUUUUUAAUUUCCCUCCAACCCAGUUUUAAUUACUCUCUCUUUGUUUUUUUUGUUUGUUUUUUUCAAAUGUCUUUCUCUUUCCCUUUUUGUCUAUAUUUUUCUUUUUCCCUCCAUUCAUCCAAAUUUCCUUUCCUUCUCUCUUUACCCACAAUUUCCCCCUUCUUCCCCUUCCCUACCAUUUCUCCAUUCCUUCCAAAGUUAAUCAUUCCUACUCCUAGCACCGCACCUCAGUCACUACCUCAUCAGUCGCUAACACUGACUCCAAUAGCAAGCUCAAAAAAAUCUUACUACCGCUGUGAUGCUAAUUCCAGCUGUGCUACAACUUCUGAGAUCGUCCAAAUUUGACUCCAACCUCCUCCUUCUCGACUUACGUUGUUGCACACUACCAGAAGAUGUUUCCAUUUUGAGGCCUUUCAAUUUUCGUUGCAAAGCCACAAAUUACAUCACUCUCUCCAUCCACAUCUACCUUUUUCAUCUCCACUAGCCCUAAUUUCCAAAUUCCACAAUAACAUCCCAAUUUGAAGGACUUCUUCUCAUGUACUGAUUCUUUAUCACAAAGGACUUCUUCUCGUGGGAUGAUGUGCAAGUUCCAUCUUCACCGUACUUCCCCACUUAUGCAUAAGUGCCAGACCCUCCUCCAAUGGUGCAAGAACACUUCUAAAGUGUUAUAAGCCAACUUUUUCACAAGCCUUAUGUUGUACUUGUAGGUUGUUAUCAUCAUCAGUUGAUACUUUAAAGUCCUUGGCAGUAGAAGAUUUUACACACACCUUUUCAAAUUUAACUGGAAACUUAAAAUACCGUAUGUUGGCAAAAAAUUACAUAAACAAAUUUUCUUAUAAUUUAUAUUAAGAUUAAGCAUGUUUAAGCAAAUUAUAGAUUAAGGAACUACAUAAUAGAGUAACUUACUCUCGUUGACGUCUUUAAAUGUACAAAUCAACAAAUUAGAAACUCAACUAGUUAACGGAGUUACAUCUAGUGGUUACUAUUUCGUGGUCCGAUCUUAUACAAACUCAUUACAUAAGAUGCCCUCACUGGCAUGUCACCUACACACAAAGACGUUUGAUCAUUGCGUUCAUAUCAAAUACAAAGUGAGUCAUAUCCAUAGUGUUACCAGGAUAAGGUUGAUAAGGUAUCCAACUUUAUCCCUAUAUUAUAAACUUUUUAAGUUGACCUCGAAUAUUGAUCCAUGUAUGUCUUUAUAUACUAUUCAAGACUCAUCAAAUAGCUUAGGAUGUUAGUUUAUUGGAUUUAGGUUCUUAAGACAAAGCUAGUAAUAUAAUCAAUAACGCUUAUUGGAAUAAUAAUAAUGAUAUUUUAUUAAUAAAUAACGGUCAGUGAAUUAUAUUUACUAUCUAUAAGUUUUAGAAUAUAAAUCCCAACAGAAUCCGUAUUUAUUUUCUCAAGAUUCAAAAAAUAUAUUGCCAGUCAAAGUUUGACUUUUCAAUAUGAAAAGUCAACAUUUUGACUUUUUUGACAACUUUCACUAUUUCCAUCAAUUUCGAGCUUCCGAGUAUGAAUUUGUAUUCAUAUCUUUAAUAUUUAAUUUCGAUUUAAACAUAAAGCUCUAUCUGUAAUCUAAAAUUCGACAGCUUUAUCACUUAUGUAUGUCAGUUUCUCUCUCCUCGCCUAAUUUGUACAAUUCGAAUCAUUCCAUCAUAUUGUUCUAAGUUUAUUCCAAUAUAUGAGCUAGCAGAUGAACCUAAUGGACCUAUAGAUCAUGGACUCCAACGAUCUGAGAUUAACUGUCUAAACUCUUUUAGAUCGAGCUAAUAAACAUUCGUUAACUAACAAGUUAUUCCACUAAAGUCGCGUAGUUGUACUCUCCUCACUAUAGAUAUGUUUGUGUACAUUUGACAUAACCAUGAUAAGUAAAUUAAUCCUUCACAGAUUGUUCGUAAGCUCGGCUGGGUCAAAAUACCGUUUUGCCCCCGAGACUACAUCUUCCUCCUUAAGUCACAUUGAUCCUCUAUUGAACAAUUGGUUUAAAGUUCAACUCGUUUAAAGUCCAACCUAUAAACUGAUUCCCUCUCAGACCAAUGAGGGGGCCCUUUGUCCAAGACUUGGAUUCAAUUUUUAUGGAAACAACCUAUCUACUAGCCCUAAAGAAGGUAUGAGUGAAUUUUAUCUUGCACCCUAUGUCCCCAGCUAUCCACUCGAUCUUAUCCCUAAAAUGGGAGGCUUAUUAGACCAAUGCUAAAGAGUUGUCCUCACCUAUGCAAAUCUAAGGAUAAUCUCGGUGAACAAGAGUUCAUAGUUAGCUCAGAAUUAAUAUUAAGUUACCUAGGUCAUCAAUAAACAAGAUAGUUAGUUUUAAAUAGUAAACGACGUUAUAACGUAAAAUUGACUAUUUCAUGGUUCAAUCUUAUAUAAACACUUUACAUAGGAUGCCCACACUUUCAUGUGUUUCUACAUGAACGAUUCAGAAUCACCUUGUUUGUACUAACUACAAAGAAUACUGCAUCCAUAGUUUCUCUAAAUAAGGUGCCCAACCUUUAUCCAUAUACUAUAGACUAUUUAGGCUAUACACUCGAACUUGAUCCACAUUUAUAUUUAUACAUAAAGUUCAAGUUUACUAAAAAAUAACCUCGAAACUUAGUUUAUUGGAUUUAAGAUUAUAAUAUUCAAUUUCUAAAUAACGACUUUUAUUGAAUAGAAUAUGAUUACAAACUACUAGUUUUAGGACAUAAAUUCCAAUACCAACGACUAUUUCAUCUUCAGACGAAUGGGUAAAUAUCGUCGGUGGCUGUGGACGACUGUCUUAAAAAAUUCAAAUGUUCAAUGUUUCAAGUAUCGUGUUAUGAAUAAUGACUGUUUCUUAUAAAGUAUUUAAAGCUUCAAGUGUUCUAACAAAAUCAUUUAUGAAAACCUGUUUUCUAAAACCAUUUGCUCAUAUGUCUUUCGACUUACUCUUUCAAAUUAUUUUCCCACUUUCUAGAUACAAUUGUGAAUCUUCUCGUGUUGAACGUACUACUGCUAGGCCAACUUAGUUUUUUAACCAUAAAAAGGAAUUGUUUUGCUAAAAAUAUUGCUAUAUUUACUACAAAGUUUAUACUUUCAUAUUUGAUAUAUUUUUACUUAGUAUUUAUAAAAGAAAUUUCAAAUAGGUCACACUGCGGUUUUAAGUAUUUCAAGUUUAAAGACUUUCGCUGUUAAAUCUUUCACGUUUUCAAGUCAAGGGUCAGUUGAAGUUGUUCUGGAGGUGAACGACUUCAACUGACAUCACCCCACAUCUCGAGCCAAUCAAGCAGGUGCUCAGGGUGGGGUGUGAUAGAAAUAAUAAAUGAUAUUAAUAGCCUUAUUAAUUCAUUUAUAGCACGACCAUGCAUUUACAGUCACGCUUAAUCGAGAGGUCCAAAGAUAUCUCUCCCUAACAAAAUGGAUAAAUUUCAUUUUGAUUAAUCAUUGUCAACUACAUAAUUAUAACGUAUUCAAGUACAACCUUUAUAAUGAUCCAGUUAAAGAUAACGUUUGAUUGCAUCAAAAUAGAUUAAUUAUUAUGUUUGACACUAUGAUAAUCUCAGGUCUAAGGAUCAAAACAAUCAUUAUUUGAGAUUAUUUAUGACACAAGUUCAAUCCGACUCUUAUUCUCUAAUAAUAAAAUAUGAUUAUAAUUUAUGGCUCUACAUAUAUAAUCAUCUUAUGACUAUCAAUUAUAACUCAUACUAACCUUUUAAUUUAUUAUUGUGUUCCCACAAUAAUACUCGAUUAGGGACAUUUAUAAUAUAAUAACAUAUUCAUGGAUAUUAUUAUACAAUAAUAUACAAUUGAAUAAAAAUGAGAAUAAUAGCUUUUAUUAAAUAAUUAAACAAUAAACCAAUUAUCCAUAAAAUUAUUAUAGAGCACCAUAAAAAAACCAACACAAACCUCUAAGACAGACGCCCCCAUCUCUAUACGUAUCCUGUGAGAUAGGAAUUAUAUAUAUCCUCUCUGUGCAAUAAUCUCAUCUGAUCUGUCUCGGUGUAGAAUAAAACAUGCUUUAAAACUAUAAACUUUCUUUUUAUAGAAAACAUAAACAUUGCCUGCUUAGAAAUUGUCUGCUUUUGGCAAACUAUAAAAUCAUAACUCAUGCUUUGCUAAAACUUUUACGAACUCAUUUACCCAGAAUUCAUCCCUAAAUUUCUUUUGCUAGCCAUAAAUCAUUCUCAGCCAUUUAGGUUUAAUUAAACUUAGUAAACUAAAUUACAUGCCUAAAUUGUUUAAACAAUUUGGCUAGUAGACAAGUUUAGAAAUUUCUAUUGAAAUUUUGUUUUUUCACUCACAGUGUUUGACUAGAUCCUUGAUACGUAGACUUGACUUAUUUCUUCUUGACCUGUCAAACAAACCACAACCGAGUAUUAGAACCCUAAUAUUUGUGUCCUUCUACGACGUACUUAAUAUUUUUUACUAAAAAUGUCAUACAAAGAUUCCAAUUUUUAAGAACAAAACAAGCUCUUCACAAUUUUGCCUAAAAUUUCUAGAUUCAAACGUCCAACUAUAACAGCUCAUAUCUCACUCAUUUCUUCAUCAAACUAAGGGUAUUUUGUAUCAAACUCUUCCUUUUCAAGCCCUCUACAACUUACUUAAAGACAUGAAUACCUUAUUCUCAGUAAAUUUUCCCAGAUUUCCCUAAAACAGAGACUAUCCAAAAAACGCAUUUCCAGAAACCCUUUGCCUUCUACCUUAAAAUUAACCUAUUCUCAGUCAUUGAUAGCUCCAAUGAUCCUCAUCAAAGUUGUAGACAAUUGAAUAAACUUUCCAACCAUAUUAAAUAGAACUUCUAACGCUUCUUCUACACUUCCGGCUACUCGAAAUACCAGAGGUUUUUUCCAUAUUUGCACGUGCAGAAUCAGUAAGCUAUCUUCUCCUUCAAUUUCCACCAAUCUAACAUCAGACUCAGCUCAAACAUGCUUCAUAAACUUUAUUAGAAAAUGAAUUGAAUUUCACACCCCAUAGGCCUCAGCUCCUAACUCUUUUUUGUAGUUUUCAGUCACCAAAAUAACAGAGGUAUUUAGUAUAUAUGAACCAAAAUCUGCCAUGGUUGAGCUUCAAUUUAAGUUUUCCUUAUCUUCUUCAGCCGAAAAUUUUACACAUUAAAUUGGUGCUUGAUAUCUAUAAAAUAAAUAGAAAGGUUUCGGGUUCACAUUUGGUGCUUGAUAUCUAUAAAAUAACACAUUUUACACAUUAAAUUGCAAAACGAAGUUGAGCUAAACUAGCCAAAAAAUAGCACUUUUUGAGUGUUGUUGAUAAUCCUCUUAAUUAUAGUUGGAAAAGAACAAAAUAAAAGGACAUUGAAAAGAAAAUACGUUAAAUAUAGCUUACCUAUAUCACAAGUAUACGACUAUUUGCUAAGCUUAGCUAGCAGUUUAAGAAUAACAUAACACAAUGUACUUUAUUAUAUUAACCCAGUUCAGCAAAAAUUGCCUAGGUCUAGGGAGCUUUUCUGCUCAAGUACGAAAUAUUAUUGAGAUUCUUAACAUGUAACUUAAUCAUAGGUUACAUUAAACAAUACAAUCAUAUGUAUUAAUGAAAUCAGGCUCCCCUUACUAUGAGCAUACUUGACCCAGGCUCUCUCUAAGUAGAUGCAGAAUACCAUUGAAAACAACCGCUUCUGACUCCUUCAGCCUGUUUGAAUUGAUCGUUCAAUUCUGCAGUUCUUUCAUAAACAUAUUCCUUAUACUAUCAUCGUUGUACACAGAUUAUAUAUUGAAUCACUAGAGACACACAAAAACUCCGUCAUCACCUGUUUAUUCAGUCGAGCAUGACUUUCCCGAAUUGUUGGAUCCUUAUUAUUUUUCACACGCCUCCCAAUGGCAGUCUCUACUGAUAUAUGUAUAUAUUUUUAGAAUAUUUUUUUAGAAUAUCUUUUGAAUGAAGAACGAAUGCAAUCUUAUCACAAUCCCUAGAUGCUAGGAAUAUUAGAUAUUCUCAUAACAAACUUAAGGAUUUGACAAAACAACGUCUUAACAGACAUCAUUGGCUGAGUAGUGAUAGGUGUAAUAUAAAUAUAUAAUUAAUCUUUUUAUUCUUUAUUGAUGCUUAUCGCUUUUUGUAUUAGUAAUACAAGCACAUAUUAGAAAAGAACAUGCAAGUGAUAUGCUUUUACUAUCAUCAAUAAAAGUUUAUGACUAGUAUUUCCAUAAAAAAUUAAAAUAGACUUCUAUCCUUCAUUGAAAUUAAAAAAUUACAACCAUCAAUAAAAAGAAUUACCCAAGACCCAAAUUAUAACAACAAGGAACAAUGAAAACAACUAGAAGGAUACAAUCACUAUGACGAAUUUCAUGGAGAAAAUACAUGUAAUUCUCUAUUUCAUAAAACGUAAGUAAGAGGCAGAUGAAGGAAAUAGGAAAAACUCAUGUUAUCCCCUUCAAAAACGAGGUAAACUUGGAAUUAAUUAAUAUAAAAGUUAAAUUAUAAUUUGUUGAUAUGUUCCUCACAUAACAUGUAAACAUUGAAGCACAUGGAAAAAUACAAUUACUUUUGCAAUAAAUUAAAGGAUAGUGCAUAGAUGAACACCACAACCAUAUCUAGUAAUGGAAAGAAACUCACAACCAAAUGUUUUUAUUCGUAGACUUGUUGGUUUAGUUAGCUUUAUAUCAUUUGUUAUCAAUAAUACAUAACAUGGGAUAAGCGUGGCUCUGCAUGCAGAUGUAAUGGCUUUGAAAGAAAAAGUUCAUCGGUUUUAUAAUAAUCUAUCUUUGGGGUUCCUGGUGGUAAGCUCCAUGAAAAUCCUUGUAGAAGUCUAGCAAAUAGCAUCAUGGUAAUAUUUGUGCCAAGUGAGGUACCAAUGCAUCCUCUUCUCCCUCUAGUGAAAGUGAUGAAUCGAAGACUGGGUUCUGAAAUUCCGAAUUUAACUGUCCCAUCUUUUAGAUGACGCUCUGGAUCAAACUUCAUUGGAUCCUCCCAUAUUCUAGGGUUUCGACCGAGACCCAGACGACUUAGUAAUACUUGGCUACCUUUAGGGAUGAAGUAGCCAGCCACAAAAACGUCAGAGUUGGAAACAUGAGGAACAUUGAAGGGUGAAAAUGGAUGAAGUCGAAAAGAUUCUCUAAUACAAGCUGUGAGGUACUUGAGGUUAGGUAUAUCAGAUUCUUGUACUAGUCUAUCUCUUCCAAUUACUUUAUCUAACUCUUCAAGGGCUUGUUGGAUAAUCUUUGGUUGAUUAAGUAAUUCUGCUAGUGCCCAUUCCACUGCAUUUGAAGGAUUAUCUAUGCUUGCAAGUUGCAAAUCCUGCCAUACGAUAAGAAAAGAUAAUUUCACAAAAUGAAAUAAGUAAUCAAAUAUGUCUAAGCAAGAAAUAAAGUUAAUUUAAUUUAGGAGACAAAUAAUGAUUAAUUUGCUCGGAUGGACGUUGAAAGAUUUAGCCUAUGAUGUAUCUAAGUAUUUUAAUUAAACAAAGAGAUGAAAUUUUAAUGAGAAGAGAAAGUCGUAUAUAGUUGUGAGACGGUCUCUUAAUCUUUAAUUUCGAUGUCAAAUCUGCUACAAUAUAUGAUAAAAAGAAAAAACAAAACUAUCAUAUAUUACCGUGACUUGAGCCUUAAUCUCUUCGAUGGACAACAAGGAUUUGCCAUUCUCAUUUUUGAGUGAGAUAAGAAUAUCAAGAAUGUCCUCCACCUUCUUUUUCUUUCCAUCUCCCCACUCUUGCACUCUUUCUUCUAUAAUGGGUUCAUCAUGAUUUCUUAUAACUUUCAGAGCCCUUUUUACUAUCUUUCCAUGUCCAUCUAGAUCAAAUGUCUUCAACAGAGGUAUAAACUCAGAUAUAGAAAAUGCAUUAACAUGCCUAAGAAUGGACAACAAUGCUUGAUUGUGUUCUUCUUCUUCUAAAGAUGGCCCUCCAUCUUCCCUACCUUUUCCGUAGUAUCUUCUACUAAAAAUCAUUCUUCUAAUAACGGUACCACAAUAAUGUCGUACAAUGCUUCUUAUGUUGAUCGCUUCACCGUUUUUAGUGAGGCCGAAAAUGUAACGCAGGAGAAUAUCGGCUUCAUCUGUUCUUUGCCCAAGCAUUCGAUGGAGGGUUGAAGAAUUGAGUACUUGAGAAGCGAGUAUUUUUCUCAUCUUCUUCCACUGCUCUCCCAUGGGUGAAAGAACUGUACUUAGAUAUCCAUUGCUCACUAUCUCAGCAGUCAUGGAGAUAGAUCGUGAACCGAACACAGAAUCGUGUGUGUUUAGAAAUUCAAGAGAGAGUUCUGGAGAAGCCACAGGAAUUAUGUGGGUAUUUGAUCCAAGACGAAUACAUGCAAUUUCAGUGUUGAAUUGCUUCAUAACUUCAUGGAUCCAUUGGUAUGCUGGCAAGUUUUUGUUGCUCAACAUUGCUGGAAGGCAACCAAUGAGAGGCCAUGGCUUUGGGCCAGGUGGAAGCCGGCGAAUUGAGGGAGUUCCUUUGAGAUAAUAUUGAGAAAAUUUUAUAGCAUAAAUAAUUGAAUAUAUGAAUAAAAUGAUAGCAAGGAAGGUUAUGGCCAUGGCUGGUUUUGUAGAGUCUUGAUGAUAAGAAGAUUCACUGUUGAAUAAUAAAGCUUUCACGACUUGCUAAUUUUGGACAAUUCUUUCUCAAAAUGCAUGGAUAUACUUACCACAAUGUAACAAACUAUUAAUACAUUUAUUCAAGAGUUCAUGAAAUGGUUAGAUUUAUGACUCUUGACAAUUUUCAAAGGGUGUAUUUAGGGUUAGGAAUAGAGUUUGGUUCUUAAAUGUUAGAGAUUAAAGUAGUAAAUUAUUUAAACUUAAAAUAUCAUUUUUAGUCUCUCCAUUUGCAAAAUUUUUCAGCCUUUCAAAUUUCAAUUUCAUUAAAUUUAGUCUCAAAUAAUACGUUUUCUCAAUUUCUUAAAAAAUGGCUUUUUGUUUAUCACAUUUUUAUAAUAGAAAAUUUGAAAAUAUAUUCUCACAUGCUUUAUAUUUUGCCUAAAAUUAAUUGUUAUUAUCCAGUUAAUUUUGACAAAAAUUAACUUUGAAGAAAUUAAUUCUAACAUUCAUGUCAAAAGUUGGAGAUUAAAACUUGAUUACAUUACAAAGUAUAGAGACUCAAAUAGAAUAUAAAAACUAUCUUGUCCUAAAUGUAAUCAUUUAUAGAUUUAUUUUAGGGUUUUCUUCAAAAAAAAAAAAAAAAACAAAGCGAGCGAAAAUAUUUUCACCGUAUAGAAUACAAAAUCACACACGUGAAAUACAUGUAGGCUCACAACGUGAAAUAAGAAAAAUACCCUUGUAAUUAAUCAAUCACACACACGUAAAAAAUGGUUUUGUACCCAGUCUAAACGAUCUUGUACCUAGUAUAAACGAUCUUUUAGCAAGUCAAAACGGUCUUAUACCCUUAUAUCAAGUCUAAAACGAUAUUGUACCCUUAUACCUAGUCUAAACGAUCUCGUACCCCAACCUAAACGACCUUGUAUUAUUGUACUUAGUCUAAACGAUCUUAUAUACUUAGUCUAAACGAUCUUAUACCAAAUCUAAACGAUUUAUUGGUUAUAGUGAUCUAUCUUUGUCUAUCUGAGAUAGACUAACUGAUUGUUUAGAUAUUGAUACACGAUCGUUUAAAUCUCGUACCAAUAUCAUUUAAAUCUUCUACUAAGUAGAAAAGAAAGAUGAUGAAAAAUGAAGAAGAGGAAAGAAAUUUUAGAAGAGGAAAUGAAGAAAUUAGUAAAUAAUUACAUAAAUAAUUAUAAUAUUGUAGACUGAAAAAGAAAUAAUAAUAUAAAGAAAGGAAAAUUGCAUUAGACGACAAAAAUUUUUUAGAAAAAAAUAGCUCAUAACAUUUCAUUUUUACAUAUUGCAAAUUUGGCAAAUAUGACAAUAAUCAGGCGAUAAUCAUACGGUAAUCUGCUUUUAAAUUUGCUAUUUUUACAAUUUUAAAAAUGUAUGUGACAUGGAUCCUAUUAUCAUAAAUAUUUUUGCUAUUUGUGCAAAAUCCGCAUAAAGAAAUUAAUAAUACAAAGGAGAGAUGAAUAAAUAGCAAAAAAAUAAGAAAAAUAAGUAAAAAAUCGUUUGCAUUAUUUAAAGACAAACCUAAAAUUUAUGAAAAAUAUCAUGAGUUUCUUAAUUUUGUUACACGGGUAGUAAAUAUUUGGGUGUUUUGUUAUAUUUAUAAAAAAAUAACCUUUAUAUUAUUUACUAUUUAUUCAUUCAAAAUUUAGCUUGAAAAUUAUUAGAUAAAAAUUUAUUUAAUUCCUUAAUUGAUUAAUUAAUAUUCAUUUUUGUGGUUAUGUCUACUAGGUUUGAGUAGACAAGAAGAAAUUGGGGUUAGUUAUGACGAAAUAAAACCAUUUCUUUAGAUUAAUUAAUUAAUUCCUUUGUCGUUGAUUUAUCUUCCUCUACAAUUUGGAGAAGCAAUAAAGAAAUAAAAGUCCAUCAACCCUUCAUAAAUGCUAGACUUAUUCUAGUUGAUAUUGAAUUUUGCGUUGAACGUCUGCACAUCUUCUUCAUAUCUUUACUUUUUCUUCUUCAUAUUUUCGCGUCUUCUUGUUCACGAUUUCUUCAUCUUCUCUUCCAGAAUUUCUUUCUUCUUUGGCAUCAUCUCCUUAUUCUUUUUCCAUUAUCAGGUAUAAUUGUGUCCUUCUUCUUCUUCAUUAUUCUUUUUUCACUAUAAAUCUGAACAAUUGUGUACCAAUAUCAAAACAAUCUUGGUACAAAAUCUUGAACCAAGAUCGUUUAGAUAUUGGUCAUUAUUGUUUCGUUUAGGAUUUAGUAAAUGAUCUUGUAUACCAAUAUCAUUUAGAUAUUGAUACACAAUCUCAUCUUCCACAUAAUAUACUUCCUUGGUAAUAUAAUUUUUUUUUUUUAAUGAUAUUUGAGGUUAUGAGAUCAAUCCUCAAAUCUCAAAUCUCAAACUUGAUUGUACAAGUUUGUGUCACUUGAGAUAUGUUAAUAUUAUCAUUUUUUUUUUCUUCUUUAUGAACAAAAUUAGUGAUUUUUUCAAAGAAAAUUAUGUUAAAUGCAAAAAUUCUAAAAAUAUUUAUAAAAAUAGCAAAAUAUAUAUCUCAACUACUACUAUGUCCACCUAACAACAUCAUUUUUAUUUGUUUUAAAGGCUUAUUGGACUGAAAGUCAUUCCCACGAACAAACACGUGUUCUUUCAUUAUAUUUUGUUCUCAUUCACAUGCAUUCUAUGAAAAUUUCAAGAUUACCUAAUAUAAAAUUAAUUCGAACUAAGCACACAUAAUUUUAGAAUUCCUAUGAUCGAGCUAUCGAAAUAAAAUAUAAACCUUGUUGGUAUAAAUAUUAACGUUUAAUUCUUUUAAGCCUUUGUUAACUUUUAUAUUCAUUUCCUUAUAAUCUUUUUCUUUCAGGUAUGAUAUUAAAUCAUUCAUAUCUUUCCAAACUCAUAAUUGUUACCCAUAUACUAGUUUAUUCUUGUCAUCAUGAACCAUCACACUUUGAUAUUUUACUAUCUCUGGUAAACAUUGUAGUUCAUUUUGGUCUAUUAGAAAAGAACCCUUUUUUCAACUAAAACUUAAUAUAAUAUUAACUGUAAUUUCAACUUUUCCAAGUGUAAUUUAAUUGAACAUUAAUUGCAAUGUCAAUUCCUAAUGGUUUACCUUUUAAUUCUAAUUUAAUAUGAUAUUAAAUAAUAUUGUCCAAAUUCUUAAAUAGGUGGUAAACACUCACAAGAUUUUGGGAUGUGAAAUUUAAUUGAUGGAAAUGAACAUAAUAUAUUGAUUUGCAGUGCAAAUGUUACCGUCUAUAAUUUUUUCCUUGAAUGCAUAAACUUACGUCUAUAAUUUUUUCCUUGAAUGCAUAAACUUUUUACUCUUUAUAUUUGUUGAUCUUAUUAAAUGAUCACUAUUCCGGUUUAAUUUGAUAAAUGUGCUAUGAUUGAUCUUAGGUUCGAUGAUCUUUAGUUGGAUGAUUGAUCUUUAGAUUUGGUGAUCUUUUAAUUGAAGGAUCGACCUUUGUUGAUUAGUUUGGAUCGAUUUUUGACUUAUUUCAAUCAGCUUCUAUCUUGUUGUGAACAACCUCUGUCUCUCUGGUUAUCUUGGAUCCCUCUCAAACUUUUUGAUCGAGUUAGAUUCAAUUAUUAGUUUUUUCUUGAGUUUGGAGCGAGUUAAAUCUUCAAGUUGUAGGUUUGUGAAAAAAAACAACAAAUUUAUCCAUUUUUGUGGUCUUCUGAAUUUAAAAUCAUGAAAUUCUAUAUGUUCUCUACUUUCUAACUCUGGUAGACUUCGAGUGAAUGUCUGAAACAGUCUACAAGAAAAUUACUAUUUUUUUUGGAUGAAAUUGUUAGAAAAAACUAUUAAAAAAAGCAUGAUGAAAUAUCAUCUCCCAACAAUUAAAAAGGUAGAAGUUAUCUCGGAAAGUGUUGUAUAUGUAACUAUUGACAUUGUUCGAAAGAGUUGCACUCAGAACAAAAAUUGCACAACCAAUAGGAACAUUGAAUUUGUGGAACAGGUACACAACGAUGGAACGAACAAUAUAGUUACAAAGAUCAAUCAUCCAAGAAGAAUAUCAAGUCCAAAAAAGGGUUAGAAUCUCAUCACUGUCUUUAAGACGUUUUACAGCUCUGUAUGGUAUGGAAACAGUUCAAAAUUGGAUGUCACGCGUUCCAACGAUAAAACAGUCAUCUCUAUCAAAAGUACAUUGGAGUAGCCUAUCUUCUCACCCCUUUAAUACAUAGGUCCUUCAAGCCCAAACCCAUAACUCAAUGUAAGAGUUCGCAAUGAAGCUUCCACUUGCAAAUCAUUUUUAAAUAAAAUAGGGAUAGUUGCAAAUUUGGCAAUUAGAUUCAAAAUAAUUAAGGAUACAACAACAUUUUAAAAAAAUUGUAAAUAUAGCAAAAUUUGUCAAAUUCUAUCAAUGAUAAAAGUUUAUGAGCGAUAGAUCAUGUUGUAAAUAUUGGUCUAUCACUGAUAGACCAUACGAGUCUAUCAACGAUACAAGUCUAUCAGUGAUAGUUUUGCUAUAUUUACAAAUUUUUUUAAAUGUUGCUAUAUCUUUAAUUAUUAUUCCUUAAAUGGUCAUCAAUUACAAUUACCCAAUAAAAUAAUAAUAUAUGUUUUUAAAAUAAAUUUCUCAUAAGCAAUCCCCUACUUCAAAAGUUUUUACUAACAGUUCCUCAAUUAAAUUUUUUUAAAAUAUCUUCAUUGAGUAGUGUCAAUAUGUACAACACUAUGCUUAAGCAAAUAUGUUAGAUGAACUCGAACCUUUACGUAGUGAAGAUGGUUUUUAUAGAAAAAUGACAAAUAUUUAAGGGUAAGUAAAAUAGGUUUUAAGUUAAGGGUAGAAUGAUAAUUUUCAUUCGUGGCAAGUUUGUAAUUAUUCUCAUCUUCUAUCUUAUGUCUUUUAAUUUAGACAAAAGAAAAGGAAAAAAAAAAAAAAGGAAUGGUAGUCGAUAGUCACACUAAGGAAGAGGGGGUGAGUGAGAGACAGAGGCGUUCGAUGGAGCAUUGAUGUUGGAGUUUUUGCAUCUUCCCGAUGGUAAACUACGUUCGUGGUGGAGCUAGCGGUGAACGAUGCACGUUUGCGACUUUAUUUCGAUGGUGAUCGGCAUCUGGUAGAAGCUUUUUUCGGGCACUAUUAUGCGUUUCUACAAGUCAUUCAGUGUUGGGUUUUGAUCGAGUUUACUUUAGUAUUGGGUUUUCUACGGCUUUGGGUCUCGGUAUUAGAUGUGUCACUUCUUAUCCUUUUCCUUGUGAUUAUUUGGCUGUUGCGUUCUUGUUUAGAUUGUGUUCUCUUAUUAGUGCAUAAAACUAUAUCAAGUGGUGGGAAUUCGGUAUAGUUAUAACAAGUGGUAAUAGAAUUUGGGUAUAUUAUUCCCAACAGUUUAUAAUAUAUAUACUAUAGAAACUCUUGGUUUUCAACUUCAUCUCCAACAAUAUCUCAAAUACAACAUUAUUGGAAUUGUUGCAAACAUAGCAAUUAGAUUCAAAUUAGUUUCACUUGAUCAAAUAUUUGGACGAGUCAAAUGGUUACACUCUUUCCAAUUUUUCAAAUUCAAAUUUGAACUUCUAAUUUAAAUAAAAAUAAUCCAAACAAUUAAUUAUAUUUUAAUUAUUAAUUAAACAGCUUAGUUAGUUUGAUUUUAGUAUCCCACUACUCUCGAAUAUUCUGAUCAUCCAAUUUUGAAUCCUUGUUAGAAAUUCCGAUAUUCAAUUCUAAUGUAAAUAUCUGGUUCUCUCUCCUUAUAUGUUUAAUUUUCAAAAACUUCAAAUUUAUUUAUCACAUUGUUCUAAGUUUUUGUCCGAUUUAAGCUAUCAAGGUGACCUAAUGAACCCUACAUAUUAUGUGCUUCAAAAAUUGGAAAUUAACCGAUUAAAUUCUUUAACAUACUGAAACAUUCUAUAUAAUAAAUUGAAUAACUCCUAUAUCACUCAAACUGAAGCGUUAAUAGAUUAAUAAUCUUACCUUUAUAUCAAGUAGUGCCCUCUAACAUAAAAGUUUUGAUUUAUUAGUUUCUACAUGUUAGUUUUUGAGAAUAAUAUAUGAUUUAAAUAUUAUAUUGAUUCAUUUAAUUUAUACAAUUUUUUUGGUGUUGUAAAGUAUUGAGAUAUAAAAUAUGGACACGUGAAUGAAUAUAUUUAGUUAUUAAACUCAAGGUAUAAAGCUGAGGGGAGGUUGCUGCUACCCAUUGGCAUAUCGGUUUAAUAGUCAGCACUGACACACCUCCAUUACUACUUCACCUGUCUUCAUCGUACAAUCUGUAAAAUGUACUAAAAUCUCAUCGUUUCAAAAUCUGUGUCCAAAUAUCACAACAUAUCAAAUCUAUUUUCUUUUUCUCUUUCCUUUAUAAUUUUAAAAAAGAACCGACUAGCUUUCGGUGAUGGAGACCAGGGUCAUUCAACAAAAAACUUCAUCAACAUAAAUACAUAUCUACUAUUGUAUUCUGCAUGGUUCUAAGUUUGCUUUAACUACUAUUCCAACCCAUAGAUGUUUUAUCGAAUUUUGUAACUUUUGUUUUCGGAUAUUUCUAAAUUUUUUUAAGGUUAUUUUCAUAUAUUUAAAAAUAGAUUUUGAAUAUUUUAGAAAAGAAUAAGUGAUUUUGAAUUAUUAUCAUUAGUUUGACGCAUUAAUUUUACAAUGAUCGAAUUACAAAGAUGAUAGUUUUUUAAGAUUUAGAAGUGAUUUAAUAAAUGGUUAUGGAAAAAUCACAAGGUAUUUAAGAAGCUGAGUGCAGUAUUCUCAGCACUAUAUAUACGUUCAAUCAACACACUGCUUUUAGUGAUGGUUGAAUUUUGUGAAAUUUUCUCUUACAAUUUCACUCAUUCUAAAUUUUUGUGGCUAUAUAUUUGCACAUAUUUUACCUUACCUUUUGAGAUAGGAAGCUUCAUUAAAACCAAUUGAAUUUUCCUUUUAUUAAUCAUUAAAUUGUAAUUUACCAUUUUAAUUAAUAUUUUGAGUCAAAACAUAAGUAUAAAUCAACUCAAAUAAUCCUUAUAUGGUAAUCUCAAACUUAAUAAUUAACGAGGUUAAUUUUCAAAAAUAUAACAAACCAGUAAAAUAUUUACGACUCGGGUAAUAAAAUGAAAAUAAAUUAUGAAAUAGACUAUUUUUUAAAUAUUUCAGGUUUACCCUUUCUUUUGCCAUUUUUUUUCUUCCAUCGUAUUUUUCUCUUGUCAUUUUUUAGAUAUUUAUGUUUGUCAUUCUUUUUCAUGCAAGUUUUUUUUUUCUUUUCAUCUACAUUUUAUUUUCUAUUUUUUCAAAACAGUAUUUGGUUUAAGGCUGUGUACCAAAAAUAUAAAAGCUCUAUUUUUUUUCAAACUGUUAUUUGAUUAUUUAAAACCGUGUGUCAAAUAUAAAAGAUCGUGAAAAAAAAUUCGUUAGAAUAUUAGAUUGUCAAAUAUCGUGUAACAAACAAUCUUUUAAAAUCAUUUAGAUUUAAGUAGACAAAUUUAAACGAUCAAAUCUAAACGAUCGUGUAGAAAAAAAUAGUCAAUGUAAAUUAUCGAUUCCUAAAUAAAUUAUCUCGAUUUCAAUUAUUGUGUUAUAUUUCUUAAAAAAAAACCUGGUAAUAAUAACUUUGUUAAUAAAUAUAGUUUAAAUGAAUGAACUAUAAUUUUGGUUAGAGAAAACAGUAAUGAAGAAAUUGGAAGUUUGGGAGCAAAAAAGAAAGUAAAAAUAUAUGGUGAUUACAAGUGAGCCAUAUUUUGUUGAUAAUGAAAGUGUCCUUUUCAAAUACGUCAUUUAUGAAAAUAAUUGUAAAACAAACAUUUCCAGGAGAUAAACUCAGAAUAUUUAGUUGCGGUGGUGACCUUUUCAAAUUUCUUUCUCAAAAUAUAUAUUGCUUUUAACAUAUAUCUCUUUACUUCUAAAUUCUUUUUAACUCAUUCUCUGUUUUCACUUUCAAUUUGUGUUACUUAUACAAAUAUAUUAAUAUCUAUGUAUGUCUAUUAUUGAUCAAAUCUCAAUUAUUGCUAUAAUUUAUAAACAUUUUAUCAAAUUUGUCAUUUUUUCUAGGAUUCUCUUAUGUUAUAUAUUAUAUUUUAAUUAUUUUAAUAUUAUAUUUUUUAAAAAUUUCCUUGUUCUUGUUCUCCAUCAUUUUUACACCAAAAUUAUAGAAAUGGACAUCUUUAAAUUUUGAGUACUAAAAAUAAAUUUUCUUUUCAUACACAAGUUUACUAUUUUUUAUAAUAAAUAUUGUUUUUUCAUACAAAUUAAAGAUUGUGAUAAUUAACUAUUUCUUAAAUAAAAUUAAUUAACUAUUUGAAGUAUACAAAAACACCACUUAAACUUAAAUGCCUCUGUCUUUCAAAAAUAUAUAUAUUUAUGAAAAAUAAGCAUUUUGAGAAAACAUUUUGAAUGGGUCUGUCACAUCAAUAUGGUAAUCAUAAAAGGCUAAAAGUAUAUGUCCUUGACUAGAAAAAAGAUUCAAAUCACCAAUAUAAUUAAACUACAACUCAUAUUCAUGCAUAUGUAAAUAAAUACACAAUAUUUAUAGCAAUAAUAGCAAUGGUAUCCAAGGAUGGAAAUUAGAUUGAUCAUAUUUAUACUGUAAACGAAAUUGAGCCCUUACCUUUCAUUAUCACUAAAUCAUACACAAUUUUUAAAUUACUACUGAUAGAUUAUUUAAGAGAGAAUUUUGUGGAAUCAAUCAAUCAACAUUAAAAAAAAAAGAAAAGAAAAGAAAAAUGAAUGUUUUACAAAUUAAAGGCCUCCAAGUGAUUUGAUAAAAAAAAAAUUAGACACUCGAGACCCAAAUGGUUAAAAUAUAGAUAUCAAAUACUUUAAUAUAUAUAAAUCUUCUCUAGAUCUUUUUAUAAUAUUACUCCAUUUUAGUCCAUAUCUAUGUGACACAAUAUGCUCAUAAAGUUUGACUUAAAAAACCCUACUAUAUAUUUCUGUUUGAUUUGGAAAAUAAUAAGCUUUUAUAAUUAUAAUUAUCCAUAUUUAGUUACUUUUAACUUAAAACAUUUAUUCUAGUGAGGUUGCACCUAAUUUUAUUUUUACUCUCUAGAUACUUUCUCGUAAAACAAUUUCUAUCCAGAUUUAGGUUAAACUAUACAAAGAUAAAUGUCCCUCAUUUUUUUAAAUAAUUUUUGUUCAGACUUCAUAUUUUUUCAAUUAAAAUAAUAAUUAAUAUUAUUACAAUUGAAAAUAUAAUUAUUAUUCUAAAUGGUAAGAGUAAAGUAUAUUUUUAAAAGAAUUGACUGCAAAUGAAAUUAAUUUAUAAGUAACUAUAUUUUAUAAAAGCUCAAAGUUAGUUUUCUAUUUUCUACCGGUGUUGACUAUAAUUUAUAAAAACAACGUUGAAGGUUCAAUCUUUUAUACAACUUUCAGUACUAUUUGAGGGGUGUUAUUUUUUUACUAUAGUUUUCAUUAGUCUCAAGAAACAUGAAGAUUCAUAAUUGGUAAAUCUAAUUUUAAAUGAGAUUUUUUUCAAAGUUUUCAAAUAUUUGACACUUCAAGGAUAGGAUAGGUAGAUGACAAAACAAAGGAAAACUUAGAGAUUAGAAUAAUUAGCGUAGAAAUUUAAAGAAUUAGUUGAGAAUAAAUUGCAAUAAAAAAGUUGAAUAAAUAUAAUGUUGAAAAUUUUAGCUUUUUUUGCAUUUAAAAAUAGUAAAAAAAAAAGAAAAAGAAAGAAAGAAAGUUUAUAAAUAGAGACGUGACGUUAAAUUGAUAAGACUAUAAUGAAAGACAAUAAUAUAGGUGAAUAUUUAUUGAAGAAUUGGCAAGUUUUAAGAGAAUUAUUGCAUAGUUGGUCUUCAUCAUUCAUUGCUAGGGUCUGAUUUUAUACCUUGACUUAUCAGGAUUUGGUUUUCAUUAAACACUACUUGCUCUCUUUACAUUCAUACCCUAUUUUAUUAUAUAUAUACACCAUGCAGAUGAAUUUUAUUAUAUUUUAUAAAUAGUUAUAACAUUUUGCUAUUUUUUAAAAUACUUCAAUGGAAAAACUAAACCUAUAGACAUCUCUUCUCCUCCCUUAAAACUUUUGUUUUGAUUUAUAUUGUUUUUCAUGUUUUAAAAAAAGGAAGAAAUUUAAAAUAGAAGAGGAUGUUAGUAAUAUAAAAAUAUUUUUAUAAGAAAGCUAAGUUAGAUGGUACCAAAAGAAUAAUAAAAGAAAACAUAAAGAAAAUAAUGAAAAAGAGUUUGAAAGGGAUUGGUGAGGAAGAAAAAGAAAGUUUGAAAGGGAGGGGAUGAUUCAAUGAAUGUUAAAUACAUGUAUGUAAAAUUGAUAAAUACUAUAUGCAUAGAACUUGAAAAGGGAUGGGGAUAUUGAUAGUGAUGUAUGAGAUAUUAAAUAUUAGGUGUGGAGUUGUUAGACUUGUACACCUCUAUGGCCCUAUACUAGAACUUCCUAGAAAUAUAACUUUCUUUCAAAAGAAAAUAAAUGUAAAGGGCAUCAAUAUUUUUUAGGUUUAAAUACUACAUUUUUUAGCGGUACUCAUUAUACUUUUAAUAAGUAAUCAUUUUUAUCUCUAUAUUUUGAACAUUUAAAAAUUAAAACGGUAUUCAACUAUAUAGAAUAAUUUCGAAAACGAAAAAAAAAAACUUACAGUUCCACGAUAAAAAUACAUAAAAUGUCACUGUCAACACGCGAUUUAAUAAAUUUGGUAUACAAUCGACUUAAAAUAAUCGUGUACCAAUAUUUAAUGAUUUUUCUAACCAAGAUCUUUUAUAUUUGAUACAUGAUCUUAAACCAAAUAACGGUAUGCGUUUGCUAUAUUUUGUAUUUGAAAAAAUAUAUAUAUAUUUUGGAUCUCAAAAAAUAUAUUCACGUGAACGAUUUUGGUGAAGCAUGUUAAUUUUUUUUUUUUUUUUUUGGAAUUAUAAAUAUGAAUUAACUAUUAGUAGUAAUAAUUAAUGAUUAAUGCUUUGUGUAAAAAACAAUUAAUGAUGAAUGGUUUCUGAAAAUAGGGAAAAGAAAAAGAAAUAAUUAAUAUGAUACAUCAAUUAUAGUGUAAUAUGUGGUCCAAUCCAACUCUCUACUUCAAUGGAAAGCCUACUCAACGUCUCUUUCUAUUAUAUUAAACAAAAACUUCAAACCUCUAUUUUUAAUACACUAAUUUGAUAUAACAAUAAUAUCAUUGAAUCAAAAGUUAAACAUCACCUUAUCUCAUCAAUUUAGUCGUUCUAGUUGUUUGAGUUUGGAGGUAAUUCUGUUUUGAACUAAAAUAAUUUAUCUAUUUUAUGAAAACACUAUAUAAAAAUAAAUCAGUCAUAACUAGUUUUAACUUGUUUUGAAAGUUGAAGUGAUAGUUAGAUUCAUUUUGGUUUUGAGUUUGAAAAUCACAUCAAGACAUUUACGAGUUGUUUUGAAAGUUAAAAUCACAUCUUGACACUUACUUUUAGCUAAUCUAUUGUCAUAAUUCCUAUAUGGUUACCUUUUUUUCCCAUUAUAUCUAAAUAUUAAUAGGGAUUGGAUUAAACUAAAAAUUAGAUUAUGAAGAGAUUAUAUUGAAGGAGUUGGUCAAUUUAUGGAAGAAGGUAGCUAAGUGUUAUGUAAAUGAUGUGGAAAAAACUAGGUUGCCCAUGUAAGUAUUUGUCAAAACUUAAUGACACAAAUAUUGAAUUGAGUAAAGUGACAUUUUAUUUACGUAUGGAAUGUCUUUUUUAUAUAAUAAAUAUGUUUAUCAUGGAGAAGCAACAACUUAACUCAAUUUGAACACGAUAGUACUUAAUUUAAUGUUGGCGAUAAGAACAACGACAUUAUUUAGAUUUAUUAGUUUAGGAUUUAGGGUUUAGGGUUAAAAGUAGGGAAGAAAUAUAAAAGUACAAAUUAGUCAUAUCCAAUAUCUAAUCAAUGGGUGUUUAUCCUUGAAUCUUCAACUUUUCAUUACAUAGUAUAAAUAGUAUUAAAAGAAUUUCCGAGAGAUAUAAAAGUACAAAUUAAUCAUCUCUACUUUAUAGGAGAUAGGAUUGAAUUUAUCCUUAAAUCAUAACUUUUGAUCACUUAAUAUGAAUAGUAUUAGAAAUUAUUUCUAAGAGAUAUAAAGUACAGCUUAGUCAUCCAAUAUCUACUUUAAGAUCCGAGUUAUCUUAACUUUUCAUCACGUAAUACGAAUAGAUCAAUUAGCAAAAAAAAAUUGUUUGAAUGAUAACUCUUAAUUUAAUUGAUUGUAUAAAAAAAUUAUUUGAUGAUCCUAUCACUAUCAAUGAAUCUAUAAAACAUAAAUACUUUUACUUUAUAAUUCAUAAUUCAAAAAAAUAAAUUUUCUCUUUAAGUUCAUGUAAUUAAAAUCAUGUCAAUUAUGUGUUUUUUUUUCAACGUUUGAUAGUUUUUUUUUUCUUAUGAUAUAAUGAAAAUGUUGAUUGAUAGAGGUGAAUUCUAUAAGCACGUAAACAUGAUUAAAAUGUUGUCAAACAUAAAUUUAAUACCCUAUAACACACUCUCCCUUCAAGCAAAUAAAUAAAAUAGCAAUUAUUCACUCUUCAUGUCUAGUGUAACCCUAAAAAAAAGUUAAUACAUACGUGAAUUUGUGAAAAAAAUAUUUAAUAAUAUAAUAUAAGUCAUAACCACUAACCAUCACUAAUAGAGUCUGGAAGGGGUUGGGAAGCACGUGUCCUACUGGAGUUAUUAGUUUUUACAUUUUUAAUAUAAACUCUCAACAUAUUUUAACUAUAUAUAUAUAUAUAUGUUAAGUUUUAUAAAGGUAACAAAACACAAAAAUAUUUAUAGUUCGUGUAACAAAAACAAAAUGUCCAUCUUCUUCUCUUAAUAUUGUGAACGUUUCGUCACUUCUCUCUUUCUUCUUUAUCUUCUAGAUUUCUUCAACUUCUCUUUUAGAUUUUUUUUCUUCUAUUUUUAGACGAGUUAUUUUUUUGUUUAAGUCUCCUAUUUCAUUUUCACCAUUUUUCGACAAGAAUUCUUUGAAGCUACUUCAUCUUCCUCAUAUUCAAGAAUUUCAAGAUUGUUUAAAUAUCACUUUUGACAUGAUUUACACGAUUGUUUACCAUUGUCAACACGAUUGUUUAAAUUUGAAACUUUUUCCGUCGUUUAAAAUAAUCUAAAUGAUCAUGUAAAUGAUCUAAACACUGUGUUCACACGAUUUAAACGAUCACUUAAACACCAUGUUCACACGAUUUAAACAAUCACUUAUUAUAGUUAAUGCUUAACGCGAUUGUUUAGCAUGAUCAACACGAUCAUUUAGAUUUGAAGUCCUUUUUCUCAUCAUUUAAAAAGAACUACACGAUCGUGUAGAUAUGAUCUAAAUGAACGCUUACCAUAGUCAACACAAUUGUUUAGCGUGGUUGGCACAGUCGUUUAUAUUUCAAGCACUUUUUCCAUCGUUAAAAAGAACACGGUUUGUUGAUACUACCUACACGAUCGUGUUAUCAUUACCUACAUGAACUUGUAUCAUAAUCGUUUAGAAAGAAGAAUUACACAUGCGUGUGUGAUCGACUAAUCGAAUGUUGAUUGAGACAUUUUUUGUAUUUUUCAUUGUCGGUAUGUAGGUUUUUUUCUUUUUCCAAAUUAUUCUGCAUAAUAUUUUCUAGUUUGUUAUAUUUUAAAAAAAAAUUCACCAAAACAAUAUAAAUACAAAACACUCAAAUUUUGGGGAGAGGUGGUCUAAAAGUUAACGUUUAAAUUUAGGGUUUCCAUUUUUUUAAAAAAAAGAACUUCUUACUUAAAUUUUGGUUAACAAGAAAGGAAACAAAUUAUAUUUUUUUCUUCUUCUUCUAAACAACAACCUAUUUAUUUAUUUUACCAUUAUUUUAAAGCUAAAUUCAAGUUUGUACAAUUUACUUUCUUAAUUAGUUUCUAAAACUAUGACUAAUAAAAUAUUUGAAAUUUCAAUUUAACCUACCUGUUAGAAACCUCUAAAAAAUGCUCAUAAAUAUAUAAACUUUCCAUCUAGCCUAAAAAAAAAAUCUAUUAAAAUAUAAAGAAUGCUUAAAGAUUAGUAAAAAAAAAAAAAAAGUUUUUACUUAUUCUAAUUAAACCUUAAACUUUGAAUGUUGUUGAUAAUAGUUAUAUUAUUUAUUUUCAAAGAAAUAUGUUUGGUACCUGCAUAUUAAACACACCAUAGGGAUGUCAUGAUUUACUAUAUAUACUCUAUAUAUCCUUUAAAGUUUAAAAUCUAUAUAUGAUAUAAAUUGAGAUGUUGAGCUAAGAUUUUAACCUUAUACAAAGUUAUGCUUCUAACAAGAACUUUUGGAUUUUUUUGCUAUGUGUUAGUUUUACUCAUUUUGACGAUAUUAUAUAAUUUAAAUAUUCUAUUGAUGUGUUUAUAUGAAUUUUUGUUAGGAGUAGAUCCAUAUGGGACAACGGAGCAAAAUGAAAACUUAUGUAUAUUUUAAAGUUUAGAGAUCAUUUAUAAAGGCUAAUUUAAAGUUGUAUGAAUUGAACUUCUAAUACUAUAAUAUGGAAUUAAGCACACCUUAGAAUUUUUUGCUACGCCAUUGGUAAUAGCUAUGGUAAUAAAUUUAUAUCGUCAUGAGAACAUUUUCAGAUGCAUUUUUAUGAAUUUAACACUUAUUUGAGUGAUGAAAAUCUAUAAUUUCAUACUAAAAGGUAAAAGGAAAUAUCUAAAUCAUAAAAGAAAUUAGAUAAGUAACUUCUUAUAGAAAUAUUAAAAAAAAAAUUCAUCAUCAUUUUCAUACCUAUCGAGAUUUAAAGGCUAUCUUAAUAUAACACACUUUCCCCUCAAAGAAAAAGAAAAAUGAAUAAUAAAAGGAAAGGAAAAUUAUAAGGCAAUGUUAAUACUUUCACAUGUCAAGUGGGGUCCUCUCUCUCUCUUUCCUCCAAUGCUAAUCCUUUACCCUCUUCUCUCUCUCUUACAUCACUCCCAUUUUGACUUUUUUUUUCUCUAUAUAAUACAUAGAAGAUUACAAGACGGAAGUUCAUAAGGAGAAGGAGAAGGAGAAGGAGAAGGAGAAGGGUUAAAGAUUUUCAUUACGCUAUGGAAGGGUAUGUAAUGAGUGGUUUUGUGUUGGUUUUCCCGACCGCGAUUGUGGUAGCGGUGGUGGCGAUAUUGCUCCAUUUUUACUCCUACGGUGCGUGGAGGAGGACGGCGGAGGUGAGAAGGAAGUUGGAAGCACAAGGCGUGACUGGACCGCCACCGUCCAUUUUGUAUGGUAACUUGCCGGAGAUGCAAAAGAUCCAGUUGCAAACGGCUGCUAUGGCUUCUCCAUUGCAUCGUGCUUCCGCGAUUGUCGCUCAUGAUUAUACAUCAACUCUCUUUCCCUAUUUCGUCGAGUGGAGGAAGCAAUAUGGUAUUUUUGUUAAUUUCUAUCCUUUUGUAUUAUUGGGUUAAAUUAUAACGUAGUCCAGGUUGAUAGAAGUUCUGUCUAACUAAAUAGUUUGACAAUUCUUUUUUAAAUUUUUGAAAUUUUCUUAUUUGUUUCACGCAAUUUCAUACAAAUUUAAUUUUAUGAAAUGUUACAUUUAAUUGAGAGUAUGCGUUGUAUGUUGAGUGAGUGGACCUAAUGAAGUAAUUUUAUAUGCAAUCCAAACUUCUAGGAAUAAUAUAAUUUAAACAAGAAAAUCUCCUCCAUUGUAAUGGUAUACACACACAUAUAUAUUUUAUUGUUUUCAGACAAUAUUAUAAUUUUAUACGAGUAGUGGAGAUUUUAAUAUUCUGACUACAAAUAAAUAUUAUUGUUGCCUCAAUCAUUCCACCGUCUAAAAGAUUGAACAAAAUUUAUUACACGUUUUGUAAAUUCAAUAUUAGUUUUUUUCUUUUUUUUAAAAAAAAAAUUUAAAUAGAUAAAAGUAGUUUUCAUGAAUAGUAUCAAAAGUCAAUUCUCAUAACCUCGACUUCAACCCAACUUCCUGUCCAUUAAAUAGUGCAUAGUACUAAAUACACAUUUUAUUUUAAUUAAUGCGUUUACUAUUUUUAAUCACAUCUCCAUCUUAUUUUUUUGGAUCAAAGGUUUAAUUAUAUGGAGUUUUAAUAACAUAAAUAUUUCAUCUCAAAAAUAAAAAUCCUUUGAUAACAUUAGAAGAAGUUCGUUUCUGAUAUAAAAUUUCUCCACUUCUAAUGGAUAUUCUCAACAAACAAAAAUCAUUAAUAUAUAUAUAUAUAUUUAUUUAAUUAAAUUCAUUUUAUAACAUUAAUCUUUUUUGUUUUUCAUUGCCACAAUAUAUCUGCUCUAUCCAAAAUUAUAACCAGAAUGCAUACAAAACUUCAAAGUACUUUUAAACUCUCUCACACAAUCCAAAACAGUUGGCUACAUUAGAAUUGUCCUUUUCAGUAAUUUGUCCUACGUGCCUCUUUCGUUAUAAUACAAAUAGAUUAGGUUAAAAUUUCACAUUUUGAAUUUUAUACUUUUAAAAUUACAUUAUUGUAACCUUUAAACUUUUCAAUUUUUUAAAAAUUCUCACAUAUAAUGGAUAAAAUAUUUAGAAUUCUUUUGUAUUAGAGAAGAAUGAAUUUUUAAAAAAAUUGAAUUGGUUAAAAACUUAUUAGACAUACAGUUGAUUAACUCUAUAUUUAAUUACACAACUUAAAGUUUAAUAUUUUUAAUAUUAGAUAAUUUUAAAAGUUGAGUGAUAAAUAAACUAAACAGUAGAGACCGAAACACGAGAGGAUGAAACACAAGAAUGGGGCAUGGAUGAGUAAAUAGGAGAGGCCCUAUGAAUUGAAUGUAGAGAAACUUUGAGAUGUUGUUUGUUUGGUUUGGCAGGGCCAUUAUACACGUACUCGACAGGGACAAGACAGCAUCUUUACGCCAACAAGGUUGAACUUGUGAAGGACUUGAGCCUCUCCAACAAUCUCAACGUGGGGAAGCCUUUCUAUGUCACCAAAAAGCUUGCUCCCAUUCUCGGCCAAAGCGUCGUCCGCUCUAACGGCGCUGUUUGGGCAGUGCAACGUAAGGUCAUUGCCCCCGAGUUCUUCAUGGACCGUGUCAGGGCCAUGGCGUUCCACAUGGUCGAUGCUGCAUCGUGUCUUAUCAACAAAUGGGAAAGCAGGGUUGGAGAUGGAACCAUCGAGAUUGAUGUGGAUGAAGAUCUAAGAGGGUUCUCGGCUGACGUCAUUUCUAGAGCUUGCUUUGGGAGCUCAUAUGAGAAGGGGAAGGAGAUUUUUUCCAAGCUUAGGGAUCUUCAGAAGUUGAUUUGUGAGGAUAGCUUUCUGUUUGGUUACAGUUCAUGGAGGUUAUUUUCUCUCCUUUUUCUUUCUUCACAACUAAUUUUAUUAAUACUAACAAAAAAAAAAAAAAAAAAAAACUUUAAAAUUACUUUAAAAGAAAAUUGGAUUGAAUCUGAGUCAGCUGAGUCAGCUGCCUACACACCAGCAUAAAUGUCUACGUACAUAUUGAUGUGUCACAUUUGUAUUGGCUUAUUAGAUCACUCAUUGAAUGCAAUAGAAUACUAUUGAAACAUGUUCUAAAUAUCUUCCACCAUAAUUAAUUCUUUUAUAAAAUACUUUUCUAAUACACUAAAAUAAACUUUGAAUAAAAACUUUUUGGAUGCAUAUUUAAGUGUAUAUAUAGCUAUAUAUUUCAUACAUUAUCUUUGAUCACUUAAAUUUUUUUCUAAUCUAUCUGAAAAUUAUUCAAAAAUAGUUUUAAACUAAUUCAACAUUUUCAUUGUUUUUAUUUACUAAGAUAAGAUUGUUUUAAAAAAUAUUUUAUCAGGGAAUUUGACAACUUUAAUAAUUUGGAAGAUUUGGGUCAGUCCUUUCUUUGAUUCAUACUAAAAUAUUCAUAUUUUUUACAUUCUUAUUUUUGUCAACUUCUUACAACUCUUUAUUUUCGUUACUAAUCAAAUGACUCCUAAUAAAGUAAAUGUACCAAAUGUGGGUUAAAGUAUUAUUAUUAUUUUUUGAAAAAUAGUGGUUAAAAAUUGAUUUUAUUAAUUAGAAUCACUUUAUAUAUAUUUGAAUAAUAAAAAUAAGCCAAUAAAUUAAAAAAAGAAAAGAAAAAGAGAAGAAGAAUCUCUUUAGACUGAUAAUAAUUGAGGAGCUGAAUUGUGUUUAAAUUGACAAUAGCAAUAAGAUUAAUAAAGGUUUUAAUUUGAUGAACAGUGAUAGAUUUUUGCAACCACGCAAACACAAAAGAAUAAAUAGGUUGGAGAAGGAGAUUGAGUCAUUAAUAUGGGAGACGGUUCAACAAAGACAAAAAGAAUGCUCUAAAACCUCCUCGUCGGACAAGGAUUUGUUGCAGUUAAUAAUGGAAGCCACCAUCGAUGACCCAAAUAUAGGAGCCAAGGACUCUUCCAAGAACUUCAUUGUUGACAACUGCAAGAGCAUCUACUUCGCCGGCCAUGAGUCCACCGCCGUGGCCGCCACCUGGUCCUUGAUGCUCCUCGCCCUCCACCCCGAAUGGCAAGACCGUAUCCGCUCUGAGUUUGCUCAGGCUUGUCCCGACGGCCACCUCGACCCGACUGCCACUUCACAACUCAAAUCGGUAAUCUCUCUCUCAAACACAUAGUUUGUUUUAGAUUGUACAAUAAUAUGUGAUUUUGCAGGAGUAAAACUUGUUUAAUUAGGUUUAUUUCUCCAAAUAUUAGAAAUUAUUAUAGUAUUGCAUUUUUUAAAAAUUGUAAAUAUAGCAAAAUUUAUUGGUUAGAUUUUAUCGUGGAUAAACUUUAACAAUUUUGCUACAUUUACCAUUUUUUAAAAAAAUGUUACCUAUGCGAAUAUUUUAAAUCUAUACUUCUAUACAUAUACUAAUCUAAUUGUUUUAUAUGUAAUUAUCAUUUUCUUUUAAGUUGUUUAAUUUGGAAUCUAAUAGUAUAUAAAAAGUUCAAUGAGUUAAGAGCACGAUGUUUUAUAGUUAUGAAGUUUUCGAACUUUUGGAACUAAUAAGUGGAUCACUUACUUCUUGACUCUAACACCUACUUCUUAAAUAAUAGGUCUUUAAAACUUUUUGCGGAGAAAAAUAAGAUAAUAAAAAGUCAUGAAUUUUAAGAUGAUGAUAAAGAAAGAAGGGUAUGGGUGGAAUCUAAGUUUUUAGGAGAAUGAACUGAAUUGUUGCAAAUUUAAAAUACUAACUAAUUGAAACCAAAAGUAAAUGGUGGACACAUGUGUAUACUCUCCUAACCUUAGCACAUGAAACAACUGGUGUAUGUAGGUGAGUAUGGUGAUUCACGAAACGCUACGAUUGUAUCCACCAGCUGCAUUUGUGGCGAGGGAGACAUUUGCUGAGACACAACUUGGGAAUGUGGUGGUUCCAAAGGGCGUUUGCUUAUGGACUUUAAUUCCGACGCUGCACAGAGAAGUUGAAAUAUGGGGAGAAGAUGCAAAUGAGUUCAAGCCAGAGCGAUUCGCAAAUGGGGUAGCCAAAGCAUGCAAGUUCCCUCAGGCCUACGUGCCAUUUGGGGCAGGCCCUAGACUAUGUUUGGGGAAGAACUUCGCAUUAGUUGAAUUGAAGAUCAUAAUUUCUCUUAUAGUUUCCAAGUUUAGAUUCUCGUUGUCUCCUGAGUAUCACCAUUGCCCUUCAUAUAGAAUGAUUGUGGAGCCUGCAAAUGGUGUGAAGAUUGUUUUCCAAAGGCUUUGAAUUGAGGUUUAAGAACUUUGUAAAUGAGGUUAAUUUAGCUUAGGGUUAUUGCUGGGUCAAGUUAUAAGAAAUUGGAGUGAUAUGUUUGGUAUGUGUGUUUAUUUAUCAUUUGGUACAAGUUUAAUUUGUUAGUUAUACAAGGCUACAGUACAAAUAUACAUUAUGGAAAUCACAUUUGAUUCACUGUACUACAAGCUAAAUUCCUUUUCAAUCAUAUUGAUGAAGAUUAAUGAAAAUUAUUGUUGAAUAUUAAAUUAAUCAAAUUGUUUAAUUAAUUAAUUAAGUUGAAAAAAUUUAAAUCAAAGGUGUUAAAAUUGAAAUUUUAAAAUAUUUGUAAAAAAGUAAAAGCUGACAUUUUGACCUUGGUGGUCAAUUUUUUUUACCAAAAGUCCGAAGGUUAACUUAGACACAUUUAGUGAACAAUCCCACGUUUAAGUGGGAUUAUCCCAUUUUUAGCAAUAGUAUGAGUGAGCUCCCUACUUGGGAAAGUGUUCUUCACUCAAUCUACCACAAAUCCCACUCAUUUAACCAAGUUUAAGUGUUCAAUUCUUAUGCAAUUGAUUUGCAUGGCUAUAAAUAUAUGAAGGUUUAAUUAGAUUAAUCUUCUUAGUUGUUUUUUAAGAUUUCCUGAAAAUCUUAGCACUACCGAAAGCUCUCUUUCAUUUCUUCAAUUCUCUAUAAAUUAUCACACUCAUCGGAUCCCAACAUCUCGAUCUAUGGCCAAAGAUCAGUCAAAAAGACUUUUGUAAUGGUGAUUAAAUUCUUUUUUAUUAUUUUGAGCAUGUUUUAAUCCUAAAAAUUGAAAGCAAUUAGAGUGUUUAAUUUGUUUGGCUUUUGCUAGCAUGUUUAUUAUCUUCUAUAAAAUAACUAAGUGUAAGCUUCAAAUUGGUCCUCUGGCGCAUAGCAUUUCAGGAAUGCCCUGACGCUUGUCUGGGGUAGAAUUCGAGAAGACCUAUACAGAUGAAGCGCAGGGGUGCUAGCUUGGUGCCUGCUGGACGUGCUUUUCAAAGACCUCAAACCUAGAUGAAGCACAAUGGCGCUCCCCCGAGGUGGAGCGACGCACCAAACUUGAUUGAACGAACAUCACACUAGAAACACAACAACACUCUCUUAGGUGAACCACUGUGCUUUGACAAGCUUGCACCCUCCUGAUUUCUUUCUAUUGUGUUUAGGGUAUCACUUCCUUUAUUUAAUCAUUGUAUUUAAGUUCGGUUUUAAAUUAUUUUCUCUGCAUAUAGUUGUUGAGUUUUGACUAGCUGUUGAGAUUUGCUCCUAGUUUUUCUUUUUUGUUAUAUGCUGCUUGUUUCGUCUUUUAUUGGCUCUCAGGUGCAUUUGGAGUGUGGUGGAAUUUUUUUUUGAAGAAGUUGUCAAAGAUAAGUUAACUAGUUCGUGUACUCCUAUGGUGAGUGAGAUACGAAGAUGAGAUAAAAUUUUGUGAUCAAUCAUUAAAAGAGUGAUUCAAGAUUAUUAGGGAACGAUCAACUGAUGUUUGAUUGAUUGCAUAGUGAUAUUUAAUUAAGGGGGAGGAUUUCUUUUGCUAUUUCUUUGAAAAACACUAGUUAAUGUUCUAAUGAUUCAUUUGUCAGUAAAAAUGUGUCACUAAGUACAGAAGGUUAAAAAUAUGUUUAGAUGUCUAUACUUUUGGUCAUAAGUCUAUAUUCACGAAUUAUAACACAAAACAAUAUAUAAUCUCUUAUCAUAGGUCAAGGACCCCUAAAUGUAGAUAUUGUGUCAUUGAACUCGAUAACAAUGUUUGGUGUUUAAAUAGUUAGAUCUACUUAUUGCUCUCAAAGUUAUUACGUCAGUCAUUAGCUGAAGUGUAUGUUAGAAGCACCUUAUUAACUGAAUUAUUCUUUUUUCAUUAGGUAUUAGUUACGUAAUCUGUGUCUGAUAUGGAAUCUGUGUGCGUGAAGGAAGCUCUACACAAGACCUCGUGUUUUGGAUUAUUCUAACUAUGCCUACUAGGAAGCUAGAAUGAUUGCCUUCUUGAAACUAAUUGACAACAAAACAUGGAAGAUUGUUGUAAGUGGAUGGGAGCAUCCUAUUGUAACUGAUAUUGCUAGAAAAGUAUCUCAGAAGCCAGAAAUCUCUUGGUCCAUUGCAAAAGAUGAAACGUCUCUGGACAAUUCUCUAGACUUAAAUACAAUUUUCAAUGGAGUGGAUCAAAACAUGUUCAAAUUAAUUAACACAUAUACGUCUGCAAAGGAGACUUGGAGUAUUUUGGAUGUAGCUUAUGUAGGAACAUCUAAAGUGAAAAUGUCACGAUUGCAACUUUUAACAUAAAUAAUUGAAACCCUAAAAAUGUCUGAAGAUGAGUCUAUAGUUGAACUUAAUGAUCGAGUUCUUAACAUUGAUAAUGAAUCAUUUUCCCUAGGGAAAAAUAUUUCAGACACUAUGCUCGUCCAAAAAGUUUUGCGAUCUCUACCUCCUCAUUUCAUCAUGAAAGUUACUGCCAUUGAAGAGGUAAAUGAUAUUGCUUCUUUGAAAGUAGAUGAACUUUUUGGUUCUUUGAGAACCUUUGAACUAAAUCUUGAUGAUGGAGAUUCCAAAAAGAGAAGUGGAGUUGCUCUUCAGGUUAUAAAUGAGGAUACUUCUCAAUCGAGCAAAGAACAUACUCAUGAUGAAAAUUUAGCCGUGUCCAUUAUCUUAUUGACUAAAAAGGUUUUGAAGCUUCGAAGCAAGUUUCACCAGCGAUCUGGUAAUUAUGGAGCUCAGUCUAAUAGAGAUUUUGGUAGUUCCAGUGCAUCAAGCUCAAAUUCCUCUUAUUCUUAAUGCUGCUCAUAAGCAUAGAGAGAUUAACAAAGGUGAUCAAAAUUCUGUGUCAUACAAAAGUGACAGAAGCUUCAGAUGUCAUGAGUGUGGAGGUUUUGGGCAUUAUCAGGCAAAAUAUCCUACAUUUCUAAAAAGGAAAAAGAAUAGCUUUACCGUUACAUUGUCGAUGAAGAAUCAUCAUAUGAUAGUAAUGGAAAGGAAUAUGGCAGAGCUCUUACCAGAUGUGCAAAUGAGGAAGAACCAGAAGUCUCUGAAAGUAUACAUGAUAAAAAAUUAGUCAAUAAAAACGAUAUAAAAACCAGUCUUAUUCGAUCUAGUUAGGAUGAUCUGCUUAUAAAAUGGGAAGAAGAUCAGGAAGUGUUGAAAUUGCAGAAGGAGAGAAUACAAGUUCUUAUGGAAGAUAAUCAUCUUCUUAUGACCAUGAUUUCUACUUUUAAAAUGGAAUUGAAAGAUGUUCAUAUUGAGUUUGAGUCCUUAUCAAAAUUUGUGAAGUUGCUCAUCUCUGGAACUCAGAGUUUGGAUAAUCUCUUGAAUGAAGGAAAGACUAAAAGAGAUUUUUUUUUAUAUAAAAAAAGGCACUAGUUUCACUGGAAGAGGUUCUAGCACUAGUGAAUCCUCAAUAGUGUUUGUUAGAGCUUCAGAUAGCAAAAACCAAUGUGAAGAAUCUGCAGAGUCGUUGUGUGUUAAAACUAGUCAACGCAAGGCUAUUCAAAAACCUUAAAAAAGGUGGACAUGUCAUAUUUGUGGAAAAUUUGGACAUAUACAACCAUUUUAUUAUAAGUUGCAUGGCUAUAUAUGAUACAACCAUAGAAGGUUGAAUGGAAAGAUUAGUAAAAAAAACUUACUAAGUCAUCCUCAUUCUAUUAUUAAAACAGAGUGGAGAAUGAAAAAAGAAGAAAAACAUAACAUAUGUAAUGUGACUUUUACCUUUGUUCACGCGUCUAACUCAAAUGACGGGAAACUUCUCUUUCUUCUAAGAAUUUAAGGAGUGAAGUGUUGGACAUGUGACUUUUGGUGAUGGUAUGAAAGUCAAAGUUGUUGGAAAAUGAAGCAUAAGUAAACCUGGAUUACCGGUUUUUCAAGAUGUCAGACUUGUAAAGGGACUGUCUGCUAACUUGAUCAACAUCAGUCAGCUGUGUAAUCAAGAGUUUUCUUUAAGUUCUGAAUCAAGAAAAAAAUAUUAUAAUGAUAGGGACUCGAUUAUCUGAUAACUAUUAUCAACGAAAUUCUGAAUAAAAAAACUAUUUGUGUCAUUUGUCUAAGUUUGAUGAAGUCGAGCUAUGACAUAAACGUCUUGGACACAAUAUUUCUACCAUAUGCAAGACUAUUAGGGAAAAGGCUCUAUUAGGAAUUCCUUUAUUGAAUAUUGUAUUAGAUAAUUUCUAUGAAGAAUGUCCUAUUGGGAAACAAGUUAAAACAUCUCACAACUUUAUUGGGCAAUGUACUACACAUUGAGUUUUUGAACUUCUCCCUAUUGAUCUCAUGGGUCCUAUGCGAGUUGAAAGCCUUCGUGGCAAGAUGUAUGCUUUUGUGUGUGUAGAUGAUUUCUCAAGAUAUACUUGGGUGAAAUUCAUUAUUAAAAAAUCAGAUACCUUUAAAGUAUGUAGAUUUUUUGUGUCUUCAACUACAAAAAGAACAAGACAAAGCUAUUGUGCGUAUUCCCAGUGAUCAUGGAAGACAGAUUGAGAAUUCUGCCUUUGAUAAGUUUUGUCAAAAUGAAGGAAUCUUUCAUGAAUAUUCAGCACCCUUUACUCCUCAACAAAAUGGGGUUGUUGAACGAAAAAAUAAACUUUGCAAGAAAUGGCUUACGUAAUGUUGCAUGCCAAAUCUCUUCCUUUAAUUUGUACUUCUUGCCAGAGGUUUUGAAUACUACUUGUCACAUCCACAAUCAUAUUUCCCUUCAUCUAGGUACAUCCUUUCACCAAUUAUCAGUUAUGGAAAUGACAUAAACCAAACGUUAAGUACUUUCAUGUUUAUGGUAGCACGUGUUAUAUUCUAAGCGAUAGGAAGUUUCAAAUCCGAUGAAGGCAUCUUGCUUGGGUACUCUAUAAAUAGUAGAGCUUUCAAGGUGUUUAAUAAGCACACCAAAACAACUCUUAAGUCUAUUAAAGUUGUUAUUAAUGACAUGAGUGAACUGCUGGUUUUCACUUCUAUCAGUUCAUCCACUAGUGAUAUAGUCAAUUCAGAUGUUUUGUCUUCUGUUACUAACCGGGGAACUACAUCUGAGGUUUCCUCUUUGAUUAAUGAGUUAGUUAGUGAUGAUUCUGUUGAUUUGCCAGUUGUUAACUUUGAAGAUAACAACAAGCACAUUAGUUCCAUUGUUCUAUAGAUAUUCAACAAAUUGCUCCAUCUGCUCAUGCUAAAGGAAAUCACCCAUUUAGCAGUAUUAUAAGAGAGAUCGGUGGUGGAAUCACAAUUCGUAAGAAGGAACACCAUAAUUAUGCAAAGAUGAUUGCAAAUGUGUGCUAUACAUCUCCCAUUGAACCUACAAAUGUUACUAAAGCUUUGAAGGAUGAAUAGUGUAUUGCUGCAAUGCAAGAGGAGUUUCAAUUUAAACGUAAUCAAGUAUGGCAUUUGGUUCCAAAACCGGUUCACGUUAACAUUUUGACACGAAGUGGAUCUUAAAAUAUAAGACUGUUGAGAAGGGUUGUGUGACUAGAAACAAGACUUGUCUUAUUGCUCAAGGAUAUGCACAAAUUGAAAGUGUGGAUUUUAGGAAACUUUUGUGUCUGUUGCUUGUCUUGAAGCCAUUUGGUUGUUGCUUGGCUUAGCUUGCAUUCGUAAAGUCAAACUAUAACAAAUGGACAUCAAAAGUGCAUUCUUGAAUGGUUUCUCAACUUAAGGUUUUUUUGGAUCCCUCAAACCCAAAUCAUGUGUACAAACUACAUAAAACCUUGUAUGGUCUUAAAAGUAAGGUCGUCAGGCUUGGUAUGAACGCUUAACUGAGUUUCUUCCACAACAAUGAUACUGUCGAGGCGAUGCUGACAAGACUAUGUUAAUUAAACGGAGGCGACAUGAUUUUCUAGUUGCUCAAGUCUACAUUGAUGAUAUUAUUUUUUUGUGGAUGAGUUUGAAAUGAGUAUUGUAUUAUGACGGAAUGGUGGGCGACGACAGCAGCGGACGACGGAUUUCUUCUUCCCUCUCUUUCACUUUUUCCUUUUUCUCUUUCGCAUUUUGUGUGUUCUGUGUAAAACAUAACAAAUAGGGAAGGGAACAGCCGAUGCAGCCCGAACACGUUGGCAUUUCCCGCUUUCCCCGAUGCCAUUAGUGACGCGUUGGAGAAAGUCCAAAAAGGGUAUGAAUUUAAUAAUAUUAUUCGAAUUUUGCCGACACACUUACACACGACGUUGGCAAAAGUUUAAAUAAUAUUAUUAAAAUACAACAUUUGUCCACGUCGUGUGUAAAUACGGCGACAAUGGUUUAAAAUAAAAAUAUUGUUCAAGCCUUUGCCAAUGCAUUUACACACAACGUCGGUAAAAGUUUAAAUAAUAUUAUUAAAAUACAACAUUUGUCGAUGUCGCGUGUAAGGACGUUGGCAAAGGUUUAAAAUAAAAAUAUUGUUCAAACCUUUGCCGACGCACUUGCAUUCGACGUGAACAAAGGUUUCAAUAAAAUAAUAUUAUUCGGACCUUUCUCAACGUCGUGUGUAAGUGCGUCGGCAUUACCUCGUCAUCUCGACGUGGAUUUAACAAUGUUGGCAUUGCUGCUCUUCACCGACGUCGUUUUUCUCAACGUCCGUUGUUGUGUCGGUAAAAGUCUCAUUUCUUAUAGUGUUGUAGAAGAAAGUAUUUUCAUUUGAGUUCUGGAUUUUACAUUAUAGAGGUCUAAACUAGAAGUAAGGUUUUGGUCGAAUUGUGAGUUUCUGGGCAGUAUAGGUUAUUGGUCGAGUGUCAAUGAUUGCUAGGUGAGAUGAGCGUGCGUUUUAGGUUAAAGGAGGUUAGCGUUGCGUGCAUUUAGGUUGGUGUUGGAUGCACGACCUACGCACAAUGGGCGAGCAGCCAAGGGAGCACAUGAUAAAGGCUGCGCGAGAUGCUAAGCACACAACCAGAUGAGAAGCGUGGCGUGCUUGUGCGUAAGGUUAGCACGCAGGCAUGCCCAGUGCGUAUAGCAAACCUCUUGUGAGGUUAGUGUGGGUAACCCAACGCGCGCAGCCAGGGCUCUGUCGCCCACCCUUGCACGCCAACCAUGUCAUUUUGAUGUGUUUGGGCUGUUUUUUAUAGUUUGAAAAUUCUUAAGGAAAGUUUUGAGGUUUUUAUGAUUAAAGGAAAUUAAAUGGAAUUAUUUUGGCCGAGGUUUUGAGCUAUGAUCGAUGAGUGAUAAAAUGAAUUUAAUGUUGAUUUUUUAAUCUAAUUAUCUAUCAAAUAUUUUAUGUAUGCUUUGAUGUAUGAAUUACUUGAGUUUACUGAUUUAGCAAAAAUGUUUCCAAUGCAUGAGAUUUGAAAUAUUUGUCGAGUAUUUUAUGAUAAGUAUCUAAGUUAAAAAAUGAUUUCAUAAUGUUUUAGACUAUAUCGUCCAAUAUAUAUAGCAAUCCGUUGGGGGAUAUAGCUUGUGCACAAAGGUUCCUUUGAUGAGGGUAUUCAGUAGAAACCUAGUUUACAUCAUUGGGACAGAUCUAAUGAGUUGAGGGUCUACAUAUGCCUAGUUUUCCAUCUUAAAAGAUGAGGGCCUGUACGAUUAUCUUGAUUCCAUUUCAUUGUAGCUAUAGUGAGACAUGACACUAUUAACGCCUAGUCUUCGUCUCGUAAAUAUCACAUCAUAGGAUGAGGAUCCAUUAGAGUGUGUAUGAUUCCAUCCUUGUGAUUUGUGUGGUAUAUAUUUAAAAGUAGAGGAAGUUUUAUUGAUAUGUUUUGUGAUUUUUUUUUGUGUAAAAUCCUAAAAUUUAAAGUUAAAUCGUUUUAAAGCAUGUUUUAUAAAACCGUCACUCACUGGACUUUUUAGCUCACUCUUUCUAAAUGUUUUCUCUACUUUCUAGGUAGAGGUCGUGAUCCAAGAACCUGACUGUUGUCUUCAGACUACUAUGCAAAGUUGUUUAUAGUUUUGUUGCGAAGAGACAAUUCUAGGUUAAUCUUUAUCUUGUUCAUAGUUCUUUGUAAAGUGAAAUUAGUUAGAAAUCUUAUCUUUCUUUUGCCUAAGUGUGAUGUCUGUAAAUAAAUGGUGUUUAGCCUAAAAUUGUUUUGAUCUAUUAUGUUUAAAGAAUAUCUCUCAUAGUUUUCGUUGCAUAAGUUUUUUUAAAAAAAUUACUCAAGUUGCUUAGUAUAGUAAAGAAUCAGUAGUCAGGGUCAACUGAUGUUGUUUAGAGAAAGGAAACGAUGUUGGUUGGCUUUAUGCCACAUCUCGAGCCGAGCAAGUAGGUACUUGAGGUGGGGUGUGACAAAAUAUAUCUACAAGAUUCUUGGUUGGUUAUAUUUUAAAUUAUUUAUUAACAAUAUCGGUAAUUAUUAUUAAAUAAAGAAAAUUGCAUUAGAUGACAAAAACAUUUAAAAAACAACUCAUACCACGUAUUUUUUUGCAUAUUGUGAAUAUGGCAAAAUUUGUAAUAUCAGAAAGCUAUUAGAGAGUUGUCGAGUUUUAAAUUUGCUAUUUUGACAAUUUAGAAAAUAUAGUGACAUGGGCCCUAUUAUCAUAAUUUUUUUGCUAUUUUUGGAUAUGUUCUAUUACAUAGUACAUAAUCAAUAUUUUUAAUAACAAUUUGAAAUUAUAUUUUAGAUUAGAUUUCUUAAUUUCAGCCCAAUUUACGUUUAUCAAUAUGUUUUAUUCCUUUUUAUUUUGGUGGCAGUUAUAUAUAUUAAAAAAUAAAUAAAAAAUAUAUAGUAAAAUCUAUAUGCAAAAUACGUUUAUUAUUGUAAAUGUUUACAUGUUAAAAUAUGUUAUUUAUAUCUAUUUUUAAAAAUAUUUUGAAAAUGUGCACUUUUUAUAUUUUUUGAAAUAUUGGUAUUCUCGUUGUUUGCUUUUAAGAUUCUAAAUUCUAAAAAUAUGUAUUUUUAAUAUUUGUAAGCUUUAGUUUAUUUGUUUAACAUUUUUUGUUGAUUAAUUACAAUCUUUACAAUAGAUCCUUUAACACUAGUUUUCGGAGACAAUAGUAAAAUCAUAAUAAGUUUUUAUAAUGGCUUUACAACGAGUAAAAACUGUUUUGGAUGGUAGAUGGAUUGAAUCUUCCAGCAAAGAAGACUAAAAAGAGGAGGCUUACUUCAUUUUUUUAAAAAAAAGUUACUAUUUAUUGCAGCAGUUGUGGUCAAAUAGGUCACAAUUGUAGGUCUUGUAAAGAACUCAUACAACGUUAAGUUCCCAUUUUAGCAUUUUCCUUAGUUCUUAGUUAUUCUUUUUAAGUACUGGGUUUUGUUAUAAUAUUGUUAAUUCAUAAGAGUGUUCUCUGUUAUUAUCGGAUUUGCUUGGUUGUAUGAAAAAAAUCAGUGCUUAUGUUCAUCGAAAUACAAUGUAUUUCAUAUAUUUUAUAGUCACCUAAGUAUAUUGUCCUUGCAAUUAUACUCUAUUGUAGGUUAUUCGUAUUAAAUUGAAGUACCAUUCUUUUCAAAUUAGAUACAUUCAGGUUGUUAUAAUCGAAAAUUCAUGUCAUAUAUUAUCAUUUAGGCUCAAGAUACAUUAUGUAUAGUUUGUAAUCGUUGUUGCCUUAUGGAGUAUUUGUCUUUUUUGUAUUUGUGCGUUCAAUUAUUGUAAAUCUAACAUAUUGGUUAUUUCAAAUGGAAAGAUUAUACGUUGGUAUGUAAGCAAUGUGUUGGAAUUUAUCACUGUUAAAUACAUCCUCAUUAUCUCGAAUAAGUUGGGAUAUGCUCAUGAUUACAAUGUAGUUCCGAGAACUACUUGUCAUUCGGCAUGAUUUAAUUAUACUCAUCCUGAUUAUAUUUCUCAUUAUAGGAUAAUUCAUAGAUUCAAAGUACAAUAUAUUUUAAUAGAUCCAACAUGAGGCAAAUAUCGCACAUUUGAGAAAGACAAUAUAUUUUACAAACAAUCUUUAACUUUAGUAAAUCCUAACUAAAUCUGAGAUUUUGUUUAUGGACGAGAUUGCAGCAACUUCUCCUAUAAUAAUGGCAAACAUACCUUCCAAAUUCCCGGUUUGUUAUAUCAUAAACUAUUUAUUAACAAUUUUAGUAAUUUAUAAUUAAAUAAUACAUAAUAUAUAUUUUUAGUAACAUUUCGGAAUUAUAUUGUUAAAUAAAUACAUAAGAUCUAUUUUAGAUUAGAUUUUGAAAAUUCGGCGCACAUUUGGUAUGCAAAAUACAUUCAUUAAUAUAUUUUUUAAAAAAUUUAGAAUGUAUAUUUUGAUGGUAGUUAUAUCUAUUUAAAAUAUAUAUAUUAAAAUGUAUAUGCAGAAUACGUUCAUUAUUUUCAAAUUUAUUAUUUUAAAAUGUAUGUUAUUUAUAGAUUUUUAAAAAAUAUUUUGAAAAUUUGUAUUUUUUUAUAAUAUUUUAAAAUAUCAUUAUUCAUGUUAUUUGUUUUUAUUAUUCUAAACGUUGUUUUUUAGAGGUAUUAUCAAGCAUCAAGUUCACUAAAUAUCAAAAAUUCAAGCGAACGAAAGAAGAAUGAGGAAAACAAACAUUUUUUCUGCGGAGGAUAAAGUUGGAAUCAUUUUAAUGAUGAAGGUCCUCCACAAUAAGAAAAACCUGAAUACUUCCAUGCCUUACGCCAAAUGUAUUAAGAGUUUGAAGAGGAUCACAAAGCUGGAAGCUGGAAUCGUUUCUACAAAGGACGAAGCUGGAAUCGUUUCUACAAAGGAUGAAGCUGGAAUCUUUUCGAUUUGAAGAGUUUGAGGGGUUUGAAGAAUAUUUUUCGGUGAACCUCUUUUCCCUAAAUGUUUGAAUGCUUGAAAUGUUUGAAAGGUGUGAAGGAUUUGAUGGGUUUGUAACAUAUGAUAAUGUUCUUUCGUGCAUAAGUUAAGAAAAUAUGAAAUGACUGUCCAAAUUUUGUUUGGAAUUUGAAGUUUUGAUGGAGAGGAAUUUUGGAUUUUUGAAGGAAAUUAAAAUUUUGAUAGGUUUUAAUUGAUUUUGUUGUGUUAAUAGAGAAAAAUUAGGAGAUAGAUAUAAUCAUUCUUUUUUUCUUUUUGGAGUUUGAAUCAAUUAUGGAGUAUAUGUUGCAGCAUUUUUUCAUUAGAUUAGGGGCAUUUAAGAUAUUGUUGCACCAUUUUUUUCAUAUUUUUUUAUUUUGCUAUUUUAUCAAUUUAAAUUAAAUUUUGUUAUUUAUCCAAAGUAAACCUUCAAUUUUGCUAUUUUUUCUGUUAGUCCUUAAAAAAUACUAUCCAAAUCAACGCGCUAUAAAAAUGAGAAUCCUUUUGUUCAUACUUUUUCUCUUGUUCAGACAACUUCGUUUUCUUCAUAUCAUUUUCGUCGUACAUCUUCUUCGAUCGUUCAUUUCCACUUACCUUCUUCAACCAAACUUCUGAAAUUGUUCUUCAUCUUGUUAUUUACAUUUUGUACUCCAUCAAUUCUUUUGAAAUUUGUUUCUGACAUUUUGGUCAUUGCUCAAUAUUUUGGUUCCACAACCAAAUCUAACUCGAUCUAUCUUCCAUACAAAAAAAUAAUAUAUCUUUGUUUUAUUUAAUGUAAUAACCACUCUUAUUCUGUGUAAGUUAACCCUAUUUUAUAUAAAAAAAAAUAGAUGGUGAGCAAAAAGCAAGCAACAUCAACUAGCAAAGCAACGAAAUCUAAAGAAAAGGCAGAAGAAAAACAAAUUAAGAAAGAAAAAGAAGUGAAAGUAACAAAAGAGAAUGUCAAUGUCUAUCUGUCCUCUAUCUUUAUCUAUAUCUUUGUCUGAUUGCUCCUAUCUUAGCCAAUAUCAAUCGAAUAGUGUUCUAUAUUUGUGUAUCUGUUAACUAACUCUUUGUUUAUAACAUAUUGUUUAUUAUAUCUUUUCCACAAGUCUAACACCAUCCAAAUGACAUAAUUAUACUUUAAAAAAACACAUGUAACUAAUGAAGUAAUGGAUGAAAAAUAUAGACACAAGUGAUAAAUCCAAUCUUUGUCUAUACAUCGAAAGGAUUCUAAUUUUGAUAUUUUGAUGGACGAUCGUUAUAUUUUUGUGAGUUGAGUCCUUAUACUCAUAUUAACACGAAUAAAUGUAGUUGACAAAAACUCUUAAAUUAGAACCCAAAAGACGAUUCCACUGUGACACAUAAAUGCUCACUUUAACCCAAAGUUUAUAAUUCAUAUAAACUCUAUACUUGUAUGCAAAACAUCUUUCACAAAUUUGAAAGGAUCAAAACAUUUUGAUCUUUAAAUCUUGUUUAGUAAUUAUUUUAAUUUUUUGUUUUUAAAAUUUUUGUUUAUUAAGAAAACUAUAUAUGUUUGAUUAACCCAUAUAUGUUUGAUUAACCCAUUUUUUUUAAUUUUCUUAAAGCUUCUUUUUAUCACUUUUAGUUUUUGUUCGUAAUUUUAAAAACAAGUUUUUUGUUUAAAAAAAAAAAUAGUGAAGUAAUUACCAAAUAUGUCUUUUCUAAAACAAAAAUUUAAAACAAAUGGGUUAUCAAACUAUCCCUAAAAUACUAAAAUAUUUACUACCAUGUAACAAAAUUAAAAAGUUCAUAAAGCCAUUUUUUCUAAAUAGUUCACGCUUAUCUUUUCUUUUCAUCUCUUUCUUGUCUUCUUUAGUAAUUUUUCUUUUCAUUUCCACCGUCUUUCGCAAUUUUUUUAUAUUUUUUUAAAACCACGAUCUUUGUUUUCAAUCAAUCAUAAAUCUUGCAUUAUUUUAAGAUCUUAAAAAAAAAUGUUUGGGAUGUUGGUUCACAAUCGUUUAGAUUUCGGUAGCUAAAUUUAACGAUCAUGUAAUCAAAUCUAAACGUUUUUGUACCAAAUAUAUUAUGUCCAAGUGAUAAAUUAAUCGCGUGUUGAUUGAGACAUUUUUGGUAUUUUACAAUGUGACCUGUGAACUUUUUCCAUUUUCGAAAUUAUUUUAUACAGUGUAAAUAUUUUGUUGAUUUGUUAUAUUUUUUAAAAAACUCUAAAAAAUAUGAAAGUAAAUAACAACGAUCUACUAUAUUAUUGAAAGAGAACUCUUACCAUCAAUUACGUAAAUAAGUAUAGUUCAACUGAUAUAAAAUUUAUACUGUCUAUAGAUGAUGAUAAAUUUAAUUUCUCCGUGACACAUCAUGAAGAAAAAAAAUUGGACCAUUAAUUAUAAAAAAGAAUGAGAUGUCUUAAUCAUUAAAAGCUAAACUAUACUAACAUAUAUUACCAAAAAUAAUACAAACAAAUGAGAUGAUGAAAAUGAUGUUAUGAUUCCCCAAUGAUACAAAAGAAAGAAAAAGGGGACGACGUUCUUAUUCUUAAUAAAUAAAUAGAAAAAGGAGAUAACAUUUGAAAACAACAACUCCUCAUGAUGAUGCUAAUAAAUAAUUAUUAUAGAAUUAAAAUAAUUUCCUUUUAAUAUAUCUAAUUUUUGUGUGUAUACUUUGCCAAACUUAAUUUUAGUUGUUUGUUGCCAUUUUCAUUUUUUUAAUUAUUAGAUUUUUCACAAAAUAUAAAAUUUGAAAACAUAUUCACCUAUUAUAAUUUCUUUGGUAGAAAUUAGGAGUUUUUAAAAUUUAAAAGAUAGAACAUAGUGGAAAAAUGUUUACACUCUAUCGAAUAAUUUUAAAAAGAAAAAAAUCUACAAGAUGAAAUAACAAAAAUAUCCUCGUGAUUAAUUAGUUGCACACGAGUGAAAAAAUGAUUUUACAUCAAAUCUAAACAAUCUUGUACCAAGUCUAAACGAAGUUGUACCUUUGUACCAAGUCUAAACAAGUGUGAACACAAUCGCUAAACAAUUUUUUAGCAAGUCUAAACGAUCUUAUACCUUUGCACCAAGUAUAAACGAUCUUGUACCCUUGUAACUAGUUUAAACGAUAUUGUACCCAGUUUAAAUGGUUGAUUUUGUACCAAAUCUAAAUGAUCGUAUAUCCAAUUUAAACGAUUUUGUGCCAAAUCUAAUCAAUCUAUUAGUGAUAGUAGUUUAUCUCUGUCUACCUGAGAUAGACAACUGAUUGUUUAGAUAAUGAUACACGAUCGUUUAGAUUCUAUACCAACAUCAUUUAGAUCUUAUAUAAAGAGGAAAAAAAUGAGAAAGGAAGAAGAAGGAAUAAAUUCUAGAAGAGAAAAUUAAAAAAUUAAAUUGGUAAAUAUUAACAUAAAUAAUCAUAAUAUUGUAAACUGAAGAAGAAUUAAGAAUAUAGAAAUAAUAAUAAUACGAAGAGGAGAUGAAUCACAAAGAAGAAGAAGAAAAUAAGUGAAAAUCUGUCAGCAUUAUUCAAGGGCAUACUUGAAAUUUAUGAAAAUAUCAUGAGCUUUUUUAUUUUGUUGUAGAUGUCAUGAGUAUUUAAUUGUUUUGUUAUAUUUAUGAAAUUAACUUAGAAGUUAUUAUUAUUUAAUUAAUUUAAUAAAAUUAAUUUUGUGACUCUAAAUUUAAUAAUAAACUUUUUGAAAAAAAAAACUGAGGCUAUAAACAUCAUUUUCAUUUAUGAUUUGUAUGUUUUGUUAUCUAGAUUUUAAUAGUGAUUUCAAAUUCAAAACCAAAAGUUAAAAAUUAAGGCUAUUUUUCAUAACUAUUUGACUUCAGUUUUUUAGAUUUUGAAAAUUAGGUCUAUAACCACUCAUUGACAAUCGUUUCGUUAUUUUUUUUAAAAACAAUUUGAAAAUGAAAUUUAUUUUCUUACAGAUUUUUAUCAUAACAUGCGUUAUUUUUAAGUACAAUAGUUGAGAUCAUAGCAAAAUUCAAAAUACAAACACAAUUUUUAAGAAGCUAUCUUUUUGUUAGAUUUCAAAAAUUUUAUUUGAUUUUAACAACACUUCUAAAAUAACUACGAAUAAAAGUCGGGAUUUUAAGCUUCAUUUUUAAAAAUACUAAAAACUAAAUACCGAAUGGUUAGCAAAGAUAGCCUAUGUCACCAACGGAUUUAGUAUAGGCUCGAGGGGCUCAAGCCCCUCUCAACUUUAUUGUCUUUAUAUAAUAUGUAUAAACAAAACUUAUUAAUGCUUAAUAUUUGUAUGCAGUUUAGUAAUAACUUUGCUUGUCACCCCCUCUUCCAACCAGAAUUCAAGUCUUAUUUAUGUAUUCUUUUUUCUAGAUUUUUAUUUUUUCUCUAAGUUAUUGUUAUACAGAUUAUCAAAAUGUCAUAAAGAUUAUUAUCACAAUGAACAAAAAGUCAUACAUAACUAUAGUUCUAUGCCCAACGAAUUCAUGUUGUCUCCUUAAGACAAAUUUACUCACCCUAGUGCUUGAGAAUUUAGAGUAAUUGUCUCCCAGGAUAGAACAUAUCAACUUUCUUCUAAGUGUAACACCCAGUAUAGAAAAUCUACGAAUGAAAUCUUGUGAAUCUACCGAACGUCAAGAUUUUGGAUAUGGAGAGAAAUUUGUUUAUAGAAAACAAAUGAUUUUGAUGUGUUUGUUUCUCUUAAUCAAAAGGACUUAUUUAUAGACUUUUCGUGACUAUUCGAAAAGUCAUGUCAUUUAGUUAAUAACACUUUUCAUGAAAUGAUGCAUCCACUGAUGCAUCCAUUCAUGAAUAAUCAUAACCAUUUAUUCCAACAAUCUCCCUCAUAAAUGGUAAUUUGACAAAUGGGAGAAAAUAAGCGUUCGAUAUUUUCGAAUGGAGAACCAGCAUGAGGAUAAGUAGUAUAAACUUUGAACUUUUCCUAGUAAAAAUCAUUCGAGUUUACUUGGUUAAUUAAUGGACAUGAUGCCUUGAACUGUCAACUGUUCUAGAGUAAACUAAAACAAUAGAUGUCACACAACUUCUCAUUAUAACAAAGUUUGUUCUCAUGGUUGUAUUCGUUUUGGCCUUGAACACCGCCUGGUUUCAUGAGUGUUUUAGAGAAUGUUGCCUUAAAAAUUCUCACAGAAGUGGCCCCUUCACACUCACAUAGGUGAUUCAUGUACAGAACAUCAUAUAUGUUCAUUUGUUAAUAAAUAUCACUAACGGAAAUCAUUAAAAGCAUAAAGCUUACCCUAAAACUAUACUGGCACUACCUCAUCAUUCGUAGAAUGGGAAAAUCUUUUAAUGCAGUGCUCAUUGUGUUAUUUAGAGAUCGAUUUUUCCGUUGAACCUAGAUCUUGGGAUCUUCAGCCAACUAGGUUGGGUUGCCUCUCUGGAUAACUUCAUAUUAUAGGCUUGAAUCCCAUUCUUUUUUAUGAAUUUUCAACCAACUCCCUAGUUAGACCUUUAGUAAGUGGAUCUGCUAUAUUAUCUUUUGACCUCACAAAGUCAAUUAUGAUAAUUCCACUAGAGAGUAGUUGUGUGAUUGUAUUAUGUAUCCAUUGUAUAUGUCGAGACUUACCAUUAUACAUAAUAUUCCAUGCGCUUUCAAUAACUGUUUGGCUAUCACUAUGUAUACAUAUUGCAGGCACUGGUUUAGACCAAUUGGGAAUAUCUUCCAAAAAAUUUUGAAGUCAUUAUGCGUCUUCUCCAACCUUGUUUAAAGCUAUAAAUUCAGAUUCCAUUGUUGAUCGUGUUAUACAUGUUUGUUUGGAAGAUUUCCUAAAAACACCAUCGCUUCCAAGGGUAAAAAUGUAACCACUGGUGGAUUUGGAGUCUUUAGUGCUCGAUAUCCAAUUGACAUCAAUAUAGCCUUCAAGUACAACAGGAUAUCGAGUAUAGUGUAAUCCAUAAUUUUUAGUAUGCUUUAAGCAUCCCCAAAUUCUCAAAAUAGCUUUCCAAUGAUUAUGACCUGGAUUACUUGUAUAGCGACUUAACUUGCUUACCGCAUACGCUAUAUCAGGACGUGUACAACUUGUGCUGUACAUCAAACUACCAAUGAUGCGAGAGUAUUCUAAUUGUGCUAUACUAUCUCCAUUAUUUUUACUUAAAUGGAAACUUCCAUCAAUUGGAGUCUUUGCAAUCACAAUGUCAUGUUUUGUAUAUUUCUUCAAUAUUUUAUCAACAUAAUGUGAUUGAGAUAACACUAAUCCUUGUGGGGUUCUAGAAAUUUUGAUACCUAAAAUAACAUCUGCGACACCUAUGUCUUUCAUCUCAAAUUUAUUGGCCAACAUUUGUUUGGUUUCUUUAAUAAUGUUAAUAUUGCUACCUAUAAUUAGCAUAUCAUCAACAUAUAAGCACACAAUGACAUGGUCAUUCUCAUUACUUUUGGCAUAUACACAUUUGUCACACUCAUUGAUUUUAAACCCAUUGACCAUCAUUACACUGUCAAAUUUUUCAUGCCAUUGUUUUGGUGCUUAUUUUAAUCCAUAAAGAGACCUAAUUAAUUUGUAAACUUUAUUUUCUUGAUCGAAAGAAACAAACCCUUCAAGUUGUUGCACGUAGAUCUCUUCAUCUAACUCACCAUUUAAAAAUGUCGUCUUGACAUCCAUCUGAUGUAUCUCAAAUCCAUGCAAAGCUGAUAUUGCUAUGAGCAUGCGAAUGGAAGUAAUUCAAGUAACUGGUGAGUAUGUAUCAAAAUAGUCAAGUCCUUCUUGUUGUUUGUAACCUUUAGCGACAAGUCUUGCCUUAUAUUUAUCUAUUGACCCAUCGGUCUUCAAUUUUCGUUUGAAAAUUCAUUUGCAACCAAGUGGUUUACUUUCUAAUGGAAGAUCUACUAGUUCCCAAGUAUGUUUAUGCAUAAUGGACUCAAUUUCACUAUUCACAACAUCUUCCCAACAUGGAGCUUGAGGAGAGGACAUGACAUCUUUAUAUGUUUGAGGUUCGUUUUCUAACAAAUAAGUUAAAAAAUCAGGCCCAAAUGAAAGGAAAAAAAAAUUCAAACAAAUUAAAAAUCAAAAGAAUAUAGAAAAAAGAGAUAAAUGGAUAAGUAAUAUUUAUUUAAUUUUUUUUUUUUAAAAAACUUAUACAUAUAUAAUUUUAAAGGUGCUUGAUAAUCUUAAAAAAAUAAGACUUCAAAUGGAGAGAUUAAUCUUGUUAAUUGAAGAAAUACAUAAGCAUGUAAAAGCAACCAUACAUAAAUAUUUGUAAAUUAAAUUUGUCUUGAGAUUGUUAUACAAAUUAUCAAAAUGUCAUAAAAAUUAUUAUCAAUGAACAAAAAAUCAUACAUAACUAUAGAUCUGAGCCCAACGAAUUCACGUUGUCUCCUUAAGACAAAUUUACUCACUCUAGUACUUGAGAAUUUAGAGUAAUGCUCUCCCAAGAUAGAACAAAUUAACUUUCUUCUAAGUGUAGUAUCCCGUAUAGAAGAUCUACGGACGAAAUUUUGUGAAUCUAUCGAACGUUAAGAUUUUGAAUAUGAAGAGAAAUUUGUUUAUAGAAAAUAAAUGAUUUCGAUGUGUUUGUUUCUCUUAACCAAAAAGACUUAUUUAUAGACUUUUCGUGGUCAUUCGAAAAGUCAUAUCCUUUAGUUAAUAACAUUUUUCAUGAAAUGAUGCAUCCAUUCAUAAAGAAUUCAUUUAUGAAAAAUCAUAACCAUUUAUUCCAACAUUUACAACUCGAAGCCUCCUGUCAAUAAAUUUUCUGCAUCCGACACUGACCUAUAUUUUCUUGCUUGUUUAAUUUACCUUUGACCUAUAUUCUAACAAACUAUGCAAAAAUGUGAAAAACUAAGGUCUCCUUGGUAAUUGUUUUCAAUUUUUGUUUUGUUUUUUAAAUUUCAUUUUUAAAAUUUUGUUUAUUAAAAACAAAAAUCAUAUAUAUUUGAUAAUGACUUUUGCUUUUUGUUUUUACAUGCAUAAAUUAUUAUAUUUUAAAUUUAAGCAACUCAAUUAUGAAAGAAAUAGUAACAUUAUCCGAGUAAUUAAUAACGUAAUUAAAUAUGAGAUAACUUUAAAAUCCAAGAAAAAAUUUUGAAUCUUGGAAAACCCUAAUCUUGAUAGUGUGAUUAUCUUUGGGUAAAUUAUCUCUUGAUGAUAUCUUUAUUUAUAAAAGAUUUUUCAUCCAUCUCUAAAAUGUAUUUGUUUUCCCAAAUCAGUUUAAUUAUAUAACAUAGUAAUUUGGUCACUUUGAGACUAACAAAUUAUUCCUAACAUAUAGAUAUCGAAUAACAUAAGUUCCAUGUGAUUUUAAUCACAAAAUUUGAAAAAACAUUAAUAUUGCAAAUAAUUUUAUCAAAGCUCUCAUUCAAUAUAAUCUAAAUGAUAUAACUUAAAUGAUUAGAAUAAAUGGAUACUUUAAAUCAUACUUCAUAUUAUUAUCAUUAUAUAUCCAUAACACAUAAAAUACAAUUGAUACAUAAUUUAUAUGAUCAUCAUAAAAACAAUUCCACUUGAUUUACAAUUAGAUGUUGCAAUCAUUUCAUAAAACUUCAUACAAUCACACAUUAUUAUUCAAAAUUUAAUCGUAUAAUUUAAAAUUCAAAUAUAAGUUGGUACAUUGAACAUAACACAUAUGAUCUUCAAUUUGAACAUAAACUAAAUAAAUCCAUACUAAAUAUAACAACUUUCCAAAAAUCAUCCCAAUCUAAGUAAAUAUAAUAACUUUGGAAAAAUCAUCCCAAUCUAAAUUUUAGUUAGAUUUUAGGAUGAAUUAGAUUUUUGGCGCCAUCCUAACUUUAAUUUCGAUGUUAAUUCUUUUAAUUUGUGAAUUAGAAUACUGAUCUAAUUCGUUUAAUUAGGGAUUAGAAUAUUGAUUUAAUCCAUUAGACCUUUUAAACAACGUAAUGAAAUUGAUAAUUAAUUAUUAAAGAAGUAAAACAACGGAAUUGAUAAUUAAUCUCUUAAACAAAACAAAGAAAUUGAUAAUUAAUCAUCGAUGAAACAAAUUAAAACAAUGUGGACGGCGGUGGGACACACACACACACACAUAUAUAUAUUAUUGAGUUUUCAUCCUGACUUUUGACGUUCCAUUUGAAUUUCCUUACUUUUGGUGAUCAAUCUUAAUCAAAAUUGGUAAUCCAUAAUUAGAAAAUCUUAAUUCAAAUUGAUAAUCAAACAAUCCAAAUCUAAAUUUAAUAAAACAUGCUGGAACAUUAAAAACAAAAUUAUUAAUCAUAGAGGUAAAAUCGUAAGUUCUCGAUCAUCACUUUGUUACUACAUUUAAACUUUAAUAAAACUCUGACAUUAAUGUCAAGACUUUUAAACUAGAUAAUUUUAUAAAUUAAAUUUAGUUAAAGAAUAAUAUACCUUAAUUCAUUAAUAUAUUUUCUUAAUUUGGAGGAAUUUGUGUUUUUCUUGGUUGAUCUUCCUUUAGAACUUAAUUAGAUUUUUUAAUGAAAAGAAUGAACUACUUAAUGAUAGUGAGAAUAUCAAUCCCUAAGGUUUUAUGUAUAAACAUCACCCUUUUAAUUAGAACAUUAUUUUUUGACCUAAUCUAACAUCAUGUAACCUUUUAGUUUUAUGAUUAUACAAUAAAACUCUAACCUUGUGUAUAACAAUAAUGAUAAGAUGUUUGAACUAGAUGAUUUUAGAAAUUUAAAUUUAGUUAAAGAAUAAUAUGUAUAUUGAUUCAUGAAGAAUGUUGUCGAGAAAUAAGUAAAUGUCCAUAAUAUUCGUAAAAAAUGGUGGGUAAAUAAUGAUGGAUUUUGGAUUUGGGUGUAAAUAAAUGUAAUAAGUUUUGUGGUUUUAAAAAAAGAUGAAAAGGAUUUGAAUAGAAGAAUGAAUUAAUAAAAAUAGUAAUAAGUAAGCCGACAGAGGAGUGGUGAUGGAAGCGUGGUCGUUAGGAAGAAAAGUGAAGGGAGGAAAGAGCGUGUGUUUCACGCGUGAAGUGGAAUUAUCGAUUUCGUAACUUGGAAGUUUUUUAUCACAAAAAAAGCAAAAAAGAAAAGAGAAAAAGUUCUCCAUCGAAUUCAAUACUUGCGAUUUAAGCCUACCAAAAGAGCAUCUCCAGUUGAAAGGGCCACAGAUUAGGACUUCCACUGAACUACUGGACCUCAAAUCUUUACUCCCCAUCGCUCAUUUUUCCUUUUCCUCCUAGAUCUUUCCCACUUUGCUCCCCUCUGCUCCUUCAUCACUGCUCUCAUUGCAUAACCCAGGUACCAUUCUUCUUUUUUCAUCAAUGUACUUCCAUAAUUCCCCACUUCACUCAGCUUUGUGCCAGUAAAAUGCAUCUCAAGAAACUGCGAUUUCGCUUUUGCUUUCUUUUCGUGGGUUUUGCGAUUCUGGUGAAUUUAUGGGUUUUUUCUUUUACUCAUUUCCCAGAUCUGGGUCGAGUGGCUUUUGUUUAUGAAUCUACAAUUUGCUACUUCGUCUUCUGGGUUAUGGGUGUUUUUUUUGGGUUUUAUGAGUUGGAUUUUAUUCCUUUUUUAGUUUAAUGAUUGUCUGCUUGUGGGUUUCUUUUUUUCCUUCUAAUGGUAAUUUUGAUGAAAUGUUCUUCAAAUUUGUGUUCUCUGUCCUAUUGAACUUACCAGCAUUGUGUUUGUUUCUACUGUUUUUAGUUCAGGAUCUACUUCUCUGCUUAGCUGAUUGCCAUGAGUGGUGGAGUAGCUGAUGAUGGGGCUUUAGAUUAUGCCAGGAUUCAGAUGAUACCUUCUGAGAACAGGUUUUCCUUUUUUUCCUCAUUUCUUUUAGACAGAAUGUAGAUGUGAUUCUGCUUCCAAAAUCAUGUUCUUAAUUAAUUGCUCUAUUCUAAGUCCCUGGCACCAUCCAUUUUUGAGGUAGGAUGGAGGAGAAAUAGAAAUGACUUUUUUAACACCGAAAUAGAAAUAAUUUAGGGAGAGUGAGACAUGGUGAACAGUAGUUGACUAGCUAAGAUGAGGAAUGAGUAUCAUAGAGUCUAUUAUUUGCUCAAUUUAGAAUUUACAAUUUAAGUGAAAAUUCAUGAUUAGGAAGCAAAUAGAACGAGUCUCAGAAUGUCACAACGUUCCUAUUUCCUACUCCCCAACCAACUAUAAAAAGGGUGCAUGGUUCCUCGAGAUUCUGUGCUUUUGAAGUCUAAUUCUUUAAGUAGAUUGCAUGGGAAACAGAACAUUCUACUUCUUUAAUAGCUCUUUAAGUUCCUAAUCAGAACAUUAUCUUUGGAUUAUAUAUUAUGGCUUCCACUUAGUUUGAUUUUAAAUUUGCAUCGGAUCCUUUCUAGAGGCUUUUCUCUAUCUUUAAGUACCCAGCACGGUUUUCAGGUUUUCUUAGAUUGCGAUCCAAAAGAUGUACAACCUAUCUUUUGGCUUCUGCUAAAGAAGUAGUGAAGAAUGAAGUACUUAUUGUUGUUAUGUUUAUGCUGCAAUUAAAAAAGCUUAACAGGGAAAAUCUUACAACAUUAAUAUUUCCUAGCACUUGGUUCUAUAGAAUUUCUUGUUUUCCCUUCUCCUUAAAGUCUCCUCUGCCUCUUGAUGCGAAUGAUGGUAUACAGGUAUGAGGCAUUUGUUUGCUAUGGCAAUGAGGUAGAUGGACUGGCUGAGGGGAAUCUGGACACGUUGUUGCUGCAUUUACCCGAACUACAAGAGCUCAAUAGCAAAGGAUCUAAGGCUAGCAUUAAACUCCAACCAUCAGCUUCUUCAGGCGGUACAACAUGGUUUACAAAAUCUACUUUAAGAAGGUUGUUCUGACUACACCAUUUCAAUUUUCUUUUCCUUCAGCUAAUUUUGCAUUUUUGUUUAGUACUUUUACUUGUCUACUCAGGUUCCUCCAAAUAGUUGGCUCACCAGAAUUACCGAAUAUUAUGAAAACAAUGAAUGAGAUGUCUCAACUAGAAGAAACCAAAAGAUUUCAUCUUUCUUUAUAUGGCCAGGUAGUAGUGCGUGCUAUCUUUUUAAAGUUGUUUCCCUGUUAUGUUUUCUUGCUGGUGAAAAUUAAUUUAUUUCCAUAUUCUUUCCAGGGUCAGAUGUCAAAGACCGAAGAAAAAGGUAAUUCUCAAAAUCCAUUUGGGUAACGCUUUGCUGAUGAAACUACUAUGAUCAUACUUUCAUGUGUCUCUUAAAUUUUUUUAUCUCCUGUUUUGACAGAUGGCUGCAACCUCGACUCCUCUAGUCCGAAACACGGGGUACUGAUUUUUCUUUGAUUCUUAGAAAUACUUAUUCACUAUUACUUUGUUUGUUUUAUGUCAUUAAUUAGUUGAGUUCCUCAUUGUGUAAAUUUCACUGUGCUGCCAGUCUGGACCUGAAUUUGCUUCAUCAGCUGCGUCAAAGUAGGUUAUUUGAGUUCUUAAUUAUCUUUUCUGUUUCUGUACAUAAUGUAGAAGGGGUUGCUCAAAUGUGAACAAUGUAAAAUGAAUUGACAGAAAUGACUUGUUGCGAGCUAUGGACUUGAGGCUUACAGCAUUAAAUAAGGACUUAACUGCAGCAUUUGAAAAGGCUCACGGUGCAGCUUGCAGUUCUAAAGAAAUCAGCCAUUUGGCAAAGUUUACUGAACAUUUUGGAGCUAUAAAUUUGAAGUAGGUUAUUACGAACUUUCAUUUUGGGGAUGUUAAAAGAUGUGUUAAGAAACUUCUUUUCAUUAUAUUUGCUUGUUCUCAUUACAGCAUCUUCACGUGACCUCUGCAGGAAUUGUACAUACAAAUAUUUGGAACUAAAUCCAAAGAGUGAUAACGUCGAGCUCGUUAAUGAUGAUAAUAAGUACACAAUUACUUCAAACAUAUGCAACGAAAAUGCUAUUAGUGGAAGUAUUAAAGCUGAAAAAUCAAAUUCAUCUACCCCAGUCAAAUAUGGUGUUUCACCUGCAAAAGUUGCCCAGAUUGAGCGACAGGAUUCAUCAGAAACCGAGUCUUCUGACUCUGAUAAUGAAAAUGGGACACCAGCAGAAAGAAGUAGAACAAUGGUACGCUCAACGGUUGCAAGAAGGUCAGCAUCACCCAUGAGAAGGGUUCAGAUUGGUAGAACGGGAUCCCGACGAGCACCAGCAAUAAUGAUUAGGAGUCUAAAUCAUCUGCAAACAAGAGACGGCAUGUUUUCCCAAGGAGAUGCAGCAGCUAAUAGUGAUGGUGAUGAGGAAGGAUCAGAACCUUCUGGUAAAACAGCUGAUAACAAUGUAGGUAGAAUAUCUGUUCAGGAUGCAAUCAGUCUUUUUGAAAGCAAACAGAAAAACGACGCUUCCGAUAUUCAGAAAAGAAGAUCAUUAGCUAAUAUAACCAUUGGUGCAAAUAAAUUUGUAUUGCGAAGGUGGAGUACAGGCAUGGGAGAGGCUUCUACAAAAUGCCACCCAGAGCUUGUUAGUGAUGAAUCAGAUCCAAUAAGUCAUGAUUUGGCUGAAGAGGUGCCAAAGAGUAAGUUAACAGAUGAAGAAGAAGUGGGAUCUGAUAAUAUAUCUUCAAUUGAUAAGACAUGUACUACUGCUGAAGUUGAAGAGAAAUUAGAAGAUUCAGCAGUAAAAACUUCUGAUCCACUAGAGACUCAAUCAGAUUCUCCCAUUAGCGAACCACAGGUAGCUGUCCAAAAGUUAUCUGCAAAUUCGGAAUGGACUAGAAGAAAGGAAGCAGAAUUGGACCAAAUGCUGAAAAAAGUGAUGGAAAGUAAGCAUAUGGCACAAAACAAUUCCCAAGCAAAUCGAAAGAAAGACGUCAAUUCUGAACAGAGGGGUGAACUGUAUGAUCAGUACAAGGCAAAAAGAGAUGAAAAACGUAGGGCAGAGGAAGCUAAAAGGAAUUCAAAUAAAGAGGCAAAAAUUAAGGGAACUCGACAAGUUGCAGAUGAUAGGAAAACCAAGAUAGCCUCUGCCGAAGUUAACGUAACAAAAAAACGUGCACCACGUAAGCCUGAAGUUCCAUCAGCAAAUUUGUCAAAAUCAGAAAAACCAAAGAAGGAAAUUUCCAAACCAUCCACGAUUGAGAAGAUUUCAUCUAGAACAAAACCAAUGGCUGCCACCCGCAAAUCCUGGCCAUCUUCUGCAUCAGAAAGAACCACUGGGAUUUCUCCAGCCACAGCAAAUGCAACACGUCAGAAAGCCCAACCGGUAUCCUCCUCUAAUCGAUUGAGUGCUAAAGUGGAAAAAUCUCCCAUGCAAAAGAAAAAUGUGAAGGAAAAUAAUGAUAGCUCAAGGGACUUGAGGAGUGUGAAGGAAAAGAAGGAGAUAGUGCAGGCAAAGACUGGAAAAGUAACAAAAACAAAAGUUACACUUACUGGGGAUUCCUCCGUUCCUGUGAAGUCGAGAAUCCGUGACAAGGUAGCCAAAAAAAGCAGCAUAGUACCACUAGAAUCAAAGUCCUUUCAUAAGGGUUCUAGAAAUAGCUUAGACAAUAGUAGUCAAGUGGUUAGCAAGACAAAACCUUCAAAACUUUCGAAGUCUGCAGAUUCUUCAAAUAAUAGCAAAAAGUUGACUCGUGAUCUGGAAGUUGAGGUUACAGUUCCUGAUCUUGCCAGUCAACCUGAUAAAGGGGAUGAUUUGGUGCCAGCUCAUUGCGAUUUCAAAACUGUUGUGAAUGAUCAACAGGAUAGUGAGAUACUGGCUGUAGAUGUAGUUGAUGCUGAUCAAGGUGAUGUUCCACUUCAACAAAAUGAAGAGAAAUCUUCUGUGGAAAUUACGGUUGAAGGAGAAUCAAUGAUCCCAUCUAAGUCCACAGAGGAAAUAGAAGAGUUUCAAGAGUUACCAGCCAAUAAUGAUGACAUGCCUCAACUUGCAUCGCUGGAAAACACUGCACCAAUUGAAAAUCCCCGUGUUCGUCUCUCUUUGUCCCAGAUGCUGCAGGAAGAAAAUAGUGAACCUGAUAGCAUUGAUUGGGGAAUUGCAGAAAAUCCUCCCAUGAUGAACUACCAAAGGGGUGCACCAAAAGGAUUUAAGCGACUCCUAAAGUUUGCAAGGAAAAGCAAGGGGGAAGCAAACCUAGCUGGUUGGUCAAGCCCUUCUGUAGUUUCCGAGGGGGAGGAUGAUUCUGAAGAAUCUAAACCUUUGAACACGAAAAAGGCAGACAAUCUAUUGAUGAAAGCUACUCAUAACUCUGGUCUUGUAAAGGCUUCACUGGACAAAAAUUUUGACCAUGAAAAGCUGUACUCAGGUUUGAUCUCCUUGUCAAUGUUGCAUUCUAUUUACUUUGGCCAUAAUUUUAUCUCUAAACUGCCUUCUCUUAUUAUGAUUUUGAUUCAAUAACACAAUAAUAAUAUAAAUGCAACGUUUAAAUUAUCAACAGAACCAAAAGCUUAAACAAUUAGCAUCAGAUAUAUCAAAUCUAAUAUAAAUAUUCUUGACCUUUUCAUUCACUUGUGAAGCUCAAUUCUUGAACUAUUUGAUAUGAAUUUGGAGAAAAUGACAAUGAAGGAGUUCAAACGAAAGACCUCUUAUUCUAAUCUAUUAGGACAUGUUUAAUUUCGUCUAUUUAUAUUCUUAACUUGUAUGUCAUACAUAUGUAGGUACAUAUGGUGCACAUAAUUUUAAUUCCAAGUUUCAAGAAAGCCAUGAUCAUGCUACAGUUUCGUCAAAUAAAGGUUAGAGACAUGAAUGAUUUACAUUUUCUACCAUCUCCGUUUACAUGUUUUCAUUUUUUGAUACACCUGAGGACACAAGAUUUUAACUCCUUUUUCUUUAUACUCAUGUGGCAGUUGGCAGGUCUUUCUUUUCCCUAUCUGCUUUUAGGGGCAGCAAAUAGAAAGACUGUGGCAAGAGGUGCAUUUAUUUUGGGUUAACAGUGUAUAUUAUUCAUAUCAUUCUCUGCUCCAUCUUCUUCAAGGUGAAUAUUGUGAAGGAAGCUACCCUCUCUUCAUACUACAGAAUUUGUAUUGUAUCUCAUUGAACAUAAAGAUCGACUAACAGUUAGUAUUCUUUUUCACUUUGCCGUGGGUGUAAAAUUCAAUAGCUUUGUUAAGCAUUUUGAUCUUCAAUUCUUGUUGACCAACUAAAUGUAUACUGAACACUGAAGCUGACUUCUAACAUCUCAGCCGUGCUUUUAUGUAUUAAGAUAGAUAGCUGAAAGCUUAUUGUUUAAAACAACACUACAAAUUGGAUUAUUAUUUUUUUUUCAAAAGUGUUACAAGAACUGUGAUUUCGGGUGAUUUGUAAAGAAAAAACCUUUUUUUUUUUUUGUAGGAUUUGUGAUUUGUAAAGAAGAUUUUUUUUUUCUUUCCCCCUCUUCAAAUGAAAUUUAUUUGGUCUUGAAUUAAAUCACGUUUUUAAAAAUGAAAACUACCAUAUCAAGCAUUAGUAUGGUCAAUAAGUGGGUGUUUGUUGAACUAUAAUAAAGUAUGAUUGUAAUAUAAUAUAAUCUAAAAUCCAUGUUUGGAUACCGUAUUUGCGUUCAAAUUGCAAUAUCGAACUUAUUUUGUUUAUGCAAAUUUUAGUUUAAUAUUGUUUAGAAUAGUUGUAAAUAUAACAAAUAAAUUUAAAAUAAUUAAGAAUAUAACAACAUUUUUAAAAAAUUGCAAAUAUAACAAAAUCUGUAAAAGUCUAUCAAUAAUAGAUUAUGUUGCAAAUAUUGGUCUAUCACUAAUAAAUCAUAAGAGUCUAGUGUAGACUUUGCAAUAUUUACAAUGUUUUUAAAAUGCUGUUAUAUACUUAAUUAUUAUUUCUAAAACUGUUAUCCAUUAUAAUUACUCAUCUAGUUUCUUUUUCAUCGUUUUCACGGUUCAAGAUCCUAUUUUUAUUUGGUUCUCAAUCGUUGUGCAUUCCAGCACUCCUCUUGUUACCAAUAAUCUAUUUUGGCUUUCCAAACAACCGAUAAGGAUCAAUGUAAAUAGUUAAAAGACUUAGAUAAAUAGAUUCAAGUUAGUGUUGUGUUUAUUUGAGUUUCUCAACAAAAUAUUGAAUAGUUACUGUAGUUAGUUGGGCACUCUUAGUCUUAUAUCUUGAAAAUAUAAGAAAAUUACGUGGUUUUGAGAGAAAUAUUGCAUAUUUUUUAUUAUUGAAUAUGACCCAAUAAUAGGUAAAAAUACUACCGAAGAAAUUCUAUCCAAGGUAACUUAUGGUUCCUUUGGAUUAGCUUUAACUACAAGUCUUGGUAAAAAUGAAUGAGUUUCUCUUGUACCUCUUUAAAAACAACAACGUAACACAAAAUAUACUGCUAAACAUAAAAGUAAAGUCAAAGAUGAAUAUGACGAGAGUUAUAACAAUUAAUAUUAUAGAAUAAAAAUUAUUAUAUGAAAUGAAAAACACAUACCUUUCUCAAAGAAGGAAAAACACAUCCAACGAGUAAAAAGAAUAAAAGUAACCUAAAUGGAGGAAAAAUUAAAAUGUUCGUAAAAACAUGGUUGAAGGAAAGUUUGAAAAGAAGAUAAAAUGUUACCAACUAAACUAAUGUGUUAGGAAAGAAGUAAGAAUUUGAAAAGAUAAUGAAGCAAAUUAAUUAUAAAAUAAUGUAAUUAAUAAAUUCCUUUUACAAAAGUCUACUUAGUUAUUUACUUUUAAUAUAAACAAUAUGUAAUGCUUAUUUGGCAAAGAAUAAUAGAAUUGAAGAGAAAAGGAUUAUUGUUGUAAAUUAAUGUGAAUUGAAUAAUAUUAUUUGAAAAGUGAGAAUUCAUAUAAUUGGUUUGUGUUUUUAUUAAGAAAUAGAAAAAGAGAAAAUAAUUGUACUAGAAAGGUUAAACUUAGGUAGCAAGUUUUGUUUGUGAUUUUCCCAUCUGGCGUCAAGUCAAGGCUUUUGGGAAAUGAAGUCUAUUAUUAAAGCUUUCAAGUUCUUCUCAUGCCCCACAAAAACAUUUUUAAGAAUAUUACUUUACUUGAAAUUAAUUAUUUUUACUUAUUCUUACUUUUCAGUACGCUUUAUCUUUAAUGUAAUCAUAUAAUAGAAACACACUAAAAUUUAAUUAGCAUCAAUAAGUAAAUUUGAAAAUCAAGGAAACAUAAAACCUAAAAUAAAGGGAACCCCAUGUUGAAAUUUUGUGCAUUAAAUAGCAAAAAUUUGACUUUUGAUCCACAGCCUUAUUUGGUGAAUUACUCCAUGAUGUUUUGAUUUUGAUUUAGACCAUAUUGGUAAAACAUAUUCUAAGUCCUUCUUUUAGCUCUCCCACAACGUCCCCUUAUUUAUGGAUGUUCAUUAUUUCAGUCAUAGUGUGCCAACUUCUUUCGGUCACUAGGUCUAUCCGUAGAAGAUAAAGUUUCAACCGAUCAUUUAAAGAAAACGAGUAGAUAUUGUUAUAGAUUAAAAUCAAAAAGAUUGAUGAAAUUGGAUUGGAAUCUAUAUUUUGUUGAUUGAUUUUUGUCAACAAAUUAAUCUAUAUUUAUAUGAGUGAGAUGAAAGGAAAUGAAGAAUUAAAGAAAAAGACAUUGGAGAUAUUUUAAAUUUAUUAAGGUAUGUUCAUAUAUUUGGGUUGGAUUUGGUUUGGGGAUGGAUUUUCAGACAAAGAUCAAACAAAUUAAAAAAUGGUUGAUUUUCUCCAAAUUCAAUCCAAUUCAUUGGGUAAGUUUGGUUUGAUUUGGUUUUACCCAUUUUGAAACCACAAGGACUAAAUAUGAUCCAUCAAAUUUGGUGACAGAAAUAUGUUUUUGUAUUAAAAAUGGUGAUUUCACAAGAAAAAACCAAGAAAAAUAGAGCAAGAUGAAAAGGUUAACCAAAGGGUGCUAUUUCUUUUUGACAAUUUGACUGGUUACACCUCACUUGAUCAGUCUCUACUUCACGAUCCCUCGUCUCCCUCUGUAUGGGCUCUCAAACGGUCAGACCAAAAGUUACGUUGGAAUUACUGGCGCUGAAGCGAUUUUCUUCUUUCAAAGCUCCAACAGUAUGUUCUGUUCAUCACUCCUUCUCCUUUUGCUUUCCUUUUCUUCUGGGUUUAUGGCCUUUUGAUGUUGCUUCAGUUUUUGACAUUCCAUUAAACCUCUUCUUGUAAUUACCAACUAACUGGGGACUGGGCUUGCUGCUCUUGCAGUUGACUCUUCGCAUUCCUCUGUUUUUACUCUGUUUUUACACUGUUUUUUGGUUUUGAUUGCUCUACUGGGUUCAUAUGGAAACUUCAAAAUCCUAAAGUUUUCAUUUCGGUUUAUCGAUUUGUGCCACUUGGAGGGGAUUUUUCAUGUUUUUUUUUUUUUUUAACUGUGGGUUUCUCUGUGUUUCUUCUGCUCAUAUCUUUUGUGCCUUUUAAUUGUCUUUUCUUCCCAAAUUCCCUUCAAGAUCCUCAGGUUUUUGUACCCAGUGGAGGACAUUUAUGUUUUUAUGUGUGUGCGUUGGACCUUUUUUCUUCUUCAUCAUUACAUCAUGCUAUUUUUCUCAUUUUCUUGGCGCUUUUGAAUUUCUUUUCUUGAAUUUUUUUUAGUUGGAGUUUGAUCUAGGCGAGCACUCAGGUUGGAAACUCGAGCAUUCACCUAUAUUCUGGGGCUGUCUGAUUGUGUGUCUCUUUCCAUUUUCAAAACAAAGGUUUCUUUGGUUUCUUUUCAUUGAGUGUUUCUUGUCGAGUAGGUUACUCUUCUUUUCUUCAUUUCAUUUAACUUAUCUGCAUCUGAAUUGUCACUGAUUCUAAUUCAAUCCAUGUAUUGGUAUUUGUUUCUCUUCGUAGGACAACAUUCACCCUUGGCAGUUUCAUUAACUAGACCUUAUUUUCUUCACAUUGUCAUGGAAUGCUCCAUUCAAAUUGGAACCCCAAUACGCAUAGGAGCAUAGAAGUUAGGCCUCUUAGAAAGUCGUGAAAGAUUUCUUUGGAAUCUCAUGGGGAAAACAAUUCACAUUAGUGGAUUUCCUUCACAUGUCACCGCAGAUGCUGUUAAGAAUUUUUUGGAGGGUCAUACAGGUCCAGGUACUGUGUAUGCCAUAAAGGUUAGACCACCUAAGAGAGGGGGAGGUAGACUAUAUGCUAUUGUUCAAUUCACUAGUGCUACACAAGCUGAGUUGAUCAUUUCUUUAGCUAAUCAACGUCUAUGGUACGGAUCUUCUUAUCUUAAGGCUCGGGCAACCGAGGUUGAUAUUGUACCAAAACCUAGGACAUACAUGUAUACCUUGGAAGAGUUGCUGCUAUGCUUUGGUUGUCAAGUCUCAACUGAAAAGUUUCGUGUUCUAUGGGAAGGAAAUGUUGAUUUGGUGACUUUUGGAAUUGGAAUGCGGAAAAUGAACUUUCAUUUGAAAUAUAAGUCUGUUGAGUAUAGGCUUGAGCUUUCAUAUGAGAUCAUUUGGCAGAUACAACUGCACUGUCCGCGAGAUCAGUCUAUGAAGUAUCUUCUGAUCCAGGUUCUAUGAUCAAAUGUCUAUCUAAAUUUGUUUCAUUUUAUUUUGAAAAGCAUAAUUAUCCUCUCUUGUAAAGUUGAAACAUUUUGCUAUACUUGUUUAAAUUGUUUCAACUAUUGUGUUAGUUGUUUGAACAUUAAAUCGAUGUAACCUUGUUGAAAAUGUUGCUAUUUGUCUUAAAUAGUAGAUAUGUUACUCACAUGUAAGCUUAAUAGUCAGGUUAUCUUUUUCAUGUUUUUCUUAUCAGUUAAGUGGAGCUCCUCGGAUAUAUAAAAAAGUUGCACCGAAUAGUGGACAAAUCUUCGACAAUCCACUUUUGAACUUUUUUAAGGAAGCAUCUGAUGAUCAAUGGGUUAGAACGACUGAUUUUACUUCAUCAUGCUCUAUUGGACAAUCUUCUUCUUUAUGUUUGAAGCUACCUAAUGGCCGUCAACUUCCACCUUUUAAACAAAAUUUUGCUUAUUAUGAAGAAUUUGAACAUGAAUUCCGCUUGAUAGAUGAAGAUGCCAAUUUUUCUUUUUGUAGAGAUCUUGCUCCCAUUGUUGAUUCUCGUUCUCAUGUUCUGCCGUAUAAAAUUUUGUUUAAAAUAAAUGCAUUAGUUCAAUAUGGUUGCAUUCCAUGGCCAUUACUUGAUGCUAGUUUCUACCGGUUGGUCGAAAGAAUAAUAACAACAAGAAUUGAAUUUGUUGAACAUGCCUUGGAAAAACUGUUCCAUUUAAAGGAAUGCAACUAUGAUCCAUCAAACUUUCUUACAGAGCAGUACAGAAAGUAUUCAAGACAUCCUCCAAAUUCUCCUGUUAUAUCCUUGGAUGAUGGUUUGGUAUAUGUUCGUAGGGUUCAAAUAACACCUUGUAAGGUGUUCUUCUGUGGUCCUGAAGUCAAUGUCUCAAAUCGGGUGUUGCGCCAUUUUUCUCAAUAUAUUGAUAAUUUUCUUCGUGUGUCUUUUGUUGAUGAGGAGUGGGAUAAAAUGCGUUCAACAGAUUUAUUGCCACGGAUGUCUUCAAAGAGUGAGGAUGGUAAAACUGAUAUCUACAGGAGAAUUCUCUCUGUUCUUAAAAAUGGCAUAGUCAUAGGUGAUAAAACCUUUCAGUUUCUUGCAUUCUCAUCAAGCCAAUUAAGAGAUAAUUCCUUGUGGAUGUUUGCUUCCGGACCUGAUAUUGACGCAGCUUAUAUUAGAGCGUGGAUGGGCGAUUUUCGACAUAUCAAGAAUCCCGCAAAGUAUGCUGCUAGAUUGGGCCAAUCAUUCGGCUCAUCGACAGAGGCACUUUCAGUUGCUAGUAAUGAAAGGGAAAUUAUUCCUGACAUAGAGGUUCAACAGGGAGAAAUCAAGUAUGUCUUUUCUGAUGGAAUUGGAAAAAUAUCAAGCAAAUUCGCCAAAGAGGUUGCUGCAAAAUGUGGUUUCCAAGCCGUCCCGUCUGCUUUUCAAAUUCGUUAUGGUGGAUAUAAGGGUGUUGUUGCUGUUGAUCCGUACUCAACUAUAAAAUUAUCUCUGAGGAAGAGUAUGUGCAAAUUUGAAUCAGACAACACAAAACUUGACGUCUUAGGCCAUAGCAAAUACCAACCAUGCUUCCUUAAUCGUCAACUGAUUACUCUCAUGUCUACUCUAGGUGUUAGAGACGAAAUUUUUGAGAAAAAACAAAGUGAAGCUGUAGAACAAUUGGAUGCCAUUUUAACAGAUCCAUUGAAGGCUCAAGAAGCUUUGGAGUUGAUGUCUCCCGGAGAGAAUACUAAUAUUCUCAAGGAAAUGCUCAAAUGUGGCUAUCAACCAGAUGUCGAGCCGUAUCUGUCAAUGAUGUUACAAACUUUCCGGGCAUCAAAGUUGCUAGAGUUACGCACCAAAUCAAGAAUCUUUAUCCCAAAUGGGAGAGCGAUGAUGGGAUGUCUUGAUGAGACCAGGACCUUGGAAUAUGGGCAGGUAUUUGUGCAAAUCUCCAGUGGUAGACAUCGAAAUUUAUCUGAAUCCUUCGCAUUCAAUAGAAUUGGUCGAGAACACCAUUUAGUUAUUGAAGGAAAUGUUACAGUUGCUAAAAAUCCCUGCCUGCACCCUGGUGAUGUUCGUGUAUUAAAGGCUGUAAAUAUACCUGGUUUGUACCAUAUGGUUGACUGUGUAGUUUUUCCUCAAAAAGGAUCAAGGUUGGUAGUACAUUGACCAAUGCUAGUUCUUUCUUGAUUUGGACAAUAAGUUAUGUUUUCAAAUUUAAAUGCAAGAAAGCCCCUUCACUUCAGAAUAGUAACAUGUCAACAUAUAUUUUCUAGAAUAGGUUCUGUGACUAAUAGCUUGCAUAAUUUUGGUUGGAAGAUUUUCCUCUUAAAUAGAUGUUACUAACCAGAUUUUGUACUUGUUUAUUUAGGCCUCAUCCGAAUGAAUGCUCAGGUAGUGAUUUAGAUGGUGAUAUUUACUUUGUCUGUUGGGACACCGAAUUGAUCCCGUCUCGACAAAUUCCACCUAUGGAUUAUACUCCUGCACCUCCAAAUGAGUUAGAUCGUGAUGUUACAACUGAGGUAUUUUGACAGUGGCAUGUUUUGAAAACUUGAUAACUCAUGCCACUUUUUCAGUGUUUAAUCUCCGUUUUAAUAUUUGACAUAACAGUGAACUUCAAUUUAUGUUUUUUUUCUUAAAAUAGAUUCACGUUGCGCAUUGCUUCUCAUUAGAAGAGAGACCAUUCAUGUUUGUAUGUGUUCUUAGUCCUAAUCUGAAACUACUGUUCUUUACCACAGGAUAUCCAAGAAUAUUUUGUGAACUACAUGGUUAAUGAUAGUCUUGGAAUCAUUGCCAAUGCUCAUACUGCCUUUGCAGAUAAAGAGCUCUUUAAAGCAAGGAGUAGUCCUUGUUUGGAGCUUGCAAAGCUAUUCUCCGUUGCUGUGGACUUCCCAAAAACUGGAGUACCAGCUAUAAUACCUUCUCAUUUAUAUGUCAAAGAGUUUCCUGACUUUAUGGAGAAGCCUGACCGACCCUCUUAUGAAUCAAACAAAGUAAUUGGAAAACUUUUUCGGGCUGUGAAAGACAUUGCACCAACUUUAAGCCAUAUUCGGUCAUUUACUCGAGAUGUAGCAAGAAGGUGUUACGACUGUGAUAUGGAAGUCGAAGGCUUUGAAGAUUAUGUUGAAGAUGCCUUCUAUCAUAAAAGCAAUUAUGAUUACAAGUUGGGGAAUUUGCUUGAUUAUUAUGGUAUCAAGUCUGAGGCAGAAGUACUUAGUGGGAGUAUCAUGAGGAUGUCCAAGUCUUUCACCAGGAGAAGAGAUGCAGAAGCAAUCAACUUGGCUGUAAGGUCUCUGAGAAAGGAGGCUAGGACAUGGUUCAAUGCAAGAGAAGGCGCAGAUUCGAAUUCAGAUGAUUUAUUUGCCAAAGCUUCAGCUUGGUACUAUGUUACAUACCAUCACUCUUAUUGGGGCUGCUAUAAUGAGGGAAUGAAACGCGACCAUUAUUUGAGCUUCCCCUGGUGUGUUUACGACAAACUGAUGCAAAUCAAGGAGAAUAAUUUGAGAAGAAGAGAGAGAGCUGCAAGACUGGCAAGUUUCGACAGAUUCGGACAUGUGUUAAAUCUUGGUGGGAGUUGAAGAAUGAUCAAUAUGGUUGGUUUGCUGUCAGAUUGAACUAAAUUUUUCUGUAGCUUUAAAUGAUUGAACUAAGAGAGGAAACUUGAAAUGGAAAUUGUCUUUUAACUCGUUGAAAACUUGUUAGUUUAUAAGGAAUGUUGUUUCUGUUUACCGUGUAAUAUCCACAUUCGCAUGUACAGAGUUCAUGAAAUCUCAAACCUUAGUCUCACUUUCUCUUAAACUAUAGCCCAUCCUCCUGCCAGCUUUUUAUGUGCGUACUCGUUGAUUUAUGAGAUCAUCUAGUGGGGAAUCUCCAUCUCGAUUCCUAUAAAAUUUAACAAAUUUUUUUUUGUCAAAAUGAAUAGUUAAACAAAAGCAAGGAUGAUGAAGCCUACUUUGUCUCCUACCCUGCUCUCUAAACAUCUCUAUGUAUCAAUGGUCAACACCAGGAUUAUCAGAUAUAUCAUAUGUUACAAGAGAAGCACUUCAACUAUUUAUUGUUUUUGUCAUACUCCUUCAAUACAAUGAUUAACUUCACACCGUGUGCGUUUGUUUGAGUGAUUUUGGUAAUGAAACAAUAUGAUAAUCAAUUUCUUCUCAAAUAUUGAUGUUUGUAAGUAUUGAAAUUCCCUCUUGAAAAACCUAAAAUCAUUUUAAAAGUUAUUUUUCAAUAGUUAGUUGAGAGGUGAUUUUUGAUGGAUUAUCACUCCAAAAAAUUUCCUUCACUUCAUUGAAAUAUUACCAAGUUGCCAUUUAUUUAUUAAAAUACCAAAUUUACCCUUUCUUUUAGUAAUUUGUUAAUUUUAAAACGACUCUAACAAGUUUUGAACUAAACAUCAAUAUGAUCUUCAAAAUUGGUUUGUAAUAAAAUAUUUAUUUUUGUUCUCAAAUCACUACUUUCAACAAACACAUUCAAUCUAGCAUGCAAAAGAGGACUUGAUUGGCCAUGAUAGGAGCAUAUUAAGCUUAUAUAAUAUAUCCCGUUGCCUCCAACAUUUUGUUGAUUGAGUUUUAUCAUAUGCCAUUCAGUCAAUUUGAUAUGUUAUUCAUCUUUAAUUGAUUUUGGGUUCCAAACAAUCCAAGCUACUUUAGAACUCAUACUUAUGAAGGAGCUAUAUCUUCAAGUUCUAGGUUGGUGUCAAUUCAAUUUUUAAACUAAAAGAAUCUUUAGUACGUCUCUAGUUUUUCAUUUAACAAUUUUGUUUAAUACUUGUUUCUCCUAAUAAACAACGACGAGUUUCAUUUUUUUCUUAUUUUUUUUUAACUUUUUAUUUAAAUUAAAAAAUUGAGUUUUAAAAAUAUUGGUAGAAAAUAAUAGAAACCUAUAAAAUGAUAGAACAGUUAUCGUAAGUGAUAAACUUUUAAAAGUAUUUACAAAAUAUAACAAAAUUUCAGAUUUUAUCAGUAUUGACAAACGACAAAUAAACUUACAAUUUAGUGUUUGAUAAAACUUUAACUUUUAAAUUUGUGUUUAAUAGACCCUAGGCCUAUUCAAUAUUUCCAUAAAUUUUUAUGGAUGGAAUAGAAAGAAAAAAUAAAAGUUAGCCCUAUUAGACAUAAAAUUCAAUAUUAUAUCUAAUAGAUUAGUUCAUUUUUCUAAAAUUUGAAUAUGUUUAGACCUAUUAAACAUAAUAAAAAGAAAAAUUGCAUUAAAUUAGAAAAUUAUUUAGAAAAAUUCGCUCGACACUUAUUUCUUUUUUUUUUUUUUUUUUACAUAUUGCGAAUACGACAAAAUUAAUGAUAUCAAACGGUAAUCAUAAGGGAUAUUAGAUGGUAAUCAUAAGGUUAUCGACUUAUAAAAUUGUUAUUUUUGCAAUUUAAAAAAUGUAGUGACAUGAACCUUUUAUCAUAAAUUUUUUUCUAUUUUUGCAAGAACUAGACUUAGUAAACAUUUUUAACCUACUCUAAAUAUUUUAAUAAAUAUAUAGGUUACCAAACACAAAACCUUCAAAAUUCCUAAAAGAAAAAUAGAAAAGAGAUUAUAGACCAUAAACAUUUGUUUUAAUUCUUUUUAAAGCAUUGAAUUAAAUACGAAUUUUAAGGUUGAUAAUAGAAACAUUAUAUUUUAACUUAUUUUUAAACAUAUAUACAAAAUUGUAAGCCGUAGUUGAAUAAACUUUUAUAGAUCCAUACUGAAUUCCUAUAAAAUUUAACCAAAAAAUUUGGGAGUGAAGAAUGAAAUAGAGAUAAAAUCAGUUUAAUUUCAAACAUUGGUGCAUCCAACUAUAAAGUGAAUGAAUCAAAAUAUUAUUAGCUAAUGGGUAGAUGAAUAAAGGGUAACUAGUGGAAGUUAACCAAAUCUGUGCCACUAUUUAUAUCAUCAAAGGUUGAUUGUUGUUCACAACUUAAUGCGUCACUGUACAUUCCUUGGAGAAACCAAAGGAAUGGAUUUCUCCAAUUCAUAACACUAAGGAGUGUCUUAACAUUGUUGAAAACAUGAACAAAAAUAAAAGAUUUGUUCUUCAACUUCAAAACUCAGAACAUGAUGGACCUAAUCGGGAUGGCGUCCUGUAUACUUUGUAGACGUUCUAUCAAUAGCGAGCUCUACAAUUAAUUUUGCGGUGCUUGAUACGGAUGAGUUUAUCAUAAACACACCAUGGAAAGCUAAGAAAAUGGCCAUGAUUCUUUCUGCCAUCAGACCACCCCCAGUAGGUGUGAUGAUAUGUAACAAAAUACCAUGCUGAAGCUCUUGCAUACACAUUAGUAUGAUGUCCAUAAUGUAAGUCUGCUUUCUCAUUGAACCAGCCCCUCGCCUCCUUUCGCAGCGACUUCACAGCCAAGAUAAUCGAUUCCGCUUCAUUUUUCAUGGUGAAAGAUAAUGAUGACGUCAAACUACCACCACUGAUCAAUUCCGCCUCAGUUUUGAUCUUAUGAUAGUGCAUCAAAUUUCCCAACCUCAUGUCAUAGUUGUUCUUGUGAUAUAUUGCAUCGUCGAGGUACUCCUCGAAACCUUCAACUUCCAUGUCAGGGUCAUAAUCUUGCCGAGCCAUCUCCGGCGUAUAGUUGAAGGACCUGAUAUUCUUAAUGUUUGGACCAAUGCUAUCCAACAUUCUAAAUAGUUUCCCCAGUACAUUCUCCGACUCGUAUGUCACUUUGUCGGCUUUAUCCAUGAAAUCCGGAUAUUCUUUUACUCUUAGAUUAGCAGGUAUUAAAGCAGGGACUCCAGUUUUCGGAAAGUCGACUGCAAUUGAGAAUAGUUUUGCGAGCUGUAUACAAGGAUUGCUCAUUGCUUUCUUUGGCUCUUUAUCUGCAAAAGCUGUAUGAGCAUUGGCAAUGAUUCCUAAACUGUCAUUGACCAUAUAAUUUGCAAAAUACUCCUGGACCUCCUGCAUUACAACAUUUACACUAUAGAACAACCUUUUUCCUCUAAAAUACUUGUUGAUGAUAACAACAGUUCAAAGUUCACUUGUAAACCAUACCUCCAUUGUGACAUCAUGAUCUAGUACUUGGCUAGGUACAGGGGUAUAAUCCAUUGGUUCAACUUGUUGAGGUGGAAUCAAAUCAGGGUCCCAACAGACGAAGUAAAUAUCACCAUCUAGAUCGCUUCCAGAGCAUUCAUUUGGAUGAGGUCUUACAUAGAAAGAGAAGUGUUAUGACAGAAACAAUCAACAUGCAAGAAUCAAACAAGACAAGUGCUAUGACAAAAACAAUCAGCAGGCAGAGAAGAAAACAACACAUAGUUUUACUUUAGUUCACUGAUGAUGUGUUGGCUAUCUAGAGGCAUGAAGAGAAACGGUUUUAUCAACUUGAGAAGGAAGAAAGUACGAAAUAUAGAGAAUAAAGGUAGGUAAGAUCAAUUAGAGUUAUGACACCCCUCAAGGCAAGUAAAAAAAAAGAAGUUUCUAAGAUAAGCAAAAUUACUAGUAAACAUGAUGACAUUAGAGAUGCUUAGCCACACAGUUAAGAAUUCAUUAAGUCGAGUAUAAACAUAUAUCUAAGACUGAAAAGGAGAAAUAUAUUUUAUUUUACUUGAACUGGACAUGUAAAUUUUGAUGUUAAAAUAGAUCAUUUACCUUGACCCUUUUUGUGGAAAAACCACACAAUCUAUCAUGUGAUGCAGUGAUGGUACAUCCACGGCUGUUAAAACGCGCACAUCACCUGGGUGCAAGCAGGGGUUUUUGGCCACUACAACUGUUCCAGUUACAAUGAAAUGCCGGUUCGAUUUUAUUCUCUUAAAGAUUACGCGAUCGUCAUGCAGCUGCUGAUGUGCAGAACACUGCACAAAUACCUCCCCAUAUUCCAAGUUUCUUGUUUCGUCGAGACAUCCCAUCAUUGCUCUUCCAUUUGGAAUGAAGAUCCUUGACUUCAUUCGCAAUUCCAUCAACUUUGAUUCUCUGAAUGUGUGCAACAUCAUUCUUAAGAAAGGUUCAGAAUCAGGUUUGUAACCGCACAACAUCAUUUCCUUAAGUAUCUUGGUAUUCUCUCCUGGAGACAUUAGCUCAAGAGCCUGCUGAGCCUUCAAUGGAUCACUAAAAAUGGUGUCCAAUUCAUCAAUCAACUCCUGUUGUUUACUCUCAAAAACAUGAUCCUGAACUCCAAGUGUAGACAAAAGAGUAAUCAACUGACGAUUUAGAAAGCAAGGAUGAUAUUUACUCCAUGAUAAAACAUCAAGCUUCGUGUCUGUUGAUUCAUACUUGAGCAUGCUGUUCCUUAGCGAUAAUUUUACUGAUGAGGUAGGAUCAACAGAAAUAACACCUUUAAAACCAGCAUAACGAAUCUGAAAAGCAGAUGGUGUAUGCCUGAUCCCACAUUUUUUAGCCACUUUUCUAGCAAAACUAGCUGCUAUUUUCCCAAUACCAUCAGAGAAGACAUAAUUGACACCACUACCUGAUUCAACUUCAAUAUCAGGAAUAACUUUAACUUCACGUCUACUGACACUUAAAGUUUCUGUUGAUGAACCAAAGGAUUGGCCUAGUCUAGCAGCAUACUUGGCUACAUUUCGUAUAUUAUGAAAAUCUCCCAUCCAUUGCCUUAUUUUAGCUGCAGUAAGUUCAUUUUUUGGAGCAAACAUCCAUGCAGCAUUUUCCCGUAAUUGACUAGAUGAAUAAGCUAGAAACUCAAACUUCUUAUCACCAAUAGUGAUGCCAUCUCUUAGAACUGAAAGAAUCCGUUUAAAAAUUUUUGUCUUUCCAUCCUCCAAAGAAGAAGAUGCACGUGGAGACAACUCAGUUGAAUACAUUUUACCCAAUUCCUCGUCAACAAAUGAAACACGCAAAAAGUUGUCAAUGUAGUCAGGAUACCGGCGUAAUACACGAUUUGAAAUGUUAACUUCUGGACCACAAAAGUAAACUUUACAAGGUGUCACUUGAACCCUGUGUACAUAGACUAACCCUUCAUUCAAGGUCAAAAUAGGUGGCUGGGGGGGAUUCUUUAAUUUGAAGUACUUUCUGUAUUCCUCAUCUAACCAUUUUGAAGGGUUAUAGCAACACUCUUUCAAGUGGAGAAGUUUCUUUAACGCAUGAUCUAUGACGGCAGUAUUGUAUAUCUGAGAAUCUACCAUCUGAUAGAAACUAAUAUCAAGAGCUGGGCCUGGAAGACAUCCUUGUUGUACCAACAAAUUUAUCUUAAACAAAAUUGUAUAUGGCAAGUUGAUGGUUCGAGGAGGUGUAACUACAGGUACCAAGUUUACAUUGGAGGAAUAAGUAGAACCACUGACCAAUGUAAAUUUACCCUUGAUUUCUUUGAAGUAAGCAAAUUUAUCAUGAAAAUUAGGGAGCUGGCGACCGUAGGGAAUCUCCAAGCAUAAAGCAGCAGAUUGUCCAAUACUACAUGAUGGAGUAAAAUCAGUUGCUCGAAACCAUUGGGUGUCAAUUUCCGUGGAAAAGUUUAAGAAAGGGUCUUCAGUAAUGAGUCCAAAAGACCUUGCAUCUCUUUCAUAAAUCCGUGGAGCACCAAAUAACUAACAGUACAAACAUGUCAUAGUUAGAAUAUAUACAACAUAAAAUGUGCAUGGGCCAAGAACCUAAGCUAUUCUCAAAUUCUUUGCCAUUGAACUUUGACUUGCUUAUUUCAACAUCAGUAUGAAGACAGCAUAAUUUGUUUUUAUGAAACAUAUGUUCACUUGCACGGAUUACCUGCGUUUAUAAGCUUAUCCUGAAGUAUAGAAAUAUAGAAAAGUUGCAAGCUUAGUUCUGUUUAUACUUAGCUUGUUAAAAUUCAUAUCUAGGGACAUGUUUUAGCUCUGUUCAAAGAAAACAUAUCCUGCCAGAUUACAAUUACUAAACAACAUUAACCUUAUAUGGCUCAAAAUCUCAUUAUAUCCAAAUCCUACCCAUAGUCUUGAAGUUAUCAAGUUGGAGAAAAAAUGUAUGAUAAAAUUAUCAACUAAGACACCUUUUUAAUAAAAUUAUAGCUUCUUUCACCCAUUUGAAGCACUGGAAUUUAUCUACAGCUAUCUUCCACUAUCCCUUUUACAAUCUUUUGAUAAAACCUUGAUCGUUUCUCAGUUCUUUUUUGCAUCGAAGUUAUCAAUAAAUUCACUUAAUUCCUUUGUCCCAUAAAGUGUUCAGUCUAUAUAUUUCUCUCAGGAACUUAGGUAUAAAUGAUGAUUUUAGUGGUUCACUAAAUUUUUAUUUUCAGUUAUCAUUUUAUAUCCGUCCACUGUUCUGUGAUGGAAAUCAGGCCUAUGAGCACGUACAUGAGUCAGUAGUUGAAUCCCCGUAAUUAGAGAACAAUACCAUGAAUAAAGUGAAAAAUUUAGGUGAAACUUGCUUGGGAUGAAUCAAUGAUAUUUCUCAAUAGUGAGGAGAAAAUACAACAGUACACUAAUGACAUGACAUUGUUCAAAGUUAAUGGAUGAACCUGAAUCAGAAGAUAAUCUACAGAUUGACCAUGUGGCUUGUGUAACUCAACCUGCCAAAUGUUCUCGUAGCGCAAUACGAGCAUGUAGUCAACACGAGGAUAGGAUAUGAAGAAAUAAAGCUUGCGCAGCUCAAACCCGAAAUCUACAGAAACAUUCGACUCUGUCCAUAACACGGAAAAACUUUCCUUUGAUAUCUGACAGCCAAGAUGUAGUCUUAGAGCUUUGAAGUUGUAAUCAAAGACAAGCGGAUCUGGUAGAAUAUCAUGUUUCAUCUCCCUUGCCUUCAGAUAAGAAGUACCAUAACAAAGGCGUUCAGUAGCCUUAGAUAUAAUUGACUUAGCACCUUCUUCAUCAGUAAACUGGAUGAUAGCAUACACUCGUCUUCCUCCUCCCUUCGAACGUUUCGUAUUUAUGGCAUCAAUAGUUCCUGUGCCUGUAAUUCCCUCUACAAACGUCUUAACUGAUUCUUGCAAUACACCAGAAGGGAAUCCAAAAAGCUGAAUUGUUUUACCCAUCCAAUCCAAGAAAAAUCAACUCCGAACUUCUUUCUGUCAUAUCAAACAAAUUGAUUACAAUGCAUAUGAUGAAGCCUAAAAAGAAAGCCAAGUUCAACUAGCAUAAUAUAUGUACCCUUGACCAAAAGAUCAACUGUUCAAAUACCUCACCCCAUAUAUUAUUCAACCCAAAAAACCAAGUCUCAAAAUAAAGAAGUGAGCAGAUAGAUUAAAAAGUGUUUCUUACAUUCCAUCGAGGAAAGAUUAAUAUUUAUUUAACCCUUUUUCCAUAAGUUUCUAUAUAUAACUUCAUUCCAAAUGCAAAAACAUUAUCAUCUUGAUCAAAUUGAAAAGGUAUGACACAUUCAAGAUAUAGAGGAUCUCACCGACAUUAAUAGAGAAAGCUAGAUCACAUUAUACUCAUUUGGUAAAGAGCAGAAUGCAUACUAAUGGUAACUCAUACAUGAUCAAGAAAAUGUGUGGGAACAUCAGAAUAACACGUUUUCAUAAUCAAACGGACACCCACAUAGUGAAAACUAAAAUUUGAAGACAAGAAACAACCCCAGAUCAUAAACAGCCCCAGAAGCAGUAAGAAUCUACAGAGAGAGCAGAAGAGGAUACGUUGCUAAAUACAAAGAAAAUACAGGGGAACAAAAAGAAAUGGGAAAAAACAUGAUAAAAAAUGAACCCAGAUGAAGAAACACAAAGAAAGAAGAAUAGCUUUACAAUAUAAAAAGAAAAACACAUCAAUAGUCCAUCUAUUCUCAACAAUGGAAGAAAAAGUUAGGUGAAUACCAAGCAGAUUGAUUCAUGAAAAGAGGAUGCAGAAGGCAGUAGAGAACAGUGUAGUGCAAAAUAGGAGAGUUGGGGAAUGGAGAAACGAAAAUGGAGGAAUGAAGAGAUAUAAUUCCAUAAUUGGGGGCCUUUAGCUUAAGAGUAAAGAAAGACUUUCAUUGACAGGUCUUUCUUUUUGAGCUUUCCAUGGCCAUAACACCAAAUAUUCUCUAUUGAAUGUAAUUUCUUUUUUUUUUUAAUUUUGGCUUCUAGUUUUCGAAAAGAAUAUAUUAAAUUAUUGAAUGAGCCGCCAAUGGAUAUGAAUUUUCUAUGUGGAUUGAUAUUUUUUUAAAAAAAAUUAUAGAAAACAUUUUCUUAUUAAAGGAAUCAAUAGAAAAUAUACCAUAUUGUUUAUAUUAUAUUAGAUUUACAUAUUAGUACAUUUUGUUGUUUCAUAUAUAUAUUUUUAAUCAUAUGAUACAAAGGUUGAUUCACAAUAAUCUACAUAAAUAUGGAAAUACCUACAAAAUUUAUUGAUACAUAUUUUGAAAUACUUACGUUGUUUCUCUCUCAAAUAUUUAAUUGUGACCGUGUUAAAUAAUAUUUUGAAGGUCUUCAUAGAGAGAAUACCAAUGACCGUAAACUUUGAGAUAUGCUUUAAAUAUUUCUAGACAUGUCCAAUUUUUCCAGUGAGACGGGUGCCCGAGACCUGCACUGAACCACGUGGAGAAUGGAGAGGGAGUGGAAGCAAAAAAAAAAAAUUAAAACUCACUGUGAGCUAAACCAAGAUGAAGACACUCCCUGUCCUGACCUUGCUCUAGUUAGUCUCUACUUAUUUAUUGAAAAGUUAUAGUAGGUAGCAUUUUGAGAACAUGUUAUCACAAAUAUAGCACAUUGAUUUAUAAUUUUGCAAAUAUGGCAAAAUUCUUAGGGUGCAUUUGGGGAGGGAAAGAUUAUGGCAAUCCUAGUGUUAUAAUAAUCUUGGUGUUAUGAUAAUAUGUGUUUAAGGUUUGGGUUAUUAUUGGUAGUGUUAUGGUAAUAUGUGUUAUUUGGGGGAAGGAAUAUGAAUGGUAGUGUUAUGAUUGUAUGUGUUUGGAGGAAGGAUUAUGAUAGUAUGUGUUUGGGAGAAGAAUUAUUGUUGUAGUAUUAUGAUAAUUAUAUCUGUUUGGGAGAACAGUUAUGAUUGUAGUGUUAUUAUAACAUGUGUUUAGGAAAAGGGUUACGAGUUUAGUAUUAUGAGAUAAGAUGAAGUAGGAAAAUUCAUAGAGUUAUGAGAAGAUGAAGUAGGAAAAUUCGUAGGGUUAUAAGAAGUAGGGAAAUUUGCAGGGUUAUUUAACCUUAAUCCCUAAUUUUGCAAACUCACCCCAAACCCACCCUUAUUUUUUAAAAUACUCUCUAUCUUAAAUUUGUUAUUAUUCUCAAACUACCUUUCAAUAAGUUUUUUCCUUUUCCUUUUUUAAUGCCCUAAUCAUCCCUUAUUUUUUCUCUCAAUUUUUAAGAUCACCAUAAUCUUUCUUUCUGUUACGGGAAAACAAUUUGUUCUUUCAAUAACACACAUAUUUUUCUCCCUCCCUAAUCAUCAUUUCUUAUAUGAGAAAAACAAUUUGUUCUUCCUACCUUAAUCUUGACUUUAAUUAGGAUAUGAAUGACAUGUUAUUUCUAAUAUGAAAUAUAAUAGUUAUUGAUCUGAAUAGUUUAACUUUAUUUGUGAUUUUUCUCUACUUUCUUCGAUGUGUAUUCUAAGUUAAAUAUGAUUUCAAAUUAUUUUAUUUUAUUUUUUUAGUUGGUUUUGUUUUUAUUUUACUUUGUAUUAAUUUUGUAUAUUAGUGUUGUGAUGUAAUUAUAUUAUAUCUAUUAGUUGGUUGAUAUACUUAUUACGCGAUUUUCAUUUUUUAAAAUUUUAUGCAGUUUAUUGUAGCAUUAUUAAGUAUAUGAAUGAUAUAACUCAUAUAUGAUUACAAAGUAUAUGAACAAUAUAUUAAAGUAUAUUAACAUAUUAAUAAAGUGAAUCAUUAUCAUGUAUAUAAAUUGAGUUUACAAGUGUAUAUUAAUAGUGUAUCAAGUGUAUAAGUAGGACUUCAAGCAUAUCAGAUGUAUUUAAUUAAUUGAAUGUAUUGGUGAAGAAUACUAAGUGUAUCUACAGUACAUCAGGUGUAUCAAACAUAUCACGUGUAUCAUGCAUAUCAAAUUUGUUGAGUGUACUGAUGAAACAUAACAAGUUUAUUAGUAGUGCAUCAAGUGUAUAAAACUUACAAGUGAAGCAUUUAAGUGUAUCAAGGUCGAAAUGGUGUCAUGUGUAUCAAGAAGAAUCAAGUAUAACAAAGAGUACUAGGUGUAUCAAGGUCUUUUAGGUGUAUGAAAGAGUAUUAAGUGUAUCAAAGAGUAUCAUGGUUCAUCAAGUGUAUCAAAGUCAAAAAGUUAUUAAGAAGUAUCAAAUGUAUAUCAAGUGUAUCAAGGAGUAUAAUUAGGUGUAUCAAGGGAUGUUAGGUGUAGUAGGUGUAUCAAAUAUGUAUCAGUAACGAAAACAUUUGUGACAUUUUACAUCUUGUAUCUGUGGAGUGGACUUUGUUUUUUUUUUUUUUUUUCAUUUUUGCAAACAAUAAAUGUGUGUGUUAUAGACUUAAUUAUAAUAAAUUGUUUUUCCUUUUUUGCAAGUGCUCCUAGUUAUUUAACGUUACAUUGUUAUUAUUAUAUAAAUAUUACAUUUAGAUUUUGACAUUUCAUUGUUUUUUUAUUUGUCAAGUUAAUGAAUAUAUCUAAAUUUAAUAUUUAAAUUUCGAUUAUACAGGUGAAUAAUUUGAUUUGUGAUUAUUUCUUUCUACUAAAAAUUUAUUAUUUUUUAGACUAAAAUUUGAGUAAUUUAGGUUUAAGUUCAAACUGUCAUCUAAAACUAACAUAAUAUACAAUUUAGUGAUAAGAUUUAAUAAUUUAAUUAAAAAAAUUCAUAGUAAUGAUUUAAAUUAAUUGAUUUUUUUAAAAAAAUAAUAACGAGAAAAAGUUCCUUAUGGGAAACCUAAUCUCUGUAAAUUCCCCACAGGGAAUCCUCCCCUUAUUCUCGUGGAGAAUUUCAUGGGAAUGCGAGUAAAAUGAGAGGUAGGAAUGGAAACGAGGAAUGACAUCUCGAGCCUGCCUUAUGGACAUCUCUCUCAUGCCUCUCGUUUUGAAAAGAUUAAUUUUUAUCUUUGAACUCUUUAGUUGCUAGAAUAAUACUUUUAUAGUGUUGUUUAUUAGAUUAAAAUAUGUGUUGAAUAUGAAAUUUUAGACUAAUCACAAAUUUUCAGACUAAUUAAUUAAAAGUUGACAUGUGUUCCAAAUUGAAUUUGAAGACAUAAAUUGGCAUGACAUCACAUGUUUUCAUCAUGACAUUUUGAUCAAGUUAACUAUUUUGGUCCAGACUAAAUUUCAAUUGAGCCUAAAAAUAAGCUUAAGUUAGCCCAAAUGAUAAAUAUGACUCAAAUUCAUGUUGUUAAGCCCAUGAGCCAAACAUGUCCAAGCUCAUAAAAUCCACCCGAUAACUCUAUAAAUAGAGGAGUUCUCAACAUUUGUGGAGGGCAGAAUUUUUUUACACUAGAAGAUCUAGAGAUAAUUCUCUAACUCCCUAACUCCUAAAGUCGAUCACUCUCGAAUGUUGAAAUUUCUUUGAAAAUACAACCUUUCUUUCAAGACUCCAAUUUAAAAAAAAACAUCAUAUGCUCAACUUCCUCAAAUCAAGAAUAGACAUUCAAAUCGAGAGAGAAUCAGAAGGCCAAAUACUAGAGAUCAAACGACAUCACAUUGAAUCAACACAAACAUAACAUCAACACAAGUUCAACUACGAAUUAAAUUUCUUCAAAAAUUCAUGUGAACAAUAUAAUUUAAAUUGAAAUGGUUGUUUAUAAGCUUAAUUCUAAAAAAGUCAAAUGGUUGUUUAUAAGCUUAUGUUGUAUUUUUCCUCUCCUAUUUUAAUUAUGCUAAUUGAAGAAGAAAUUAGAUGAUUUUAUGAAUUAAUUAGGCUAAUUGUAAUGUAUGAAUAACUAAUAGCUUAAAAAAACCAAAAUUCUUUCCAACUUUUAAUAGCUCAAGAAAAACGAAAAGUCUUUUCAACUUUUAAAAUGCAAAUAAUGAAUAAUUUAUUUACCUUAUUAACUAAUUGUAACUAAUGAACAAUAUUAUAGCUAAGGAAAUCAAAAAGUCCAUCUUCUAAUUGAAAAGAAUUAAUAAUACAUUUAAUUAUUAAUUCAUAUACAAAAUACAAUGAGUGAACCUUUUAGAAAUUCUUAAAUAUGAAUGGCUAUAAAACCCCCUUUUCUAUAUGGAGUUUGCACAUAAUUUGGACAACCAUCCAAAUAAGAAGGAUUCCUUGUGUUAAAAAGCUGGUAAUCCGACCAACCCGACUUAUCAAACUCACUUCUAAAAGAAAAUCUCAGUUUCAUUGCAUAUUUCUAGUCCUAGAUUGUUUAUUGGGGCAUUUUUAAAAAUAGCAAAAUAAGUUAAAAUAUUUACAAGCUAUAGCAAAAUUUUGGAUUCUAUAAAUGAUAGUCUUCUAUCACUAUAGCAUAUAUAUCAAUAUCUAUUUGUGAUAAAAUUUACUAUGGGUUUUAAAUAUUUUGUAAAAUGUGUUAUUUUUGUAAAUUUCCCUUGUUUAUUUCCUUUCUAUUCUUUUUCUUUAUUUUUUUUAUGCUUUUCUAUAUGAAUUAUCUCAUCGACAUCUUUAAAAAUAUCUAUAUAUGUAAGUAUAUAAGAAGAAAGCUUUGGGUUUGCCACGUUCUCUUAAUUUGUGUUUUUUUUAUUGAUUCAUCAACUCUCUUCUCUACAAGUUUCUAGAAUUUAGUAUGGUAAACCAAUAUAGUAUAAAAUGCUUGCAAAGUACAAUUGUCUAGCAAUCAUUAUAGCAUUCUAUUUUAAGAACUAUUUAUGAGUUUAAUCUUAAACAACAAUGAGAGAAAAAUUAAUCAACUGAGAAUGAAAAAAAAAUGUUAUAAGGAAAAAAUCAAGCUAGGAAAUAAAAUAAAAAUGAAACACAAAUGUCACGUGUUAAGAACCAAUAUAUAUGUUGUUAGACACGUGACCUAUACUAAAUUGUACAUAAUAAAUAUAUAUUGUUAUAUUUUGCGGGAAUAUUAAAAAAUUAGUAUAAUUGUAAAUAAUAUGUGGUAUAUAUUUAAUAAAUCACGUCAGAAAACUAUUAUACCUUACGAGUAUAUAGUUAAUUUAUAAUAAAUAUAAAUCGAUGAUAUAUUGUCACUGUAUAUUAUAGUUUACUACUGUUAUUGGAUGACAUACUGUAAAAUAUGUGUAUUAUAUAUGUGUUUUUGUAAUUAAUGGAAUGAAGAAUACUGAAAAUAAUUGAUAAAGAAUACUAACCGGAAGUUUAGUGAGAACAAAAGAAAAAAAUAAAACUCCGACCAUAUAUGAAAAGAUGAACAACGAUAUUGAAGGCAACGAAUUCUACGAAAAAAAAUAAGGUUAAUGUGAAGGAUGAAGAAAACUAGAAAUUUGUGGAUGAAAGGUUGGUUAACGGUAUGGAGAUGAAGGGUUUAUCGGUGACGAUUGAAAAUGGAUGGAGUUUGGUGAUGGAGAUAAAAUAAUUUUCACGGUUAUAAUAAAUUAAUUUCCAUAAUCAUCCAUAUUAGAUUAUAUUUGGUACUAUACUUCAUUAAAAAUUAUUCUCAAAAUAUUACCGUAACAAUAACACACAUUUAUAUACGGAACUAAUUAAUAUCAUAAUAAAUUGAACGUAUUUUUAAUAAGGAAAUAAUUUAAAAUCUAUUACGAAUAUAAUAUAUAAUUAAUAUGAGUUAUAAAGUUAGUAUUGUCCAAAAAUUAUACGAACUCAUAAUUAAAAAAGUAAUUUAUACUUUAGGACAUUUGUAAAAUUUUUUAGUCAAUUUAGGCUUUUUGUCUAAAUCUUUCAAAUAAAAAAGUGUCUUAUUGACUUACUGUUAGAAAAUGGACCGAAACCUUUAAUACCAAAACUUAAAAAUACUCCUAAUCACUUUACAACUCAUUUAAUAAUCUUAACCUUUAAAAAUUCUUUAGAAAAAAAAGAAGAAAUUGUGUUAGAGACAACCAUCGUGAACAAGCAAUCGAGUCGGCAUCCUUUACCUUGUUGAAGCUGAAUGGUCAGGGUAAUGAAAAUUUGUAGGUAUAUAUGAGAAAUGUAAUAUGGUAAAGAAAGGUUGUUAUUUCUCCUCCUAUUAAACUCUGCCAUUUGUACUAUCCGAUAAUUAUUCUUUAUUUAUUUUUACCUCUAAAUUGGAAUUUAUUUUUUUAUAAUUGUAAUGAAGGACCAUUUGAGAAAUAAUAAUUAAGGAUAUAUCAACAUUUAAAAAAAUUGCAAAUAUAGCAAAACUCUUGUAUCACUGAUAGACUCGUAUGAUCUAUCGGUGAUAAAUCAUUUUUUACAACAUGGUCUAUCAGUGAUAGAAUUUUACAAAUUUUGUUAUAUUUAUAAUUUUUUUAAAAUGUUGCUAUAUACUUAAUUAUUUUAAAUUUAAUUGCUAAAUUUGUAACGAUUCUUUUAUUUUUUAUAAGGAGAGCUAAUGACUCAAUCAAUCCAAAGUUAGAAAACCAUUGGAAAAUUAAUAUUCUAAAUUGUCUUUUAUGUGAAAAGCUUCUCGAGAACAAAAUACUAUUUUGUAAUUUAAGUCGGGUGUUUAUUUGGUUAUUAAGAUUUUAAAAUAGACACUCUUAAACUUCAAGUUUGAGAAAGGUUUUUAAUAGGUGAACCAAAAAUGGAUUAACGAAAAAAUUACUUAAGAGGUAACAACUUCUAUUACUUUUUAAAUUAAAUUAAGUUUACGUAGUAUUUUCCAAUUAAAUUUAGAGAAAUGUGGAGAAAUUGUCAAAUAUUUAUACUUAAUACCUCGAAAAAUCAAGUUUAGUUUGAUUGAGUGGAAAUAUUUUUUAAAUUUUUGAAAGAACCCUAUUAAUUUAUUACUUUUCUUUUCUCUUCAUCUCUCCCCUUCUUCCCCUUACUUCUAAUAUAUAUUUUUUCUUGUCUUCUCUGUUGAUAAUUAAUUUGAAAGUACCAUCAAAUCCAAAACUCCAAUAUCCCUCAACACCUCCAUCGCGAACCAUGACCCAACCUCCAUGCCUAACUUUAUAUUCUUUUGUUUCUGCAUCUUAAAUUCAUUUCCCUUUACUUGAUUUCAAUAUGGUAAAAGAAAGAGGUCUUUUCUUUUCUCAAAAUUACCAAAUACACCACUUAUCUUCGCUUGGGUGGCUUCCCUUUUAGAUGUAUCUUCACCCAUUUAAUAACCGGUUGUUUCAAAGUACUAUCAAUGGAGAAGACAAGAAUUAGAAAUAGAUGGUAGAAAACGAAGGGGAAGGAGAAGGAGAGAAAGAGAGGAGGAGAAAAAGUAGCAAAUUAAUUUUAAAAAUGCUCCACAAACUUAUUUUGAUAUAAAAUUAAUAAAAGUUGCAAUAAUAUAAGGGACCAUUUAAUUCGACAAAUCAACAUGGUGCAUUUUAAAAUAUCAUGUAUCAAAUAGACGCUUAACUUUCGCCCUUUUAAAGAUAUUGCUAAAUAUACUAAUACUUUGAAUCUAUUGUUAUAUUUGUAGCUAUCUUUUUCGAUAAAUGAACUUUUAUAUGCGGGGUCAGUUUUCUUUCACAUCUUCAAAUCAAUAUUUGAAUUUCCUUUGGAUAUAAGAUAAUUCUACAUUGUAAUCUUUUCGUGGUCAUCUAAGUUUACAAAAGAAAGUGGAGAUUUAAAGUGCUUACUUUAAAAAAGUUUGUCAGUAAAACAAUUACUUAAGUUGGGAGUAGCUUUGCUUGAAAAAAUGCAAUCACUUAACUUUGGGCUAUCUUUGCUUGGAAAAAUGUUAUACCUUGCUUGUAUGUGACAUAAUUGGGAAUCUUUGGAAGUAAUUUUUUAAAAAUAUUGUUUAAUGCUUGCUACUCACAAUAUAAUAUAUAUUAUUUGGAGUAGCUUUUUCCUACUAUAAUUAAAAUUGAACCAAUAAAAAAGAAAUACCAUUGAAUCCUAACUUUUAUAAAUUUGUUUAUGUUUUAUAUUAGGAUUUUUUUUAAAAAUAAUGUAAAAUUUGAAACAUAUUUCAAAAAUAGGGUAGAUGCAAAACUAUUUUCAAAAAUAGGUGUUUUGAGGUGAAGUCGUGGACGGGGUACACGACUUCCAUGCAGUGGACCCCACAUACUCUAUUUUUUCCUUAUUUUUAUAUUUAUACUACACUGGGCCCCACAUUUUUUAAUUUUCUCAUUAUUUAUAUACGUGGGUCCCACACACUUCACUUUUCUCAUUAUUUAUAUAUACAUACUCACAUAUAAAUAUAAUAUAUAUAUUAUACAUUCAAAUUCUAAAAAUAUCUUUCUUUAUUAAAUUAAUUUAUUUUUUUAUUUUUUUCUUUAUAUAUAUUUAAAUAUCACAAUCUUCAAUCUUCAAUUUUUCUUAUUAAAUUCAUUUUUCUAAUUUAAUUUAAUUCUUUCUUAAUCAAAAUUAUACAUAUAUUUUUUUCCAAUUUUCAAUUUUUUUUAAAAAAAAUCUCAUAUAUUAACAAAACAUGUUAUUAAAAAUAUAUUAAACAAAUUAAAAGAGUAAUAAUAAUAAUUAAUUUUAUAUAUAUAUAUAUAUAUAUUUAUUUAAUAUCUCAAUCUUUAAAUUUUCUUAUUAAUUCAUCUUUUCUAAUUUAAUUUAAUUAUUUCUUAACCAAAAUUAUAUAUAUAUUUUUCUAAUUUUCUGUUCAAAAAAACACAUAUAUUAACCAAAUAUGUUAUUAAAAAAUACAUUAAAUAAAUAAAAAUAAUAAUAGUAAUUGAAGGAAGUUGAAACGUACUCUAAAAAUAAUAAUAACAAUAAAUUUGUAAUUCAAAAUUAUCCAUUAAGUUUUUAAAUUUAAUUUGUAAUCGAACCAAUUCUUGUUUUUUUCCUUUUACCAUAAACAUGAAUUUUUUUUAUUCAAUUAUCAAUGUGUGUGGCUUCAAGUGUUAUUAUUAUUAUUUUUUUUAGUAAUUUUAACUUAUCUAAAUUAUUAUUAUUACUCUUUUAAUUUUUUAAAUAUAUUUUUAAUAACAUGUUUUGUUAAUAUAUGAGAUUUUUUUAAAAGAAAUUGAAAAUUGGAAAAAAAUAUAUGUAUAAUUUUGAUUAAGAAAGAAUUAAAUUAAAUUAGAAAAAUGAAUUUAAUAAGAAAAAUUGAAGAUUGAAGAUUGUGAUAUUUAAAUAUAUAUAAAGAAAAAAUAAAAAAAAUAAAUUAAUUUAAUAAAGAAAGAUAUUUUUAGAAUUUGAAUGUAUAAUAUAUAUAUAUUAUAUUAUAUGUGAGUAUGUAUAUAUAAAUAAUGAGAAAAAAUGAAGUGUGUGGGACCCACGUAUAUAAAUAAUGAGAAAAUUAAAAAAUGUGGGGCCCAGUGUAGUAUAAAUAUAAAAAUAAGGAAAAAAUAGAGUAUGUGGGGUCCACUGCAUGGAAGUCGUGUACCCCGUCCACGACUUCACCUCAAAACACCUAUUUUUGAAAAUAGUUUUGCAUCUACCCUAUUUUUGAAAUAUGUUUCAAAUUUUACAUUAUUUUUAAAAAAAAUCCUUUAUAUUAAGAAUGGUUUUAUACAUAAACCGUUUUUUAUAUGAAAUUUUUUUUUUUGUGGACCAUUUUCAAACAUAUUAUUUAUUUAUAAUUAUAACUCAAUACUAUUUUGUUAUAUUUAAAAAUAUAUAUGUCCAUUUCUUUCUCUAGAAAAGACAUAAAAAAAAGUUAAAUACUUUUUUGGUUUUUAUACCUUCAAAUUUGUUUAAUUCUAAUAUUUAUAGUUUUGAAGGUUUAAUUUUAGAAAAUCUUAAAUUUAGUUAGUUUGAGUUAAUUUUAUUUAAAUUGAUUAAAUAAUCACCCUAAUUUACAUGCAUAAGAAAAGAAAACACAAGCUGUGAACAUAUUUUUAAAAUUUUACAGUGAAGAUGCUAAUGAAAAAAAAAAACUAAAAGAUCUACCAUGAACUAGUAGGUGGACUAAAUUCAAGAUUUAAUAAAAGUCUACUAAAAUUCAACCUUUGAAAGUAAACAUAAUAUCAAAAUUCAAACAAACUCUUUAGAAGAAAAAAACCGCAAGAACAAGCUAGUUAGAUUCGCAAAAUUUUAGCUUUAAAAAAAGUGAAAAAUAAAAAGAUUCUCUAUAUUUGAAAUUUUUUAAAAUUAAUUUUGGCAUACAAUACAAAAACCACAAUUGGCGGAGUUCAUACUCGGAGGGAAGUUUCUUGUGAAAGGGGUUUCUUCAACCUCCUCGGAUUCUUUUGACUUUGAGGUAUUCACUAUCACUCCAUUUUAUCUGUUUUCUUUUAGUAUUACUUAUCGUACUCCAAAAUCAUCCUCUUUUUCACUGUUAUUCUGCUGCCAUGAUCUACAUUCAAUUUCAAACUCAUUCAUGUCUAAAUCUGACUGAAUAUGACAUGUUGUUCGCUUUGUAUUGAUGUUUUCUUGUUACCUAUUCUGAUUUGUGUACAUUGAAUGCCACUAUAAGUUUUUAUGUUUUUAUUUUGCGCAGAGCUAAGAAAAGGAACAUCAAUUCAUUUGGAAAGGAAGAAUGGCGUUACGUUUUGGUUGUAUGUAUUAUGAAAUUGGGUCUCAAACGUGGAGGCAUAAUCGAGGAGAUGAAUGGGCAGAUUUAAGCUUUGUUAGUUCUUGUUGUGAAAAUACAGUCUACUAUACAGUUAGGAAUGAGAGCUCCAAACAGCUCGAGAGUUUGGGCAUCAAAACAGGAAACAAAAAUCUAUUUGUUUCUCAAGGCAUAGUCUGUAUGCGAUGAGGAUAUGGAAGAAUUAAUAGAGUUUAGAAGUCACAUCCUUGAUUCCUUUUAGAUGUAAUAUGAACUUUUGAAAAACCCAUUUCACCUAACUCCUAAUUUCCAUAAGUGGCUAUACUGUCAUAUUUCUUUUAAGCAAAUUCUUCUAGUAGGUCUAGGAAGGCAAGAAUGAAAAACAAGAGAUUUGCUUUAUUUAUUGGGAAUUGGGAGACACAUACAGAAUAGUCUUGACGCUUCCAUUUCAAUUCAAGCAUAUAGGGAGGGGCACUAGCUAGUGUUGCUCCAAUCUGCAAGACAAAGCAAAAUAUAUGAAAACCCCUUCGUAUAGUAUUCAAAUCGGUAUUGCUUGACGGAAGGUGAUUACAACAAAUACUGGUGAUUGUUUAAUGAGAUCAAGAGACUUUGAUUGUUUGUUUGGCUAUAGAAGUGUUGGCUUUCCUUAGAAUUUACUCAUAAAUGUGAUUACAAAUUCAUAUAAAAUGAGAAGGGUAUGUGCCUGCUGCUUCACAAGCUCAUCUCCCAACAUCAAACGUCAGAAUCCCAACAGUGACAAGCCUUCUCAGGUGCCACUCUGCCUUCCCAGCAACCAAUUCUAUUUCUCUUUGACUAGUUGUUAUUUAUGUUUCCUUAUCUGACAAAAUUGGUUUUGCAUUUGGAUUUUCAUAGAGCUCUGUUGUGACCAUGAGAACCACUCAACAAAAUAAUGCCACUCAACUUCCAAAGGUACUAAUUUGUUUGAUCAUUUUUACAAUUUUUAAAAAUCAAAAUAGACACUUCUUUUAAUAAUUUAAAUUAAAUAUAAGUUACUAAAUCUGAUUUUAAAAAUGAUUUUAUAUGCUCCUAUAAUAUAUUACUAUUUAAUCCUUAAUAUCUUUUCGAUCAUGUAAUAUAAUUUUAAUUUAACUAAUUAAUUUAAUAACUAAAAACCAUACAUUUUUAAAGGGAAAUUUUAAUGAUAGAGAAAAAUUGAAACUAUAUUUACCCCAUAUAACGAGAAAAAAAAAACUAAUUAAAAUGUACUAGAUAUUUGCUAAAUAGUUCAAUAUUUUGUUAUAUUUGAAAAUAUUAAUUUUGUGGAGAUUUUUUUGAAGUUAUAAAUGUUAGUUAAAUAAAUAUAUUUAUUAUUUAACUUUUAGGUAAAAAUUAAUACUUUUAUAAGAAUAUGUUCUUUUGUUUGACAACUAUAUUACAUGUGAAAUAUUUUUUAUUUUUUAUUAUAAUGAGAAAUUAUAUUUUCAUUUACAAUAAAUCGUGUAUAUGAUAAAAAUCACAAACUUAUUUUUAUUUUCAAUAUUAAUGUAAAUAUAAAAAUAUGAUAUUAAAAACCGUAGUUAUUAUCAACAAAAAAUAUGAUAAAUUUAAAAAAUUUGGCGGUAUUUUUAGGUUGGUCAGUUUUUUUUUAUAUAUAAUUUACCUUAUCUAUCAAGUCUUUAGUUGGUUUACUAAUUAUCUUCCUAUGCUCCUAGUUUUACAAUUUUCUUAAAAUACAUAAAGCUCUCAAAGUUUUCUAAAAAUGAAUAUAAUAAAAAUAUUUGGAGCUAGUGAAAUUAAAAACAAAGUUAUAAAAUAUUUUGACAUACCAAAAUUUUCAUAUGGUGUAAUUAAAUAUAAUUGGAUAAAAAUAAAUUAGAUUAAUUUUUAUAAAUAUAACGAAACACUAAAAUAUUUGUUGUCCGUAUAACAAAAUAUAAAAGCUCAUGAUAUUUUCAUAAAUUUCAUGUUUGUCCUUAAAUAAUGCAAACGAUUUUUCACUUCUUCUUGUUUGUGAUUUAUUCAUCUCCUCCUAGUAUUAUUAUUUCUUUUUCAAUUUACAAUAUUAUGAUUGUUGAUGCAAAUAUUUACUAUUUUCUUCAUUUUUUCUUCCAUAAUUUCUUCCUUCUUCAUUUUUCAUUUUCUUUUUUUUUUUUUCUUGGUAGAAGAUUUAAAUGGUAUUGGUACAAGAUCUAAACGAAUGUGUACCAAUAUGUAAAUGAUCCAUUGUCUAUCCCAUAAACAUAGAGAAAGAUUGUUUAAACCAUCAUACGAGAUCGUUUAAGUUAGAUACAAGAUCGUUUAGACUACGAAUAAGGGUACAAGAUCGUUUAAACUUGCUACGAGAUCGUUUAGACUAGGUACGAGAUCGUUUAGACGGGGUACAAAAUCAUUUUUUCAUGCGAGUGUGAUCGAUUAAUUGCGGGGUAUUUUUGUUAUUUUACGUUGUGGGCUUGUUUUUUUUAAAAAAAAAAACUGUUCUAUAUUUGCGGUGUAAAUAUUUGUUCUAUUUUUUAAAAAAAUCCCUAAAGAUUAAUUAGUAAUAUUUUUAAAGAAUUAAUUAUUUAUUAAUUCAUUAUAACUUUUUACUUUCCAUUCUUAAUAAAUUUUAAAUAUUACAUUAUUUUUUUAGUGUAAAUUAAUAUAUAUAGUUCUCCCAUCUUUUAAGAAAAAACAAUUAUUUUCAAUGAUUUUUAAAGUUUUUUCCAAUCUUGAACCAUUAACUUUUAUUUGUUUAUUAAAAUUUUGAUAGUCUUUUGCUAACUUUUUUAUUAUAUAUAUAUAUAUAUAUAUAUAAUAUAAGUUUUCAAACUCAAUAAAGUUAAUUUGAUUUUAUUUUAUAAUUAAAGUUCCUUCUUAUAAUUAAAGAACAAUUAUUUAGUAUUUUAGCGACUACCAAAGUAACAUAAACUUAAAAAAUGAUUAAAAAUAAAAUAUUUAACAAAAUAUUUGAACUUCAUAUAAAAAUAAGUUUAAUAAAAUUUUAUUUUUUAGUGGUUUUAUUUUAUAUAAUAUAAAUAUUUUGUCUAUUUUUUCUAUUGUCCAAAUAACUUUUGUAUUGCAUCAUUUUAGUUCUUAAUCACACCAUUUUAUUUUUAAUAUAUUUUUUAGAAUUAAUUAUUUUACUAUUUAUAGUUAAUUAAUAAAUACUAUUUGUUCAUAAAUAUUUUCUUUAUUGAACAAAGAAACAUAACCAUGUAAUAGAGUGAUCUGAUUGUUUUCUCAAUUAUCAUUUUGAUCAAUAAACACAAUAAUAUAGUAAUUAUAAAAGAAGAACUAGUAAAAUCAAGAUCCUACUUGUACACAUUCUUCAAAAUAGAUACAAAACUAAAAAAAAAAAAAAAAAAAAAAAAAAAAAAAAAAAAAAAAAAAGACAAGAAUGCAUUAGGAGAACAAAAAAGAAAGUUUAAACCAUUGAAUUAUUAAAAAAAGUGGAAACUAUAUUGGACAGAAAGUAGAAAAGCAACCAACAAAAAUAUCAACGAUUGCAUUCUUCAUCUUCGAACUUCAAUAUAAUGUUCAUCUACAAUCUUCAAUCUUCAAAAGUGAGAAUUGAACCCAAAAUGUGGAACUAUGAAAUAGUUUUGUAUACUUUAUAUAUUAAGUUUGGACUAAUUAUUAUAUACAUUUUUUUAUUCUAAUUAAAUAUCAAUCUAAACUGUAAAUUUGAUACAAUAUAUAGAAGCAACUAUUACACCG
rnacentral:lncRNA from 1 species